UGGAUCAAAGUGCGUUGGGGAACAUAGCAAUCAUUGGAAAGUUGAAGAAUCUAGAAGUCCUUAGCUUUUUGAAGUCUGAUAUUAUGCAGUUGCCCGGAGAACUAGGUCAAUUGAAUAAGUUGAGAUUGUUAGAUUUAACCAAUUGUUUCCAUCUAAAAGUUAUUGCGCCUAAUCUCAUAUCAAGCUUAACUCGAUUAGAAGAGCUGUAUAUGGGUAAUUGCUUCAUUGAAUGGGAGGUUGAAAGAGCCAACAGCAAAAGAAGUAAUGCUAGCCUUGACGAAUUGAUGCAUUUACCUCGGCUAACCACUCUAGAAAUUGACGUUAAAAGUGACAAUAUUUUACCAGAAGGUUUUUUGGCCAGAAAGCUCGAAAGGUUCAAAAUAUCUAUUGGAAAUGAGUCAUUCAUGCCUCCCAAGAGUGUUAGAGGAUCAACAGUUAUCGCAAGAGUUUAAGAGGAUUGAAGCUCAAGCUUGAUUUUAUGGACAUUUGCUCCAUGAAAUUGCAGGGCAUCAAUAACGUUGAAUACUUAUGGUUGGACAAGCUGCAAGGCACCGAGAAUGUUCUUUUCAAUUUGGACACGGAGGGCUUUUCACAAUUGAAGCUUCUCUGGGUUCAAAAUAAUCCUGACUUCUUUUGCAUCGUCGAUUCAAGGGAGAUGGUCGCUUGUGAUGCCUUUCCUCUUUUGGAGUCACUUACCAUUCGCAAUUUGAUCAACAUGGAGAGGAUAUGUAUUGAUCGGCUCAAAGUAGAGUCUUUCAACAAACUCAAAACCAUAGAAGCAUAUAAUUGUGAUAAAUUGAGUAAUAUCUUUUGGCUCUCUACAACAAAAUGUCUUCCAAGACUUGAGAGAAUUGCAGCUAUUAAUUGCAGCAAGAUGAAAGAGAUUUUUGCAAUUGGGGAAGAAGUUGAUAAUGCAAUUGAGAAGAUAGAGUUUGCUCAAUUAAGAUCUUUGAGUCUGGGGAAUCUUCCAGAGGUUACAAGUUUUUGCCUCCAUGAGGUGAAGACUCCUUCAGCAUCACCGAACAGACAAGUGUCGCAAGAGGAAUCGACGACUAUGUAUUGCUCCAGCGAAAUCACUUUGGAUACUUCAACUCUGCUUUUCAACGAGAAGGUGCGUAGGCUAACAUUUUCUUCAUAUGUAACAGAUUUUAUUCAUAUAUAACGUUCUCUUUUGACGUCAUACGUGGAAAAUAAUUAAAUCAUUUAAAGAAUUGAAAGAAAAUGGAAAAAAGGAUAAAAAGAAUCUCACUCGCUCACUAAUUGAGCUCUUAACAAGUAGUAUGAAUUAGAAUGCAUACUCAGCUGUCAGUUGGAAAUUGAUUCAGACUUGCAUUAAUUUGCAAUCAAAGAAGAAAUUUUCAACAAGUGCUUCCCAUAUGGAAAUUGGAUCUAACGAGGAAUUCUUAUUUUUUUAGGUUGCGUUGCCUAACUUGGAGGCUUUGGAGAUAUCUGAAAUUAAUGUCGACAAGAUUUGGCACUACAAUCACCUUCCGAUCACGUUUCCUCGCUUUCAAAAUUUAACACGAUUGAUUGUGUGGCAUUGUCACAAAUUAAAAUACAUAUUUUUAGCGUCUAUGAUCAGAAGCCUUAAGCAGCUCCAACACCUAGAAGUACGCUUCUGUGAGGAUUUACAGGAGAUCAUUUCUGAGAACAGAGCAGAUGAAGUGAUCCCUAAUUUUGCCUUUUCACAGCUCACCACUCUGAGACUCGAAGAUCUACCAAAACUUAGAUAUUUGUACCCUGGAAUGCAUACUUCGGAAUGGCCCGCACUAGAAAUUCUUUUAGUGUAUCGUUGUGACAAAUUAAAUAUAUUGGCUGCAGAUUUAUCGCAGAAUAAUGAGAAUGAUCAACUUGGUAUUCCUGCACAACAGCCCCUAUUGCAGUUGGAAAAGGUAUGAAGCCAUUUUCUAGAUUUUUUAUCAAUAGUGUAUUUUGAACUUUGAAAAAUAUGACAAAGCAUCAAUAAAUUAAUACUCAAUAAAUUGAAAACUUUUAUUAUACAAUAAUCUUUGCUAGUCUAGACUAAAAGAGUUUGUUUGUUAAAUGUCUGAAGUUUGAAAUUUUAUUAAUUUCAGACCUUUUCCAACAUAUGCUUAUUUGUUUUUUUGGAACUUAUUGUUUGUUUUUUGGAACUUAUGUUUGAUUUUCAGACAUUUACAUAUGAAUAGAAAAAGUAAACUUUUGUGACUUUUAUUUGAAUGGAAAAAUGUCUGAAUGACAAGUAAAUAUUAAAUUCCAAAAAUAUCCUUGUAAAAUAAUUUAUUUCCUAAACUAUAAAAUGUUAUCCUCUUUUUUGUUUUAAUUUACAAGGACAUAAAUGUCAAAUAACCAAAUUAAGAUGUUUUUUAUUAUAAAAACAAACAAGAUGCCACUUAUAUUCAGAUAUUUAAAAAAGAAAAGGGAAAAGGACAAACACACCCCCAACGUUUAGGUAAAGGGACAAAAACCUCCCUAAUGUUUCAAAAAAGACAUUUACACCCCAAUUUAUUAUAAUUUUACCAUUAUACCCUUCUAGCAUAUAAAAAAAUUAUUAGAUUAUCCAAUUUGUCUAUAUAUUGUUAAUAAAAUUAUAAAUAUACCCUCAUUGCCUCAUUCCUCUAUUUAAAUUUUUAUCAAUAACCAAUUUUAAAGAAAGACAUCUACACACUUAAAAAAAAUUGUAAAUAAAUUAUAAUUUAUAAAAAAUUGGUUAUGAAUACCAUAAUAAAUAACAUAGAAAAUUGGUUAUAAAUGUACAAGUUUAAAUGAUUGACAUGUGGAGAAUUGUUAAAUAUACAAGUUUAAAGUUUAAAUAAAAUUGGUUAUUAAUAACCAAUUUUAUUUUUUAAAUUAUAAUUUAUUUACAAUUUUUUUAGGUGUAUAGAUAUCUUUUUAAAAAAUUGGUUAUUGAUAAAAAUUUAAAUAGAGGAAUUGGGCAAUGAGGGUAUAUUUAUAAUUUUUUUUUAAUAUCCAAAUUGUCUAUUUAUAAUUUUAUUAACAAUAUAUAGACAAAUUGGAUAAUCUAAUAAUUUUUUUUAUAUGCUAGAAGGGUAUAAUGGUAAAAUUAAAAUAAAUUGGGGUGUAAAUAUCUUUUUUAAAAUAUUAGGUGGGUUUUUGUCCAUUUACCUAAACGUUGGGGGUGUGUUUGUUAUUUUCCCAAAAGAAAAACAAACAUGUCAUUCAUAUUUUCGUAAUCAGACCCAUUCAGACUUUAAAAAAAUUUAGACUCAUUUAGAUUUCAGACAAAAAAAACAAAAGCUACCUAAGGGAUCAAUGUGGUAGAUUAAUAAUUAUAUGAACUUUUUUAGGUAUAAAAUUUAUAACUAUAUGAACUUUUUAAGUCUUUCCAUAUAGAAGAACUUACAAAAUAAAUUAGUAAUUUACUAUUGUGCAAUAAAAUAAUUUCGUUUUUUUCCCUAAUUUCUUUAUUACCUCUAAAACUAACAUAUAAAAAAUUCAUAUAAUGAAUUUUAUCACUAAUUCAAUUUUUUUAGGGGUAAAACUAAUAUAAAAUAAAUACUAUAAAGUCACUGCUUGUGAUUGGAUUACUCAAAAUCAUUUGAGAGAACAUCAAUUGACCUCAUUAGUUAUUAUGAUUGAUGAUGAUCAGAUCGUACCCAACUUGAAGGAACUAUCACUAAGUGGAAAAGAUGUGAAGAUGAUUUUGCAGGCCGAUUUCCCACAACACCUUUUUGGCAGUCUCAAACAACUAGAGAUUGUUGGAGAUGACUCAGCUUGUUUUCCAAUCUGGAAUGUACUGGAGAGAUUUCACAAUCUCGAAAUACUCUCACUGUUUCAAUUUUCAUUCCACGAAGAGGUAUUUUCGGAGGAAGGAAGCUUAGAGAAACAUGUGGGGAAGUUGGCAAUGAUAAAAACAUUAGAGCUGCGCUGCCACUAUCAUCUGAAGCAGCUGUGCAAACAAGACUCCAAACUUGGCCCCAUUUUUCAGUAUCUUGAAAUUCUGAGUGUACUUCAUUGUCAAAGUCUGUUAAUUCUAUUGCCAUCAUCAUCGGUAUCUUUUGGGAACCUAACAAAACUUGUAGCUUUCGGUUGCAAGGGAUUGAUACACAUGGUAACAUCCUCCACAGCAAAAACUCUAGUGCGACUCGUAUCACUUUGUGUAUACGGAUGCAGAGCAAUGACAGAGGUGGUAAUAAAUGACAAAGAUGGAGUUGAAAAGGAAGAGAUUGUUUUCCGCAAAUUGAAGAUGUUGGAUCUGCGUGAUUUAGAUAGCCUCACAAGUUUCUGCUCUGCCAAUUACACCUUUGAAUUCCCAUGCUUGCAAGAUCUAUUUGUGAUUGGUUGUCCCAAAUUGAAGAUUUUCACUAGAGGAGAAUCAAGCACGCCUCCGAGAGUAAACGUCUGGUAUGGAGAGACAUCGAAUCAACGGCGUUGGUCUAGUAAUGAUCUUAACACGACCAUACAACAAUUACAUGCUGAGAAGGUACGGAUAUACAUGUUACUCUCUAUCUCCCAUGGAAAAAUUUUACAAAAUUUGCUUUUUCUUUUUAAAUAAAAUAUCGAUAAGAUAUUUGUUAUAAAGUUAGUUUAAAUUGAUGAAUAAGAAUUUUAUUUUCAGCUGUUGGCGGGGUCGUCGUCAUACUCUGUGGAUUACGACUAAUUUCAUAGGCUUCUUAUGACUUGGAGUUACGAAUUUGAAGAAGAAAGUCCCGGCUGGUAAUUAAUUCUUAUUUUAUUUAUUUGAUCUCGUGGGUUGUUUCACAACUUCAUCUCAAUUGUUUAGAAUGGGUCACUUGGUUUACUGUCAAUAUGGAAUGCACUUUUCAUGAUUCGUUCAGGCUUUUAUGGGCAGAUUUUGCGUCAUUGAGCGUCUUUUGGCCUAAUGUAAUUUAAUUUGAGUAUUUUGUUUUGAGAGUUCCCUUGUUCUCUAAAAUUUUAUAAUUCCUUGCAAGCAUUUUAUGAUGAAAUUUCAUUAAGAGGGGCAACACUUGCAUGUUGAAAGUGUUCAGAUUUUAUAAUUCCUUGAAAUCAUGCAAACUUUUUUCUUUCUUUCCUUGCCAAUUAUUUAUUGUCAUCGUUACUGUUCCGUUAAAUUUGUUUGUGCUCUGUUUGUUCAUUGGAAACUUGGAAGGCAACGAAAGUACUUAAGAAAAUGCUCUUGCCUAUGAACACAUAAUUAAGAAGCUGAAUAUCAUUCAGCGGGUAAUAUAUAUAUAUAUAUAUAUAUAUAUAUAUAUAAUUAGCCCAUUAUGCCUACAACAAAUCCUUACACCAUCAAAGGUUAGCUAUGAACAACUAUAUUAUGGAAAUAUUGUUUGAAAGCAUUGGAUAGAAUUUUCAAAAAUAUCAAGUUUUCACAAACCAAAAAGGGAACUAAUUUGGUCUAGUUUUGUGACAAGUAUAGAAGCACAAUAUUUUGUCUGUUAUUCUUGUUAAAAUUCGCAGCACUGAGUUUGCAGAAUGUCUGGAUACUGAUGGAGAUUCAAGUCACUCUUCUUCUGUGCAACAUUCGAAAUGAAGACUUUUUUCCCCCUCUAUUCAAAUUUUAUGUUGUGAAGGGUUUCCGUUUCCAUCUUCAUGUGAUUUACUUCACCGUGUCGCUACAUCUAUGAUAGUGUGUGUUAUAUCCUGUCUGUUUCCUUUGUUUGACCAUCGAAAGUUCAAAGACAAUUUAUUCUAAAUAUGUGUAAAUUCAUUUUCUGUAUAAGCUCUUUGUAUGCAUUUUGACAUUUUAUUCUCAAUAUGGAUGACUCAAUGAGAGGUCUUUUGUUAUAUAUAUGUCCCGAAUUUCUUGUGUAUUUUUAGAUUUGAUGAUGUAUUAUUGUCUCAUUGCAAGGUCUUAUAAUCACUGAUUCUCAUUUCUCGUAUACAUACGUAUAUAUGGGCAAGAAAUUUGGUAAAUGAUCUAGUCAUUUUCUCAGUAAAACAUCUAGUACUUUAUAUGUUGGAAGGGUACUAAGCAGCAGGCCAAGAUUUGUCAACUCAAAGAUCGUCAUGUCAUUUUUUAAAAAUAUUAAGGAAUACUAAGGAACCCCAAGAGAAAAUUUAGAAAUACUAUAGGGACUACUUCUGCAUUGUUCAUUUUCGCAAUUACCUGCAUUAUUAUUUUUGUUUUCAAUUAAUCAAACUUCAGUUCCUUAGCAUUCAUCUAAUUAUGUACUUCAUCUGGAAAUCCUUAAUUUACUCAUCAAAAUGUGAACGCUAAGGAAACUAUGAAAAUAAAUAUAAAACUACUAGCUAAGUUUAUCAUCACAUAUGAGCAGCACUAGAUUAUCAAAUAAUCAUAAAAGCAUAUAAAUUCAAGCUACUGUAUUAUAUGUAGCUUGCUAAUUUGUGUUUAUAAAGAAUUUAGUUAUGCAACAAAAUGGGACACGAAAGUAGCAAAACUUCAUCAAAUACUCUGUUUUGUAGUACUUCAACAUAUCUACUGGCUAAGAAGUACCAUCACAAAUGAAAAUGUCGGCACAAAUAUUCAAGCAAGUGCAAGUAUCAAAAGUUGGUGGAUUAUUGUGGUUUUCCUACUUUGUCGUUUUUGGUUGAAUAAAUUAAUAAAAGCUGUCGAUUCUGCAUUAAAGCUUAUGAAUUGUGAAGAUAUGAAUACCAAAUCUUUCCAACUCCAACUCUUGAGUAAUUAUUAGGUUCCCACCCAUGCAAACAUAUUUUCUUUCGAGAAAAAGGGAUGCCUGAUUCAGGGCAUCCGUUGCCUCGGUUUAUUUGAUUUUGUUUGGUUCAAUUAUAGUUCUGUUAUUUAGUUUUUCCUCUGAUGAUUCUGUUUCUCUGUAUAUUUCACUGGGUUUGCUUUGCUUCACAUCUUUCUUUCAAAACUAAGAAGGCAAGGAAAGCGAGUCUGUAAUUAGAAAAUGCAAGUAGCAUAUAUCAAAUCAUGCAUAUGCUUAUGCUCUUGCCUAUGAACACAUAAAGAACAGCUGAAUAUCCUUCGUCGGAUAACAAAAAAUAAAAUCUAAUCAUCCAUUAUCCAUACAAGUAAUGAUAUCAUUACUUUUAGCAAAUUAAAGGUGUUGUAUCUUUUUUAUUUAAAAAGUCUCUUAAGAUUUUUAUUUUUCCGGUAAUUACACCUCCAAAUUUCCACAGCUAUAAUGUCAAUUUGUAAUUAUUUGUCCCAAGAUGCAGAUUUUCACUAGAGGAGAAUUAAUAAUUACGCUAUUUCGGCCCAGAGGACCAUGAAGCCCCUUGGGUUGUUGACAUUAACACUAGUGCGUUUACCAACCUAAACCUUCGGUUUGGUCAACAGUUUCUAAAUUGGUUUAGGUCAACAGUUUCUAAAUUGAACCUAUGGUGAAUGGAGGAAAAAGAAAAAGAGAUUUAUCAGAAACCUCCCCUGAAGUUUGGCAUAUUCUUAGUUUAAUAGAUUGUAUUUGUGUAUUCUCAAAUACCUCCCCUGGUGGCUGGUGCUAGUAUACCUUUUCUUAAUACCCCUAAUUUAGAAAAAAAUAAUUUGUAUACUGAAAAUAAAAAAUUGUUGGUUAGCACCAGCAUGUUUGUUUUGGUGCCUAAGGGAUGUGAAUGCAAUGAAAAUAUCCAAUCACCCCCGUUACUUUCCAAAAUGACUUUGAUAAAUGAAACAAACAAAAGAUUUAAGUCAAAUAUCAAAGAAUCAGAAGGAAGCUGUUUUGCACUGGCCUAAUUGCUAUGCUUUCUGAAUCAAAUUUCGUUCAAUCUUGGUGUCCCUCUUUUAUUCAAUAUAAGAAGAAUGAAAAAAGUAGGUUGUUUUUUACACAAGUGAUAGAAAUACUUCUUAACUUUAGACAGUGUAACACCAUACACAUCAAAGAAAUAAGACAACAAACCAUUUCCCAUGCAUAAAGCCAACAAAAUUACUAUUUAGUACAAGGGAUGCAACAUAAUUUUAAAUUUUAUUCCUCAAGAGCUACAAGUGAUACAAAUGAGUACACAAAUCAACCAUCUGUAGCUUAACCAGAAGAUGAUGCAAAUGCAUGAAAAUGAAAAAGCCUACGAAUAGUAUACAUGGUAAGUAUGACUAAGUAAAAUAACAAUUCUGAUUGAUAAUACCACCAGCAACAGGACCUUCAUACCUUCUCUUUAUUAAUCACUAGUUGGUAUGCUAUAGCCCAGCCAAGUGUAAAAUGAAUGGCGAUCGAGCUCUUGAGCCUCGGUAUACCCUCCAUAAGUUGUCUUGCUAAAACCCAAGAAAUAGCUUAUAAGAUGAAAUGGACCGCCCAUGGUUCAUACAAAGAAAAGAAUAAGCCACAUAUUAAUUGAAGCUAACAACAGACAUAAAAUGAUAAAUGAAAAAUGCUCACCUUCAGAAUGAAGUCAAUGUAAUGAAGAGCACCAUUCUCAAAUUCAGUUCUGCCACCUGGAAAAAUGUGGUAUUCACCAGUAACUUUAACCCCAUUUUGCUAACCCUUAACUUCUGCAAGCUUUGUGUGGGGAAAAUUAUAAUACCAAAUCUAUCCCACACAUCAUGAGAACAAAUCUUAGCCCAAGUGAAUUAAAAGUAGUCAAGUAUAUAUUUUAUAAUGCAUAAUAUAAGAUCAUACCCUAUCCCUGCUUUGGGGCCACUUAAUUGAGUGUUUGUAUCCUUCCAGUAAAGGAGCAAUACAGGUACAAGCUUCUUCAGGGCAAUACCUCUCUCGAUGUUCAUAAUGCUUUUGUGCUGGAAAGCAUUCUAAUUGCUUGCAAAUUGUCCAGGCAAGGGAUGCAAUCUGGCCUAGCAGUGGCAUUACACACUUUCCAGCGAUGACCAUACUGGUCCUUAGAUACAGAAGAUUGUUGUGAUAUUUUCUGAUUCUAUGACUCAAUAGGUUGAGUUGAGCAAGCCCCAUUCUGAGCAUUAGUUUCCUUCAGAAUUUCUCAGUAGUCACCAAAAGGAAAAAUCUCAGUUGAAGCCUGAUCCUUUCAACAACUCUCAGUGUCAUUAUCUUGAUCUUGAGAAUCCUUCUCCUUUUCAAUCUGACUAGCCUGAUCCAUUUAUUUUCAUCCAAGCUCUUCUCUGAUUCAAUUUGCUCAAUUUUAUUCAAUUCGCCGCCUUCUGUUUCUCCAGCUUCUUAAUUCAAAUCUCCACCUUCACUUUUAGAUUCCUUAUCUUCCUUUUUUCUAACAUCGUAAUUUUUAGACACCGCCUUAGAUUCCUCUUCAGACUCAGUAUUCUCAUCAAAACUCUCCUUCACUAAAUUCUCUUCCUGGUUUUGAUUAACCAUAUUCUUAGAUUCACUCAUCUCACCAUCACCCUCAUACAUAUUCAUCUCUUCGUGAUUAUCUUCCACUCUAUUCUCUAACUUUUCAACAGGAACAUCAUCCCCAUCCCCAUUUGUUGAAUCCUGUCAUUCAUCACCUUGAUUUUCUACGAAAGGCCCAGAAAAAUCUCAGAUAUUCUCUGUUUCACUUUGCUUAUAGGCUCUUAAGAGGACAACAUCCUGGAUCCCACACCAGUACAACUGAUGAUGACAUUAACAUCCAAACGCCAACCAGAAAAAGACCAACAAACACUACUACAGUAACCAUUGAACAAAGACAAUAUCACAGGUUCUUUAGCUAUUUAAUAUUCCAUCAAAUAUAAUUAUAUAAUACCUACCAAGGAUUUCCGAAUAGAAGGCAUUCUCAUCAUUCUCAUCUCAAGCAGCAACCUCACCAGUAACACAUUUUCAUAUCAUGUUUCCACCACAGGUCGCACGUAUAGAAAGAAUGAAGUAUUAAUUAGCUUCAACAGAGCCUAUUUCUUUAUUUCUUUUUUUCCCAAAUAAACCUUCAUUCUUAUACGUAUAAUUAAAAUAUCAACUGAAUAAACAAAGUCUAUGAUUACUAGUACAACAUUUUCAUUUUCAAGCGGAGCAAGAUAAGAUAUCGAUGUCGUCAAAUAAACCUAAUUUAAUCUUGAAACCAUAAACUGCACUAAGCAUAGCAGCAAAGCCAGAGCCUGACUAUAAAGAAGCUAAUAUAUAUAUAUAUAUAUAUAUAUAUAUACCUUUGGAAAUUGAAACUGUUCACUGUAGCGGGUUUUUAAGUGCACAGUAACCUUUGGAUCGUAGCUUUGAAUAGUAGGCUGACCGUAGCUUUGAACAGAAGACUACUUUGUACGAAUACUGAAAUACAAAAUGAAAUACAAUACGGGUGAAGAGACAUGUGCGGAUCGAAGGAUGGAUGUGCUUUCAAAAUACUUUAUUAUUAAAAACUCAAAUUAAACAAUCAAUAGAAUCAGCUUCGUCAGAUUUUAAAAGAACUUGAGCCCAAUACAGAGUUGCAAAAUAAUUUCCCGUCCAAGGAUAAGUUUUCCGUUUAGGGCUGUAAAACCAUACCUGUAGCCAUUCUGACCAAACCAAAGAUAGAACCCAGGAUUCUAACCAUGGAUCCUCUUUACUGUAGAGCAUCGUCCUUUUCUAGCUCUUCUUCUGGGAAGACUAGUGAUUCAAAGCAUGUUGUGAGUUCAGAAGAAUUUGUUAUUGAGAACUUUGAUAAAGCAAUUGAUUGUUGGGAACUUCCAAAGAUUUCAAAAGAAAAGAUUUACAGAACAAAAAAGCUUGAUUUCUGGAAAAAUGAUUAUGUUAUAAAAACUGAAGAACGUGAUAUAACUCUUUCAAAGCCUUUUGAAACAAUUAAUUUGUUUUCAGAAAAAUCUUUAAAUAAGUUAAAAGAAAAGAAUUUUAAUUACAUUCAUAUAGGUCUCAUCCAAAUAGGCAUAAAGCCCCUUACCAAAGAAGGCUUGGAUACUUCUAUCCUUGCUGUUCUUAGAGAUGGUCGAUUCAUCUCUUUUGAUGAUUCUCUGCUAAGUAGCAUUGAAUCCAGCCUAUGUAAAGGUCCCAUUUCAUUUGAUUGCUAUCCAAACAUAACAUUGUCUCUUAAAGACAAAAACAUUUUGAAAAGCAUGAUUUUACAAAUCAAAACGCAUAACUAUCAUAUGAUUGAGGGAUCUAUCCCUGUUGCAUUGAUUUUUAAAAUCUCUUACAAAGCUAUGAUUACUGCAUUCAGCACUCAGCAUAAAUUUCAGUCCAAAAGAGAUGAAACUCUUCUCUUACAGACUGAUCUGUCCAGAGCAAACACUGUCAUUCCAAAACCAAUCCAAUGGAAAGAUGUCAAUCUUCCUGAGGAAUGGAUUCUUGAAGGAGCCGCUCCACCAGCGAUUCCAAAACAACUUGAGCCCAAUACAGAGUUGCAAAAUGUGACUCAGUAUUCUGAUGGUAAAGUCAAAUUAUCAUUUAGGAGAUCUAAUUCAUCCAGAUUCUCCGAUAAAGCAUCAUGCUCAAGCAUUCCUUCAAUGGAAAGGAAAUUUACAAAAAUACCCUCUGUCAUAAAUCUCCCAUUUCAGAGUCAACCUAGGUUCUCCACUUCGGACUUACCUAGUUCUUCUAUUAGUUCUGUUGACUACACUACAAAGGUACCACAUCCCAUUUACAUUAGCAGUCAACAUGAACAAAGACAGGAAGAGAAGGAACCUUCUCCUCCAACUUCUCCUACAUUCUCUGCAGUCACAGAAAAUGUUUUAAAUGUUAUUGAAAAGCAUUUUGAAUUAGAUAAAACCAUAUUGCAUAAUGAUUUUUAUUCAGAUGAUAAUAAAGAAAAAAGACUUUGGUUUUUUAAACAUUUUUUAAAUCAAAGGAAGGAAAUCCAACAAACUUACUAUGAAUUUGUUAAUUUCCAUCAAGUUCAUAUAUUGUUUUUUGAUUGGUUCGAGAUAUAUUCUUCUAAGAACAACAUUUCCUAUCCUUUCAAAGAGUCAAACCCUAUUACUAUCAGAAAUAAAACCACUGAGUGGAAACUCUUCGAUAGUAAUAGAACUGUCAAUUCUGAGCAUCCCCCUCUUAGGAGUGUAAUCAUAGAUCAUGGUGAACCUCCUGUUGAAAUCAGAGCCUCACCUUACAAAAUCCCAAAGCCUAAUGAUCCUGAAAUCAAUUUAAGUAGUAUUAUUCAACAGAAUAAUUUCUGUAAUACUAACUUAAAUACCAUAGGAAAACAGUUGACCAGAUUGGAAAACCAAUUUCAACAGUCAACCAUAUCUGUAGUCCAAAACCUGUUUCUUUAAAGUCAGAUUCUGAUAAAAAGCUUAAAGAACCUAUUUUCAAACCUUUUCAGGUUUCGAAAACUAGCCAGAAGCUUGUCCAUGAAUCAAAAUCAGAUUUUGCUAAAGCCAUUAGAGAACAACUUGAUAGGAUAGAAGCUGCUUCUUCCUCAUCAAGCAAAGUUCAUAUUGCUCCUGAUACUCCCCAAUCUAGCAAGAUUGGAGUAUUGGAGCAAGACCAGGUUUCUAUUGCCUCCUCAGACUUAGAAGCCUUUACCGAAACACCUAUUCCUAAAACCAAUAAAAUCCAUUGGGAGUUAGCUCUUCCUACUUCCAAAUCUCCACCAGAUUUAACUAUAGACAACAGGCCUAGUGCAUUAAAUCAAGCUCGAUAUAAUGCAUCCUCUGUCUAUGAGUGGAAUAUAGAUGGAAUGUCCGAGUACAACAUUCUAGGUGUAUUGCAGCAAAUGACCAUGGCAGCCAAUGCCUAUAAAACCCAAUCAGGAACUUCUGACAAAGCCAUUGCAGAAAUCCUUAUUGCUGGUUUUACUGGUCAACUUAAAGGAUGGUGGGAUCAUCUUCUCACUAAAUUGCAGCAAUUAGACAUCCUUAAUGCCAUCCAAAUCGAUGAGAAUGGUGCUCCCAUUCUUGACGAAUUAAAUAAUCCAAUUCAGGAUGCUGUUGCUACCCUGAUUUUAACCAUUUCUCUUCAUUUCAUAGGUGAUCCUUCUCACCUCAGAGACAAAAAUGCUGAGUUACUACAUAACUUGAGAUGUAGAAAACUUAGUGAUUUCCAAGAUUACAAAACCACUUUCUUUACCAGACUCUUCCUAAGGGAUGAUGCAAAUCAUGUAACUUGGAAGGAAAAAUUCCUUGCAGGUUUACCUACCCUUUUGGGAGAAAAGGUAAGAAAUUCUAUCAAAACCCUUUUUGAUAAUCGUAUUCCCUAUGACGAACUCACCUAUGGUGAAUUAGUCAGUUUUGUCAAUAAAGAAGGUUUAAAGAUCUGUCAAGACUUGAAACUUCAGAAACGUCUAAAGCAAGAGCUUAGGCAAUCUAAGCAAGAAUUAGGCGGGUUCUGCAAGCAAUUCAAUUAUGACCCCUUUAAAGCUUCCACCUCCAAAGACUGUAAUGGUAAGUGUUCUUCAAAACCUUACAAAAAACAUUACAAGUCUAAAAGCCAUAGAAAGCCCUUUCAUGAUUUUAGAAAACUUCCUUAUAAGAAACCUUCGAGGCCUUAUAAGAAACAUAGUUUCUCUAAAAAGAAAGAGUUUAAAGCCAAACCUAAAACCCCUUUCAAUUUUAAAGAUGCUACCUGUUAAAUGUGGUAUGAAAGGUCAUACUGCACGAUUUUGUAAAAUGAACAGGAGACUCCACGAGCUCGGCCUCGAGGAGGAAAUCCUUUCCAAAAUUGCCCCUCUUCUGGUCGAGCUUUCUGAUUCUGAGUCUUCCUGGUCGGGAAAUGAUGACCCUCUUCAAGUCGAUGAACUAUUCGAUUCAGAUAGCUCUACUUCCAGUAAUAGUGAUUCUGAUUCGGAUAAUUCUUAUUUAAAGAAAAUAAAUGUUUUAACCAAAGAUCAAGAGAUUUUCCUUGAACUUGUAAAGCAUAUUUCUGAUCCAAAUCUUCAAAAGGAAUAUCUUGAUAAACUUUUAAAAACCAUGGAUUCAAGCAUUACAGAGGCUUCUUCUUCUAAAAUCCCUAUUGUCAAAAAGAAUUCUUAUGAUUUAACUGAGAUUUUAGAUAAAAAGAAAACAAAGAAGUCUACUCCUAAUAUCCAAGAUCUUCAAAAAGAGAUUAAGGAUAUUAAACUUGAAAUAAAGGAUUUAAAAGAAAAACAAAAAACUGAUUCUGCAACUAUUCAACUCCUUUUACAAAAACAGUUGCAAGAUACUUCCGACAAGGAGGUUGAAUCAGAAAAUGAUGAUGUUGAGCAAAAGAUUGAUAAUAUUGAGUCUAUUCCAAAUGAUUUUCUGUUUGUCUUAAAGCAAAUCACCACCAGAAAAUAUUUGAUUAAAAUUACUUUAAUUUUUUCAAAUGAUUUUGCGAUGGAUGCCAUUGCUCUUUUUGAUACUGGUGCUGAUUUAAAUUGUAUUCGAGAGGACAUUGUUCCUAAAAGGUUUCGUGAAAAAACAAAAGAAAGACUCUCUGCUGCUAAUAAUUCAAAGCUCAAUGUUACUUCCAAAGUUGAAGCAUCUAUUUAUAAUGACAAAAUUGAGUUUAAAACCUCUUUUGUUCUUACAAAUGAUAUACACCAUGCUAUCAUUUUAGGAACACCUUUUAUAAAUUUGAUAACCCCAUAUGCUGUCAACUAUGAUGGUAUAUAUUUUAAAGCAAAAUCCAAAGAACUUGCUUUUCCAUUUAUUGAAAAACCAAAGACUCGAAACCUCAAUAUGGUUAAAGCCUGCUCGGUCUACCAGAACAAAAUCAAUGCUAUUGUAAAGUCUAAACAAGAUGACUUGUUUCAUUUACAAAAGGAUUUAAAUUUUCAAAGAAUUGAGAGUCAAAUACAAAGUGAUUUUAUACAAAGAAAAAUUUCUGAUUUCAAAAGCCUUAUUGAAAAAAAAUUUGUGCUGAUUUACCAAGUGCUUUUUGGAAUAGGAAACAACAUUUGGUAGAUUUUCCAUAUGAAAAUUCUUUUGAUGAAAAGCAAAUACCUACUAAAGCCCGUCCAAUCCAAAUGAAUUCGGAUUUGGAACAGCAUUGUAAAGAAGAAAUUAAUGAUCUUAUUUCCAAAGGUCUUAUUGUAAAAUCCAGGUCACCUUGGUCUUGUGCUGCCUUUUAUGUCAACAAAAAUUCUGAGAUUGAAAGAGGUGUACCUAGACUUGUGAUAAAUUACAAACCUUUGAAUAAAGCUUUAAAAUGGAUUAGGUACCCGAUACCUAAUAAGAAAGAUUUACUUCAAAAACUCUGCUCGGCCUUCAUUUUUUCUAAAUUUGAUAUGAAGUCGGGUUUUUGGCAAAUUCAAAUUCAUCCAAAAGACCGUUACAAAACAGCAUUUACUGUUCCUUUUGGUCAGUAUGAGUGGACAGUAAUGCCUUUUGGUUUGAAAAAUGCACCCUCAGAAUUUCAAAGAAUCAUGAAUGAUAUUUUCAAUCCCUACUCUGAGUUUUGCAUUGUCUAUAUCGAUGAUGUUUUGAUUUUUUCUCAAAGCAUUGAUCAACAUUUCAAACAUCUAAAGACUUUUUAUCUUGCUACAAAGAAGGCUGGAUUAGCCCUUUCCAGUUCAAAGAUUUCAUUGUUUCAAACAAAAGUCAGGUUUCUUGGUCACUACAUUUCCAAAGGAACCAUUACUCCUAUUGAAAGAUCUCUUUUGUUUGCGGACAAAUUCCCAGACAAAAUUUUAGAUAAAACUCAAUUACAAAGAUUUCUCGGUAGUCUAAAUUAUGUUCUUGAUUUCUGCCCUAACAUCAAUAGGAUGUCAAAACCUCUGCAUGAUAGGUUAAAGAAGAAUCCUGUUGCAUGGUCAGAUGAGCAUACUAGAGUUGUUAGAUUAAUAAAGCAGUCUGUUAAAAGCAUUCCUUGUUUGCAUCUUGCAAAUCCUGCAUUUCCUAAAAUUGUUGAAACUGAUGCAUCAGAUUUAGGAUAUGGAGGUAUUUUAAAACAAAAAGAAAAUGAUAAAGAACAGAUAGUCCAAUAUGUUUCUGCUCAUUGGAACGAUUGUCAGAAAAAUUAUUCUACUAUCAAAAAAGAAAUUCUUUCUAUUGUUUUAUGCAUUACUAAAUUCCAAAGUGAUUUGUUAAAUCAAAAAUUCUUACUUAGAAUUGAUUGCAAAGCUGCAAAACAUGUUUUAGAAAAGGAUGUUCAAAACAUUGCAUCAAAACAGAUUUUUGCACGUUGGCAAGCUAUUCUCAGUGUUUUUGAUUUUGAUAUAGAAUUCAUUAAAGGUGAUAAAAAUUCUGUUCCUGAUUUUCUAACUCGGGAAUUUCUUCAAAACAGGUAAUGGCUCCAAAGAAAAAGGACAAAGGGAAAGCACCUGCUUCCCAAGAACUUUCCAAAGAACCUCAUGCAACCCCCUCUAAAGAAAAGCUCCUUUCCUCAGCCAUGCCAAUUAAAUCUUGGAUUGAAUUGGUUGAAGAACAUGAAGCCAAAUACAAAUCCAUUUCUUCUGAAGACCAAGUAAAGCAAUGGAUGAGUUCCAUUACAAAGUCACCCGAGCUUAUGAUAGCCCUACAAAGCCUCUCCCAAAGUCAACCUAAAGAGGAAGAAAAACCCACUUCCAAAGAAAUCUCAAAGCCUUCCUCUCAAAACAUUGUUGUUUCUGGUGAGAGCUCAUCCUCCCAAAUUGUGCUCUCUCAGCCAACACCUUCAAAGAAAACUUCCGAUUGGUUUGAUAAAACCCAUUUUCAAAACAUUAUUUCAAUGGAAGAUGGAUUUUACCAUUCUGAUCCUUUUCAAAGUAUUUCAAAGUUUUUUCCCCCAGGCUGGUUUUUCAAACCAUGAGAUUUGACAAAACCCCAGUCUUAUUAUCACAGUAUUUUGGAAAUUACUGAUUCAGUAAAAUUCAAACAUUUCUUUUUUAGCAAAACCCAUUCUGAGCCGGCCUAUUCAACGGCUACAAUUUUAAAAGUUUUGAGCCCGAACCAGUGGGGUGAUCUGCUCCACAAUUUUAAAACUUUCCCCCUUGAUUUUGAGACCCGUUUGCCACACUGUAGGACUUUCUCCUACUGGGAUUACCAACAGGCCUGGUAUAACACUUUCUUCAUACAAAACCCUAAAAAAUCCCAUUCCUGGUUAUUUUUCUUUAAUUCAAAAAUAACCGUCCAAAGCCUGCCGAACUGGUUUCACCAUUGGUGGAACUAUUUUGGUCCAACCUCAGAUAUCCUUACUCAAAAUGCCCUCCAAUGCCUAAACCUUUUCAAAGCCAAUUAUAAACCUACGGAGUCUGAGAAAAGAUUUCCUCCUUUUCUCUGCUUCUGUACCAAUUUCUUCCUUCCAUGGGUCUGGAUGUGGAGUCUUCGACAUCACACUCAGGAUUCCCAUUUUAUCCUCCAAAGAACCUUCAGAGUCAAAUGGUGGUCCAAAUUUGAUGAGCAGACCAAAUUAACCACCAACCAAGUACAAAACUGGCUUUCUGCCCAAGGCCAUCUACAACCAGCCAUCAAAGAUAUUAAAGCCCAAGGCACUUUCCUCACUCAAAAAUCCAAAGCCCAAGCCCUCCUAGCAAGUGCCAAAACCGAAGAAGAAUACUUCAAAGCAAUGGAACAGCUCCUCCGCUUCUCGAUCCAAGUCCUCAGUUGCAGAUUCUACUGAAGACGACGACGACGAUGAUGACGAGCCAACCGUCUCUCUCGGAGAUAAAAACGAAGAUGACUGUUUCGGCAUUUUCUCUCCAAUAAAGCAUUGUAAAUAAUUAUUUGAUUAUUUACUUAAAAAAAAAAAGUGUAAUUGUUCAUUUCGGGUGGUCCCUUGGACACAAGUGAGAGCGCACAUGUCUCUUCACCCGUAUUGUAUUUCAUUUUGUAUUUCAGUAUUCGUACAAAGUAGUCUUCUGUUCAAAGCUACGGUCAGCCUACUAUUCAAAGCUACGAUCCAAAGGUUACUGUGCACUUAAAAACCCGCUACAAUGAACAGUUUCAAUUUCCAAAGGUUACUGUGCACUUAUAGCUCCGCUACAGUGAACAGUUUACAAAGUUUUGUAUAUAACCCAAGAGGAAGACUUAGACUCCUCACGGGUUUUUAUUUUAAGUUUUCAUUUCUCUCUCUUCUCCUCCUUCUCUCUAAAAAUUCUCUCUAAAGCACGAAGAGCUCAAAGAAAUCCUCUGUUUACGCAAUAGUUCUAUCUUAGAGCUUUGAGUAAUCAGACUAGUUCUUUACCUUCAACAAAUCUUCCCGUCUUUCAAUCUUCCCUUCUGGAAAGAUUUGAAAAAUUGUAAAGCAGCAAAAGCAAAGUGUAUGUCUAGAUCUUUGAUCUAGUUUUAUUUACAAAGCAAUUUCAAUUCAUGUAAUUUAAUUUUAAAGCAAUUUACUUUUCUGCAAUUUCAUUUCAGUAAUUUACUUUAAAGCAUUUUCUUUUACAAAGCAUGUUAGCAGACUGAUCUGUAUCAGAUCUGCCAUAUAAAAUAUACAUUCUUCUGAGGCAAAGAGACCAGAUCUCGAUCCUCAGUCGUAAACUUCUCUCUCCCCCCUUCUUCAGAGCACCAUUUCCGGGAACCGGAUCUGGUACUGUGUAUGUUUUAGAAGCCAACCUUAAUGCAUGUUUAUUUCAGUAAAGCCCUGCUGCUAGGUUUGCUAAAAUCAACCUAACUCAGAUCUGGUAAAGACACUUCUAAAAUUGACGAAUCGCAUUCCAAAGCAAAGUAGAUCUCCAGAUCUACCAAAGAAUUUAAUAAAUAAUCGGUAAAGCACACUAUUCCGGUAUAUCGGCUGGAAACCAGAACGUGCGGGCUAUUGAUCUGUCCUAAGUCAGAUCUGGGUCCAAAGGCAGAUUAAUUUCUGCGUCGAUCCGGUAUAACAACGCCACGUACCAGUCUAGAUCUAAAAUUUUGACCAACCGCGUUCCAAAGCAAAUUAAUUUGAUAAAGAAACGGUAAGUUCUUUUAAAAUCUGACGAAGCUGAUUCUAUUGAUUGUUUAAUUUGAGUUUUUAAUAAUAAAGUAUUUUGAAAGCACAUCCAUCCUUCGAUCCUAUUUCCUUCUGGUAUCAGAGCCUCACCUUACAAAUCUCCAUUAACGGCAAAUAGGGGGAUGAAUCACUGACAUCACCCAAUUCAUAUAUUCAAUUAAUGUAUUCCCACCCCAGUCAGAAACGUGCUACCACAGUUGAUUAGUUAUUAGGGAUAAGGCUUACCGCAAAGAACUGAAUGGCGUUAACUAAAUAAUGAGUUGAAACGGUAUCUGCAAUCGCAUUAAAUGGCAUUGAACCGAAAGGUAGGGUUUAAAUGAAUGUUGGCCUGAGACAAAAGGGCGUGGCAUAUUGGGGUCUUAUGGCUUCGUUUUGUUUCAAUUGAAGGAGGGAAGCUGAGCGAGAGCUUUGAUACGUAAAUUUCAGCUUAAUUUAAGCUAUGGUCUUCUUUCGAUUGAAACAGAGAAAGAUUUUGGGUUAUUAAAGUGAAAGAGAUGGAAUCAUACAAAAAAUUAGCAAAGUGAAAGCGAGGGAAUACAAGAUUUAUUAUGGGUCCUAAGAGCUGAAGGCAAUUCGCCAUGGUUCCGAUAUAUGGAAAACUUUCUUAGCUUUAUCGGUGGUGGAAGUGAGGGUUAGGGCUCGGGUUCGACACAAUGUUGUUGAGAGUGGCUCAAAGUUCAUUGAUUUUAGGUUGCAGCGAGAGAGGGGUUCAUUCAACACUUGUCGAUAUUUGGCUGAAGUGUUGGUAUGUUUUAAGUUUCAUAAAAACGACGUCGUUUAAAUAGUCAUCAUUUUAUGAUAUUAUAAAUCCACAAAACUUGAGCAUCACUUAUAUCUAUCAUUUAUUUAUGUUAGUUAAGAUAUAAGUCAUGAAUAUGUCAUAAACUCUGAACAUAUAAACAUAUGCCACACCAACAAAGUGUUGGCUCCAUUGGCAAUAGAGUCCCCUUAAGUGGCUUAACUGGGUUUGCUCCUCAGUUCGAGUUGCAGGGAAGUCGCAUUUGUUGAGAGAACUUGUGCCUUCCGGUUCGAGCGGGGACUUCUAAUAUGGGUUGUGGUACGGGCUUAAAAGUGUCUCCCACAAUUAGGGCCCUCCUCAGAAUACCUCGUGGUUAAGACAAAAAAUAUAUAUAUAUAUAUGUCACAAAUCUAUCACACUUUCAUGAUACAUUUGUGACGUAUCGAAGGUUCAUGUCAUUCCUCCGGUGCAACAUUCGAAAUAAGGCCAUUGCCCUUGUGAAAUUUGCAUUACUUCUAUUGAAAAUCUACAUAAUAAGAGCUCUCCCGUUGCAUUUUUCGUUGUUUUGCUUUUGCUUUACUUUAAUGUGUCGCUACAUGAACAAGUAUAGUGCAACAUAUGUACCAUCAAUUUUGCUAUGUCUUAUUCCCAAUUUUAUAUAAUACAAAUCAUUUUGAAAUUAUAAUAACAACAACGGGGUCAAGCACAUUUUGUGUCUUGAAGAUUUGCGAGAGCUCCAUCCUACAAAGUUAAAUUAUUAUUGUUGUUGUUGUUAUUAUUAUUAUUAUUAUUAUUGAUGACGAUGAUGUGCUGUUGAUGUUUUUAUUAUUUGAGAGAUGGUAGAAUAAAGUUAUUCAUUUUGGAGCUUAACAGUGGAAAAUAAGGAAAACAAGAAAAAAGUUGUAUUCGUGUUAAUUUCCUUUGUCAUUUCUUGUUUCUAGAAAUAUUUUUGCUUCGUUUAUUCUAUUUUAUUUGCUUAUUUCAUUGGGCUUGCUUCACAUAUCAUAUCUAUCUUUCUUUCAAAAUUUGAAGGGAAGGAAAGUACUUAGAAAAUGCUCUUGCCUAUGAACAUGUAAGAAAAACUGAAUAUCAUUCAUCGGAUAACAAAAAACACUAAUCAUCGCAUAAUCCCUAGAACAAAUAAUUAAACCAUCAAAUGUUAGCUAUGAACAACUAUAUAUCCUAUCAUAUUUAACUUCUAUUUAUGGUCAUAUCCCUAACAUAUUUAGAGUGGUUUUGGAAUUUUGAUUACAUCUGAGCUUUCUCAAAAGCAGAUGCUGUGAAAUGAAGUUACUAUUUGCUUUUCAAAACUGUUAAUAAUGAUAGUAGUUUAGAAACUUGAACCACCACCUACGUGAGUCUGUGAAUUUCACCUUUUUGUUUGAUAAUUGGAGGUUUUCGUUUAAUGCCUAAAUUCGUAAACUGUGGAAACGUUUGAAAGCAUCUAUAGCAUAUUCAUUAAAAUCACGUUUUCACAAACCAAAAAGGGUACUAAUUUGGUCUCGAUGUGUGAAAAGUAACACCUACCUAGCCAUCCAUCAGGUAAGUGAAUAAGUAUAAAAAUAUUAAUAUUUUCUCUGUAGUUCCUAUUAAAAUUGUCUAUUAUAGUUGCAGAAUGUCUAGGAAGUAUAAAAGGAUGUCGUUCAAACAUGAUUAAGAUAGAAAGGGAAAAAAUAAGUAAUUAUCCAUGGACCAAACAUUUUACAAACUGCAUUUUUUAGAAAACACACAAACAUUUUUUAUUGUUUUCAACAAUCCAUCUAAUAUUUGCAAACUGCAUCACAGCUCCACUACUAUCAUAACCCUUUAAAAAUGUUGCUUAAUCACGAGAACCUAUUACUUGUAAAUUAUUUUUCAAGCAAAUGCAACGAUAGAUCUAGUUUUGAUCUGGGUGACUUUUACGUGUACAGAAACGAGGAGAACGACCUUAUGUCAAGUCGAAGGAUUAAGAUAAAUCAAUUACAAAUCCAAACAAAACUUAUGAGUGACAUUUUAGUAUUAAGCAAACCUACCAUAAUUAAUCAUCCAGUGAUAGGUUUAUUUUCAAUUAGAGUAAUGAUAGAUAUCCCAAAUGGUGUGUCAUUACUUGAAUAGUAGGUAAUUCUUUCAAGAUUUGAGUGAAUUAAUUGUAUUAUCUCUUCAAUCUAUUGAUGAAUACCAUAUCAUUUGAGAUAAUUUUUUAAGAUAAAAGACUUAGGAUGUGUGGCACUACUCAUUGAAUUAUGCAACUUAAAUGCAAUUUUUUUAAAAUCAUUUAUUUUCAUUAAAUUUUGAGCCAUUAAUGAAAUAAAUAUAAGUACAGCUAUUUGAACCUACUCAUUUUCUCACUACAUCAUUUAUUUAAUCAAAUUAAAAUUUAAUUUUAACAUAUAAUUCAUUAAAUUAUUUGUUUGACUUUGUUCUCUCUCUCUCUCCCCCUUCGUCUCUCAUUCUCUCCAACCAUUUUUUUUUGUCUACAUAGACUAAAUAUUUCAAUUAACAAAUAAAAUUGUUACAAAAAAUAACAAAUUUAACCAUAGACACCAAUAUUAAUUAAUAAACAAAAAAAUUGAAGAGUGAUAGAAUUAAAGUCUGUUAUACCACAAUUUGCUUUACUUUUAUAUUUUUAUUUUAGUGAGGAUACGAUGUAGACAUUAUUUUAGGAUUCUAUAAUUUUUAUUAUUUUAUCGUUUUCUAUUUUAAUUAUAGUCAACUAUGGUAUAUGUCUUAGUUUUUUAUUUCUAUUAAAAUUGUGAUUUAGUUUUUCUUUUUAAGUUAACUUAGUGAAGUAGGUUUAUUAUAUUAUAAAUCAAAAUCUUAUUAUUGUAACUUCAACUAUUGAUCAACUAAUAAAGCCCUUUUUAAUAAUUCUCUCUAAAAUUAUUUAUCAAAAUCUCUCUUACAAAGUUAUUUGGAUUAGAACGUCGUCUAAUCUUGCUUUAUGCGUUAUUAAAAUCUCAUUGAGCCAUUGUUAGAAUGAGAUCUACUCACGUUUCGAUUAGGACGUAAACUAUCCACAUUACCUUAGCCAGUAUUAGAACGAUAGCUAAUAUUUCCUACUCUAUCAAUUCCACUUCCGCUAUUCCAAUUUUUUAGUUUGUAUUAGAGUGGUUCAAUGCCAAUUGCACAGUUUUCCUGGCUACCCAUAUCCAUCCCCACCAAAUCCAUCACUGUUUAUCCAACAAAAAAAUAUUACAAAAUUACAAAACCUUAGCAGCCGCCCACCGCCACUGCCACUGCCACUCUUCACUAAUAGUUCACCAUUGGCUAAUCCCUCUACCAAACUCAUUAGCCACUACUGACCAAACCUUAGCCACUCCUGCCAUCAAUCGCCGCUUGUACCUACUAUAAAUCAUCUAGACCUAAAAACUGGGAGCAUCCACCAGCUGCCACCGUGAAACCAACCAUCUUCACUGUCAACCAACACCACCACUAAACUUGCUAGAUUCCACUGGUCAUAACUUGACAAAACCCACCAAUGAUCACCCCCAUAAAUCGCCACAAUGCUAACCCAAAACCCGGGCUUCACCUAGCGCCACCACAAACGCCACUUUCUCAUUGUCGAUAGACAAAUCGCAAUCGAAAUCUCCAACAUGAAUGAAGCACCACAGAUGCCAAUUCAAGUCAGCUUUUUGACCAAACCACCGUGAAUCCAGCCAAUCCUCGGCCAUUGUCGAGUUUCUCACGACCAUAUCUAGCAAAUCUAACCACUAAGGUCACCAGCCCCAGCGAAAGAAACUCUAACGGAUAAUUUUAAUCUUAGGUGUUCAAGUAAAAUGAUAAUUUUAAUCUUAUGACAUCAACAAGAAUCUAACGAGCUAAGAUGACAAUGAAUAAUUAAUAAACUCUAGGUGGAUUUCUAAAAAGAAAUUUUUUUUUGUGUAUUUUUGAAAAAGUCCCAAAGACUACAUGGUUAGUGGAUAAUUUCCUUUUUUUUCUUAUUUUCUACUAUUAUUAACAAUAAAAGUUUUUCAAUAGUAAUUGUUACAACCAUUAUAACAAUUAUUAUUGUUAUUGCUGUUGUUGUUGUUGUACAACAAAUGUGAAAUUCUAUCUACACAACCCAAGAGGGCGGUGAAUUGGGUAUUAAAAUUAUACUUACAAAAAUACAAAACAAAUUAAACAAAUGCUUUAAGAAAUUUAUAACAGUAAAUUUAACAAUGAAUGCAAUUAAAAAAAUAAAGGAAAAGAUAACAAACAAACAAAUUUUUACGUGUUUCGGCAAAACCCGCCUAUGUUUAUGCUGCCGAGCAAACUAAGUUUGAGGAUUCCACUAUCCAAGCCUUCUCAGGCUCUAAGAUUUUACAAUUGACUUUUAAUGUGUCAAUAAACCUUUAUAAGUAGUGAUGUGUACACAUACCUCUUUCCCCAAGUGUUUCCCACACUUAUACUCACAAAAUUUUGAUAUUUAAUUGAAGAUUACAAAGAUUAAUAUCUAUAAGAGUGUAUAAGCAAAUGAUAACUCAAUAAUGAUUUAAUGCAUGUAGAUAAGUAAAAUGAAAGCUCAAGAUUAGUUGUAUGAACAAGUUUAACUUAAUUGAGAUUGAAAAAGUUGUUAGAUUUGAGUUUGAUUUGGGUUCUUCUAGUUUAAACAAUCAAACUAGUCGUAAUUGACUUUCUGAGGACUUACCGGAUUGCUGCUAAAAUAAAGAAGUUAGUCGCUAUAUUGAUGUGGUAAGUUACCGUUACAAAUAAAAUUUAAAAACUUUUUUGCCUAAGCGAAUCGUCGCCUGAUUUAAAUGGUUAGCAGCUAUGUUUUUGGACCUGAAGCAGUUAGCCACUAUUCGUUAAGCGGUUAGUCGCUACUGUUUCAAAAUUUAUAGAUUUAAACUAAAAGUUCCUAAAAUUAUACUAUGGCCUAAAGUUUUUGAAAUAUUUACAAAUAGAUCCACUUCAAGAAUUUAAUACAUUACUAGUUGAUUUCAAAGUUCUCAAAACUUUUCAAUUUAGUCCAUAAAUUUGAAAACAACUAAUUUUAUAAAAUCAUUUUUAUUUACAUUUAAAACUUUUAUAUUAUAGAAAAUGAUGAUUUAAUUUGAAAAUUGUAUGAAAAAUAUCUUGCACUCUUAAAUACUAAAUCAUGCAUACAUUAAAUCAUAUUAGUUUUACAAGAAAUAUAACUAUGAAGAUUGCUUAAGCUAGUACCUUUAGCAUUCAUCCUUGAUUGUUGUUGUCCAUUGAGUGACUUGAACUUGAUCUCACUUGAGUGAUUUUUGUCCUUCAAGAACUUGUUAGAUUGUGAGAAAUAAAUUUACCAUUUUACCUUAUGUGGUUUGUUAUCAUCAAAAUUAAGGAUCAUAUAGCCGUUUACCCCAACAAUCUCUACUUUUUUUAUGAUGACAAACACCCUAUGUAUUUUGACAUUUCUAUUGCCCCUGAAUAUAUGACAUAAUUCAAAAAAUAUAACCAAAUAUAUAAACUCACUCCCUCUAAGUACAUGAUCCAUAUAAUUGUACAACAUUUGUAAACUCUCCUUGAGUGACUCAUAAAGUAACUAAAAUACUACAAACACUCAAUCAACCCCCAUGAGCCAAAAACAUGUCAAAACACUUCAAAAUACAUGUCAAUGUCUUCUCCCCCUUCAUCAUGAAAAAUCACUCGUCUAUUAUACAAAUAUUAUCAAUAAUUAUCCCCCACAAAGAUCAUCAAUCAAAAAUCCACACAUGACCAUUAAUCAAGUAUCCAUAUACAUAAUCCAUAAUCAAUAAAGAUAAUCCAUAAAGAUAAUUAAUAAAGAUACCACGAUCAAUAACUAGAAUGCAUAAAGAUAAUCCAUAUUAACUCAAGUAUCUAUAAUGCAUAAGUAAAAUAACAUCCAUCAAGUAUCCAUAAUGCUAAAAAUGAAAAUGCAUAUGAUAAAUAAUGUCGGUGCAUAAAACAAGGAAGCAAAAGAGAUAAAAGAAAAUCACUGAUGAGGCGGCAAACAUGAUAACAAGGAUGGUGGCAAAAAUUUGAGAGCAAUGAAAAUAAGCUGCUGAUGGUCUAGAAUUUGUUAUUGUUGAAGGAAGAGACGCUGUUGCUCAGAAAGAAAAUGAUCCUGGAAUGCUGCGAACGGUAUCUUAAGUUUGCUCUACUGCUCGGAUAUGGAACGCACUUUAUUCAACAACUGCUGGAUUGGGUUAUUGGGAAUGGCUGGAGAUGAUGAUGGUGGAGCAUCAGAAGGCCAAUGUAGAGCUUGUGACCUCAGGGAAGAGCUAAGAUCAAGAACCCAGUAAGGGGAAGCACAUCGUUAAAUAUGCAAUGAUAAAAAAGAGCCAGCUUUGUGGGUUUGCUCAACAAGUUCUGAUUCUUAACCUAUUGGUCAUCUACCCACCCAAAUCCUAAGCUAGCAAUGACCUCACCCCCUAACUCCUUGGGUUCAUCAUGAGAUGGUUCAGCUAUAGGGACCCAAAAAUAUUGAAGGAUAUGGGUAAUGACACUACCGACUGAAAAGGAUCGGUUUCCUAUACUCAGUGUAUUAAGCAUGUGCUGAAUGAUAAUAUUCGCACAUUUAGCUUUUACCCUCAAGGAUGCUAUGUAAUAAAGUAACAUCUAAGCGUGUAACCUCAGCACCAUGUCCCUUGCGAGGACUGAUCACAAGUUAAAGAACAAUAUGUAGGAUCCGAACUUGAAGAGGCAACACUUGUGAUCUAAGAGAGGAAUUAAAAAGCUCCAUGGAUAGAUCAGAUCACCUACAUAUUUUUCAAACAUCUAUGUUUCAAACAUCAUCUACAACUAAAUACCAGGGAUAAUCAAUUUUAGUCCUAGAUGUAUACAAAUGCAACCUAUCAUUCCUAGUCCUGAGAUUCAUGUUUAAAUCUUCUACUGUAAACUUAAUAGGAAUCCCAGCAACAUUAGUAAUAAUCAUAUUGGCAGUAUGUGUAUAAAUAAGCAUGUUCGAAUAAAAUACUCGUACCAAAUUAGGACAAAUAUGUUCCUUAAGAACUAAGACAUUUGUCCAACCCAAUUCAGCAAGUAAAGUUCUAAGAGUUUUGCUACAACUUGGCAAAUUUUCUAAUUAAUCAAGAUUAACAUAUAUAGGAUGGGAGGACUGACCUUGUCAUAAAUCGAUCAUAGAAUCAUUCCAUUGAGGUGGAUUUGGAAAGUGGGUGGAAAUGAAUUUCAUAAUGUCUUUAUGAAUCUUUUUUUUUUACAUUUUAGGCAUAUGCUAACCCUUGGACUUCUCACCACUAGCCAUUAAGAAAUUAUCAAAAUGUGUCCAAAAUUGCACAAAUUCGAGUUCAGCAAGUUUUUAAAGAAAUAGAUGAUUUUGAACCGAUUAAAAUGUUAAAAUGUUCUUUGAGAAUAUCUAAGGAAUGUAUGGGUUUAUUUUGGUCGAAAAUGGUCAAAUAAUGGUUCAAAUUUGAGAAUGUUGAAACUGGUGACUUAGGCUUUAAGAUUUUGAGAAAAUAGUGAUUAGAUUGUGUUUUAAAAGCGAAUGAGUGAAGAUUAAUUGAUGGGAAAUGAUUUGGAAAGUUUAAUUUGACACAAAAGUGAUGUAAAAAUGGAAGAUUUUAGAGAGAGAGUAAAAGAAAUGAGAGAUGACAGUGAUAGAGAGAGGGUAACAACUGAAAGUGGGAAAAAGAAGAUGAACAACAUUUGAAAACGUGAAGCCAGCUAGCCUCUUGAAGAAAGCGGUUAACUGUUUCAUUUUUAGAAACCAAGCAAUUAACCGUUUGCUUUGAGCCGGCUGGCCAGCUAGUUUCUGCCUCACAAUUGGCUAGUCGCUUGUGGUUAACGGUUAGCUAGUUCCCCUAAAUUUUGCACGAUUUUGCUUUUUGGCCAAAAUUUAAUUAAUUUUGAGACCAUUUUGUGAUCCCGAAGUAUUUUAAAAGCCAUUUUUAAUGCAUAAGAUAUGAUGAUAAACAUUCAAAGAAGUAAAUUCAAGCAUAUAACACAUUAAAAUCAAGUUUUUAUCAUACAAUCAAUCAAGAUAGAAAAUUAAGCAAAUUUGUAGUCUCAAUAUCAUGCAAUGAAAUAUUGAUGUGAAAAUGUCAUCAUUCCAAACUCAAUCUAAAUCUUUGAAAACUAUUCUUCACAAAAAGGCUUUGUAAAAAUAUCAGCAAGUUAUUUUUCCAUAGAAACAAAUUCUAAAGCAAUAUCUCUCAUUUAAACAUGAUCACGUGAGAAAUAAUGCCUAGUUUCAAUAUGUUUGGUCCUAGAAUGUUGAAUGAGAUUCUUUGACAAAUUUAUUGAGCUAAUAAUUUAUAUGAGUUCCCUUAGACCAAGAUCAAUUGUUCCUCAUAAAUAAUGAAAAAUUCUUUUAACCGCAAGAAAAUGAGAUUCUUUGAGAUAUGGUUGAAAUCAUGCACACAAGCAUACACUAAAGUAAUGUCUACUAGCAGUAAAGUAAAGUAAAGAUAUGAUCAUACCUCGAUAUCUUUUGAUACAACAUCUUUACUUUUUUUAUCCUUAUCGAUCUUGAUUGUAGUACUCAUUGGAGUGUCUUUAGUCCUGAAUGCAAAAUCUUUUGAGUAGAUCUCUGAAAUACUUGGCUUGAUUAAUGAUUUCUUUUUUUUCUUUUAAAUUUUAAGUCCAAGAAAGUACUUCAAUUCUCUCAUCAUGCUCAUGUCAAAUUCUCUACUCAUGCAAGAUGAAAAUUCCUUACACAGAAACUCAUUAGUAGAACUAAAGAUAAUAUCAUCAAUAUAAAUUUGAACAAGUAUACCUUGAUCCUUGUAUUUAACAAAUAGAGUAGUAUUCGCUUUACCCAUUGAAAAACUAUUUUCUAAAAGAAAUUUACUAAGUAUAUCAUGUCAUGCUCUAGAUGCUUACUUUAAACUAUAUAAAACUUUGGACAACUUGUAAACAUGAUCCAAAAACAUUUUUCGUUUUUAAAACGAGAGGGUUGUUUCACUUAAGCUUCCUUUAUAAUACAACUAUUUAGAAAGGCGCUUUUAGCAUCCAUUUAAUAUAAAAUAAAAUCAUUAUGAUAUGCAAAUGAUAAAAGCAUGUAAUGGAUUCUAAUCUAGCUACAUGUGCAAAGGUUUCAUCAAAAUUAAUUUCUUCUUCUUGGUUGCAUCAUUGAGCUACUAAUCUAGCUUUAUUCCUUACAACCACACCAGAUUCAUCGAUUUUAUUCCUAAACACCCAUUUACUGCCUAUUACAGAUUGAUGUUAUGGUUUAUGAACAAGUUUCCAUACAUUGUUUCAUUCAAAUUGAUUUAACUCUUCUUGUAUUGCUAUAAUCCAAGAUUCAUAAUUUUCCACAUCUGAAAAGGAUUUUGGUUCAACUUGAGAUAUGAAUACAGUAUGUUCACAUGUAUUUCUAAGUGAUUAUCUAGUAGUUACACCUCAUGAAGGAUCUCCUAAGAUUAAGUCUUUAGGGUCUGAAGAGACAUACCUUAUCUCCUUAGAGAGUGUUUGUGAAUUACCUUCAUUUUGAAUAUGUUUAACUUGUUCUUCUUGUUGCUCAUCUUGAUUUUUGCCUAGUAAAUCAUCUUGUUUGUCUUUUAAAGACUUUUUUUUUUUUUGUAACUCUUCAUAUGCAUCAUUAUCAACAACAACUUUCUUCGUAGAAGAAAAGUUAGAUUUAAUCAAACAUAACAUGUAUAGAUUCUUUAGCGACCAAGGUUCUUUUAUUAUACACUCUAUAAGUUCUACUUGUUUUUUAAUACCCAAGAAAAAAUAUCAACAUCAGAUUUUAUAUCAAAUUUACCAAGAUUAUCUUUUGUAUUCAAUAGAAAACAUUUGCAACCAAAAACUUUGAAAUAGUCAAUAUUUUUCUAUUUUUCCAAAGCUCAAAAGGAGUUUUAUUGAGGUAAGGUCUAAUCAAUGCACGAUUUAAAACAUAACAAACAAUAUUGACGGCAACCUAAAAAUAUUCUAGUAAAGCAUUUUUAUUUAACAUGGUCCUAGUCAUUUCUUGGAUAGACCAAUUCUUUCUCUCAACUACUCCAUUUUAUUGUGGAGUUCUUGGUGACAAGAAUUGAUGCUCAAUGCCAAAGUUAUUGUAAAAAAUUGAGAAUUACAAUUUUUAAAUUCUCCACCAUGAUCACUUCUAAUGCAAGAAAUAACAUAUCAUUUUUCAUUUUGAACCUUUUUAUAGAAAUUUUGAAAGCAUUAAAGGUGUCAUCUUUAUUAGUUAAGAGUAAUACCAUGUGUAUAUAGAAUAAUAAUCUAUAAUUAUAAAUGCAUAAUAUUUACCACUUAGACUAGCAUAUUUAGAAAAUUCAAACAAAUCCAUGUGAAAAAAGUUAAAAUGGUUUUGAAGUAGAAAUAUGAAUUUUAUUUUUAAAGGACGUUUUAUUUGUUUUCUAAAUUGGCAAACUUCACAAAUUCUAUCUUUUUUAAAACCAAUUUUUGGAAGACCUAUAACCAAAUCAUUUUAAAAAAAUUUUGAAAUAAAAUCCAUGCUCGCAUGACCUAGGCUUCCAUGCCAUAUCAACUAUCAUCAUGUAAUGUGAAAAAAACAUUUAUUAUGAGUUGAUACACUAUCUAUAUCAAUGGUGUAUACAUUAACACAUCUUUAUCUAACAAAUAAAACUUUGCCAUCACAUGCAUUUUUAAUAACACAUUUUGUUUUAUAAAAAAUAACUCUAUAAUCUUUAUCACAUAAAAAUAACUUUGUAACCUUUAUCACACAAUUGACUAAUACUAAGCAAAUUCUAAAGCAAUAUCUUUUAUUUUUCUUUUUCAAAUCAUUUACAGGUAAACCUUUAUUCUUAGAUGAAACAUUUUGUUUUUUCUUUAAAAGAUGCAAUUUCUUCACAAAUACUCCUAGGCACUUAAUCUUUUUAUUCAAAGUGUCAUUCUCAUUUAAAAGUUCUACUUUUUUCUUUCCAAGAGAAACAUUUUACAUUCCAAUCUUCUUUAAAUCUUUAUGCAAUUUAGAGAAUACUUCAAACAACUCAUCCUAAGAGGUUUACCUCAUCAAGUUCAUCUCCUAUAACCAUAAGUGCCAAAUUUGACACUUCAUGGGACUACUCUUCAUCUAUAGUCUCCUUAUCGCUAUCAUCCCGUGUUGCUACCAUAGCUUUCUUCUUUAAUUUAUUGAGAAAAGGACAUGCUAGUUUUAUGUGUCUAGGCUUCCUGCAUUUAAAGCAAAUAAUUGCCUCCUUUUCUUUCUGAUUUUUGAAUUUCCUUCGCUCGAUGGAUUUCUUGAAUUUUUUUUUGAAUUUUCCAGCUAUCAUAGCCAUGUCUUCAUUUUCGAUCUCACUUUCGUUGUCACUUUUAGAUCUUGAUGCUUUUAAGGAAAUACUCUUCUUCUUCUCGACUUCAUUGCCUUUUCAAUUUGUCAAAUCCUUUUCAUAAGAAAUAAAUGAACUAAUUAAAUCAUCAAUAGAUAAAGUAUCCUUGGCUUCCUCAAUGGCAAUUUUCUUAGGUCUCUAUUCUUUUGGUAAAGACCUACUGAUUUUUUUUACCUUCUCGCUAUUUGAAAAGGUCUUUCUAAGAGCUUCUAAAGUGUUUAUAAUGUCUGUGAAUCUAGUGUAUAUGGAAUUAACACUCUCAUUUUGUUCCAUUUAUAGCAAUUCGUAUUGCCUAGUAUAUCUACUAAUUUUAGACUAUUUAACUUGAUUUGUAGCUUUAUAAACGACUUUAUGUUUUUUCCAAAUUUCAUAAGCAUUGGAACAACCUUAAGGCACAAAACAAAGCAUUCAUGGCUUUGAAAUUAAGAGAAUUUUUUCUCUUUUCUGACUCAUUCCAUUCUUGUGAAAGCUUUUAACAGUAGGCAUGAAUGGACCAUCACAAUCAACUUCCUAUAUUUCAUAAUAUAAUGCUUGCAAAUAAAUUCUUAUCAUAAUUUUCCAACAUGGAUAAUCAUUCCCAUCAAAGAAUGGUGAUCUAGUAAGGGAUUAACCUUUCCCAAAUCUGGGAUCAUUUUGGAUUACUAUGGAUCUUUUACUCUAGAUGGUUAAGUCCUAAUAAGAUAACUUCCUCUUAUACCAAAUGAAAUUCUAGCUAAGCAACCCAAGAGGGGGUGAAUUAGGUAUUAAAAAUUAUACUAACAAAAACACAAUACAAAUUAAACAAAUGCUUCAAGAAAUUUAAUAAUGGUAAAUUUAACAAUGCGUGAAAUUAAAAAGAUAAGGGAGAAGAUAACAAACACAUGAAUUUUUAUGUGGUUCGGCAAACCCGCCUAUGACUACGCCUCCAAGCAAUCCAAACUUGAGAAUUCUACUAUCUAAACCUUCCAAGACUCCAAGAUUUUACAAUUGACUUCUAAGGUGUCAAUAAACCUUUACAAGUAGUUAUGUAUACACACACCUCUUUUCCCAAGUGUUUCCCACACUUAUACUCACUCAAUUUUGAUAUUUAAUUGAAGAUUACAAAGAUUACACUCUAUAAGAGUGUAUAAGCAAAUGAUAGCUCUAUAAUGAUUAAUGUAUGUAGAUAAGCAAAAUGAAAGCUCAAGAUAUAUGAAUAAGUUUUAGCUUAAUUGAGAUUGCAAAAAAUUGUUAGAUUUGAGUUUAAUUUGAAUUUUAUAGUUUAAACAAUCAAACUAGCAAUUAUGGGCUUUUCUAGGGACUUGCUGGAUCGCCGUUAAAAUGAGGCGGUUAGCCACUAUGUUGAUAUGGUAAGUUACAGUUGCAAAUCAAAUUUGAAAACUUUGGUUCAAGCGGAUUCCGCUUGAUUUAAGCGGUUAGCUGCUAUGUUUCUAGACUUGAAGUAGUUAGCCGCUAUUGGUUAAGCGAUUAGCCACUAUUGUUCCAGGAUUUAUAGAUUAGACCUAAUUUUUUUGAAAUUAUAUUACAGCCCAAAACAUUUGAAAUAUUUACAAAUAUGUCAAUUUCUAGGAUUUAAAACAUUAUUGGUUGAUUUCAAAGUUCUCAAAACUUUUCAAUUUAGUCCAUAAAUUUGGAAAAAGCAACUAAUUUUAUAAAAUCGUUAAAACUUUUAUAUUAUAGAAAAUGAUGAUUUAAUUUAAAAAUGUCAUGAAAAAUAUCUUGAGCUUUUAAAUGUUAAAUCAUGCACACAUUAAAUUAUACUGGCUUUACAAGAAAUUUAACAAUAAAGAUUGCUUAAACUAGUACCCUUAGUAUUCGUACUUGAUUGUCAUUGUCCAUUGAGUAUCUUGAUCUUGAUUUCACUUGAAUGAUUUUUGCCCUUCAAAAACUUGUGAGAUUGUGAGAAAUAAAUUUACCAUUGUACCCUAUGUAGUUUGUUAUCAUCAAAAUCAAGGAUUAUAUAACCGUUUAGGCCAACAAAAUAUUAUAAUAAAUAAUAAUUAUUAUGAUAAAAAAUUAAAGAUAUUUCGUAAUUUGUAACAACUCAUCGUGAUUUUAAAAUAAAAUAAAUAUAUCAAUGAUGAUAUAAUUUAUUUUAAUUUUAAUUUUUACAAUUUAAAUAAAUAAAUAAAUUAUCAUUCCAUAUUUUAAUUCCAACUCAUUCCAUUCCAAUUCAUUCAUAUUUUAAUCAGUAUAUCAACUACCCCCGAGCAAUGCCCGAAAGACAUUGAGGCAAGGGCCACAGAAAAAUAUACACUUGUUAGUUUAGCGUUGGUGUCAAGUUUCUUUAGCAUUUUAAAUUCAUAAAAGAACUUAUAGUGGUUCUUCAUCCUUUGGACUUUUCAGUGUUUACUUUCUAGAGUGGGUGUGAGUAGUGUGAAUUCCUCCCACUUCAAUAUUUACUGUACCAUUUUAAGGAGGGAUUGGGAAUCCCACUCCAUAAACCCCACCCAUUUUUGGAGUGGGGAGUGGGAGUGGGAGUGGGACUCCCAUGGGAACCCACUCCCACCUCUCCCUUUUCUACCUUUAUUUAAUUAAAUUUAAUAUUUAAUAUUUAAUAAAAUAAAAUAAAUAAUAUUAUUAUAUUAAUAGAGAAUUAAUAAUAUUACUAUAUGUUAUUUAUUUGAAGAUAUAAUAUUAUUAUAUUUAUUUAAAAAUAUAGUAUUAUAUUUAUUUAAUAUUAAUAAUUAAUAAUAAUAAAUAGUUUAUUCUAAGAAAAUAUUAAUUUUAUACUAAAUAAUAUUAUAUUAUUAUUUAUAUAAUAAUAAAUUUAAUAUAAUUAAAUAAAAUAAUAUUUCAUUUUAUAUUUACCUUCCUUUUUUAACCCCCUUUUAUUAAAUUUACUAUAAUUAUAUAUUAAUAAAAUAAAAUAAAUAAUAUUUUAUUUAUUUAAAUAAUAUUAUUAUAUUUAACUAAAUAAUAAUUUGGUUUGAUUCUAAGUUUAAAUUACUUAAAAAUAAUAAUAUUAUAUUAAUAGAGAAUUAAUAAUAUUACUAUAUACUAUCUUUAUUUGAAAAUAUAAUAUUAUUAUAUUUAUUUAAAAAUAAUAGUAUUAUAUUUAUUUAAUAUCAAUAAUUAGUAAUAAUAAAUAGUUAAUUAUAAGAAAAUAUUAAUUUUGUACUAUGUUAAUAGUAAAAAUAUUUCAUUUAUAUUGCUCUUAUCAAUAAUUUUUAAUUUAUAUAAUUAAAAUUAAAAUUAAUAAAAAAUUAUGAUGUACAUAAUUAAGAAUAUUAACAAUUAUUAUAAAUUUAUAAAUAUAAUAAAAUAAAUGUUUAUUCAUUAAAUAUAUAUUUUUAUUAACUUUGUAAUAAAAAAUUAUAAUUCUUUAAAUAAAGGUAAAAUUAUAAUUUAAAAUUAUUUACUCUCAAUUCAAGAUAAAGUACACACAUAAAUUGGAUUAUGAUCUCCAUUCCAUACUUAUAUUUCAGUGUAAGUAAACAACUUACACUUAUUUCCACUCUACACUCUCAAUCAUAGAUUUUUAUUUCUCAAAAUUCUCACUCCAAUCCAAAAUGUAAACACUAUGGUAAUUGUUCACGCAACUAUUUUAAUCGAAAAUAUUUUACUCGAAACUAAUAGACCUUUCAACAAUUUUAAGCGAAAAUAAUAGACCUUUCAACAAUUUUUACGGAUUCUGGCAAUUGUUCACGCAACUAUUUUAAUAGAAAAUAUAUAUGGCUCCGUAAACAAUGAUUAUCUCUUGACAGCUGUUCUGCACUCGCCAUUUGUACUGAAAUAGAAGAUUAUCUCUUGAUGAUUAUUUAAUUGAAAAGAAUUUGUCGUUUAUAUUUGACUGACUUGACAAAGAGUUGUUCACCUGGCCUUUGGAUGAGGAUCACAUGUUUUAUGACAAUCGUAAUGUUACUAAGGUAAGUCAAGCAAUUAUUUUUAAAUAAUGAUAUUAUAAUUAAAAAUCUAAAAACAUUUAUAAUACUUAAAGACUAAUUCCGAUUAUUAAUUUUUUUAUAUGACUUCAUUAUUAGCUGACAAAUAAUUAAAAGGCCAUAGAACAAUAUUUUUAGGUCCAAUUUUUAUUCUAAUAUGACAAAAUUUGUACUUUCAUUCCUAUACUAAAAUAUAUCUAACCUACUAACUAUCAAGAAAUAUAACUAUUCAACACAUAUUUGUUAGAAAGAUUAUCUACUAAUUAAUCAUUGAUUACGAGAUUAAUAUAUUGAAAUUCAGAACUUUUUUUUUUCCUUCUGCAGUUUAAAAAGGAGUCGCCCACGAGUAUUGAAAUAAUUUUAUCAGAUUCGCUUAAAAGUAGUUUUAAUUCUCAGUCAAUUCUCAGUCAAGAAUUGACUUUUUUUUUUCCUUCUGAACUUUUUUUUUUCCUACUCUUUGCCUUCAAUUCUCAGUCAAGAAAACCUCUCCUGAUUUUCGUCUUUUGAUCUCAUACACACUUUGCUUCUAUUUAUCGUGGUCACUGCUCGUGCUAGCCGUUUUCUUAUUUAGCUUCGUUCCCUUUUGCCAUCAGCUAUUUGCAUUUUCAUUGGAUCAAGCAACCCUUUUCUUGAUUCAAUUUUCUGAUCUCAAAAACACUUUGAUUCUCUUCUGUUACACUGAUUUCCCUUGUUUUGUACAAAUAUCAUUUCUUUUUUCAACUUUGCCUUGUUUUGCUUCUACUUGAUUAUCAAUUGCGCGGCCGUUGACCCUGUUCUAUUUCUAUUUCGUUCACUUCCCCAAAAAAAAAAAAAAAAAAUGGACAUUUUGAAAAGCAUUGUUCCAGGAGUUGUAAACUGUUUGUCUCCUCACGCACAACGCGAAUUUAGUUAUUGGUAUAAUUCCGGUGCCAACUUUGAGAAUCUCAAGGCAGAACUCGAUAGGCUCAAGGAUGAAAGAGAAAGCAUUCAGCGCAGAGUUUCUGAGGCUGAAAGAAAAAGUGAAAAGAUUGAAGAGAAGGUUGAGAAAUGGCUGGUUAAUGCGAACAAGAGCAUUGAGGAGGCAGCCAAAUUCAUUUUCGACGAAGAGAAAGCAAAUGAACGAUGUCUCAUGGGGCUGUUUCCUAAUUGGAUUACUCGCUAUCAGCAUGGAAAGAAAGCAGAAACAGAGAAGGAGGCCCUUUUUAAACUCCGAGAAGAAGCUGGGAGAUUUGAUGAUAGAAUUUCCUACCGUACCAUACCGGAGGAGAUUUGGCUCAAGUCUCACAAAGGCUACGAGGCCUUCGAAUCAGGACGUUCUACUUUGGAGGCUAUAAAAAACGCAUUGAUCGAUGUUGAUGUCAGCAUCAUUGGGGUGUACGGCAUGGGCGGCAUUGGAAAGACGACACUGGUGAAGAAGGUCGCCAGGCAAGCUAUGGAAGACAAGCUCUUUGAUAUGGUAGUCUUUUCAGAGGUUUCCCAAAUCCCAGACAUAAAAAGGAUUCAACAUGAAAUUGCCGAGGAGUUGGGCCUGGAGUUGCGCGAGGAAGUUGAAUCCAGAAGAGCAAAUAGAAUAUUUGAGCGAUUGAGAGAUGAGAAGAAGAUCCUUGUGGUUUUAGACAACAUCUGGAAACACCUUGAUUUGGAGACCGUUGGAAUUCCUUUUGGAGAAGACCAUAAAGGAUGCAAACUACUGCUGACAGCAAGAGAUCGUAGUGUCCUCUUAAAAAUGGGAUCUAAAGACAACUUCUUGAUUAACAAUUUAAAUGAUGAAGAAGCAUGGAGAUUGUUUAAGAUGAUGGCCGGUGAUGAUGUUGAAAAUCGUGAGUUGAAAUCUACAGCAAUAGACGUUGCCAGGGCAUGUGGAGGUUUGCCCAUUGCCUUGACUACAGUGGCAAAGGCACUGAGAAGCAAGAGUCUGCAUGAAUGGAAGAAUUCCUUGCGAGAACUCCGAACGCCUUCAAUGGUAAACUUCGAAGGAGUAUCUGCAGAGACUUAUUCAAGUAUUGAGCUGAGUUUCAACCAUUUAAAGGUGAGCAACUCAAGAAAAUUUUUCUGCUCUGUAGUCUAAUGGAUAACCGUAUUCUUACUUCGGACUUGUUUAAGUACUCCAUGGGUUUGGGUAUAUUUAAAGGAGUCAAUAAGAUGGAAGAUGCACGAGACAAAUUAUAUGCAUUGGUCCAUGAACUUAGACACUCUUGUUUGUUGCUUGAGGGUGAGAGCAAUGAACAAUUUUCAAUGCAUGAUGUUGUUCGUGAUGUCAUAUAAUUUUCAACUAUCACUAAGUGGAAAAGAUGUGAAGAUGAUUUUGCAGGCCGAUUUCCCACAACACCUUUUUGGCAGUCUUAAACAACUAGAGAUUGUUGGAGAUGACUCAGCUUGUUUUCCAAUCUGGAACGUACUGAAGAGAUUUCACAAUCUCAAAAUGCUCAUACUGCGUUAUUUUUCAUCCCACGAAGAGCUAUUUUCAAUGGAAGGAUGCUUAGAGAAACAUGUGGGGAAGUUGGCAAUGAUAAAAGCAUUAGAGCUGCGCUGGCACUAUCAUCUGAAGCAGCUGUGCAAACAAGACUCCAAACUUGGCCCCAUUUUUCAGUAUCUUGAAUUCAAAAUGUACUUCAUUGUCAAAGUCUGUUAACUCUAUUGCCACCAUCAUCGGUAUCUUUCCAGAACCUAACAGCUCUGGUGGCUUUCGGUUGCAAGAAAUUGAUACACUUAGUAACAUCCUCCACAGCAAAAACUCUAGUGCAACUCGUCAAAGUGUGUAUAUAUGGAUGCAGAGCAAUGACAGAGGUGGUAAUAAAUGACAAAGAUGGAGUUGAAAAAGAAGAGAUUGUUUUCCGCAAAUUGAAGGCGUUGGAACUGUGUGAUUUAGAUAGCCUCACAAGUUUCUGCUCUGCCAAUUACACCUUCAAAUUCCCAUCUUUGCAAGAUUUGUGGGUGAUUGGUUGUCCCAAGAUGAAGAUUUUCACUACAGGAGAAUCAAUCACGCCUCUAAGAGUAAACGUCUGCUAUGGAGAGACAGCGGAUCAACGGCGCUGGGAUAAUAAUGAUCUAAACACAACCAUACAACAAUUACAUGCUGAGAAGGUACGGAUAUACAUAUUACUCUCUAUCUCCCAUGAUAAAUUUUUACAAAAUUUGCUUUUUUUAAAUAAAAUAUCGAUAAGAUAUUUGUUUUAAAAUUAGUUUAAAUUGAUGGAUAAGAAUUUUAUUCUCAGCUGUUGGACGGGUCGUCGAUAUACUCUACGCAAUACCACUAAUUUCAUUGGCUUCUUAUGUCUUGGAGUUGCGAAUUUGAAGAAGAAAGUCCCAGCUGGUAAUUAAUUCUUAUUUUAUUUAUUUGAUCUCGUGGGUUGUUUCACAAUUUCAUCUCAAUUAUUUAGAAUGGGUCGCUUGGUUUUCAUGUUUCGUUCAGGCUUUUGUGGGCAGAUUUUGCGUCAUUGAUUGUCUUUUGGUCUAAUUUAAUUUAAUUUGAGUAUUUUGUUUGAGAAUUCGCUUGUUCUCUAAAAUUUUAUAAUUCCUUGCAAGCAUUUUAUGAUGAAAUUUCAUUAAAAGGGGCAACACUUGCAUGUUGAAUGUCUUCAGAUAUUAUAAUUCCUUGAAAUCAUGCGAACUUUUUUCUUUCUUUCUUUGCCAAUCAUUUAUUGUCAUCAUUGCCUUUCCGUUAUAUUUGUUUCUGCUCUGUUUGUUCUUUGGAAACUUGGAAGGCAACGAAAGUACUUAAGAAAAUGCUCUUGCCUAUGAACACAUAAUUAAGAAGCUGAAUAUCAUUCAGCGGGUAAAAUAUAUAUAUAUAUAUAUAAUUAGCCCAUUAUGCCUACAACAAAUCCUUACACCAUCAAAGGUUAGCUAUGAACAACUAUAUUGUGGAAAUAUUGUUUGAAAGCAUUGGAUAGAAUUUUCAAAAAUAUCAAGUUUUCACAAACCAAAAAGGGAACUAAUUUGGUCUAGUUUUGUGAAAGUAUAGAAGCACAAAUUUUGUCUGUUAUUCUUGUUAAAAUUCUCAGCACUAUGUUUGCAGAAUGUCUGGAUACUGAUGGAGAUUCAAGUCACUCUUCUUCUGUGCAACAUUUGAAAUGAAGCCUUUUUUUCCCCCUUUAUUCAAAUUUUAUGUUGUGAGGGGUUCCGUUUCCAUCUUCAUGUGAUUUACUUCAUCGUGUCGCUACAUAUAUGAUAGUGUGUGUUAUUUCCUGUCUGUUUCCUUUAUUUGACCAUCGGAAGUUCAAAGACAUUUUAUUCUAAAUGUGUGUAAAUUCAUUUUCUGUAUAAGCUCUUUGUAUGCAUUUUGACAUUUUAUUCUCAAUAUAUGUGACUCAAUGAGAGGUCUAUUGUUAUAUAUACGUCACGAAAUUCUUGUGUAUUUUUAGAUUUGAUGAUGUAUUAUUGCCUCAUUGCAAGGUCUUAUAAUCACUCUGAUUCUUAUUUCUUGUAUAUAUAUGUAUAUAUGCGCAAGAAAUUUGAUAAAUGAUCUCGUCAUUUUCUCAGUUAAACAUCUAGUACUUUAUAUGUUGGAAGGGUACUAAGCAGCAGGCCAAGAUUUAUCAACUCAAAGAUCGUCAUGUCACUUUUUGAAAGUUGACUAAAAAAUAUUCCUAAAAGUAGCAAAAGUUGGUGGAUUAUUGUGGUUUUCCUACUUUAUCGUUUUUGGUUGAAUAAAUUAAUAUAAAGCUGUCGAUUCUGCAUUAAAGCUUAUGAAUUGUGAAGAUAUAUGAAUACCAAAUCUUUCCAACUCCAACUCUUGAGUAAUUAUUAGGUUCCCACCCAUGCAAACAUAUUUUCUUUCGAGAAAAAGGGAUGCCUGAGUCAGGGCAUCCGUUGCCUCGGUUUAUUUGAUUUUGUUUGGUUCAAUUGUGGUUCUGUUAUUUAGUUUUUCCUCUGAUGGUUCUGUUUCUCUGUAUAUUUCACUGGGUUUGCUUUGCUUCACAUCUUUCUUUCAAAACUAAGUAUAUAUCAAAUCAUGCAUAUGCUCAUGCUCUUGCCUAUGAACACAUAAAGAACAACUGAAUAUCCUUCGUCGGAUAACAAAAAAAAAAAAUCUAAUCAUCCAUUACUUAAUUAGAAAAAAAAUUUGUUCGCUCUGCUUGCUUUAGUAAUUUGUCUUUUAUAUUUGACUGGCUCGACAAAGAGUUGUUGACCUCGUUUUGAUACACUUACAUUGCAGAGAUUGAAACCAGAUCUGUCAUACAUUAGUUGGCCAUAAAAAUAAUCAAAUCACUUUCUCUUUUUCACCUAUUUUCACGGAGAAAAAUGCUAAAGAAACUGGGAGAAUGCUAAAUUCAAAGGUGGAAAGUGUACAGAGAGAGGAAGCGCGUGUUUAGAGAGAGAGGUCUCAAAUAUAUAAGUUGGAUUUCUCAUAAAAGGUAGUAAGGUUUCUAUAAUUCUAUUUCUAUUUAUGCUGAAUUUCAUGGAAACGAAGUUAAUUUAGAGAUUUGUAUACUUUAUUUAUAGUUAAGUUUUCCAAAAAAAGGCGUAAAGUUGCUCCUAAGUUCAUUUUUAUAAUUGGUCGAUUAUUUUAGAAGUCACAAGGGUGCCAACAAGGAAUUGUAGAGUCGGAUACGUGUAGCCUUCAUUGUUUUCCUGAUUCGGUAUGUAUAUAGUUAUAUGUAUGUUUAGGUAGAUUAUGGUUGGUGAUGAUAUUGUUAAUAAUAUGGAUGAUUUGUUAGAUAUGAAAAUUAAGUUAUUAAGGGUGAAACAUGAAACCGAAUCCGUCACUGCAUUUGCUUGAAAAACAAUUUUACGAAUAAUAGGUCCUCGACAACUUUCAAUGUGGUUUAGUUACAUGUAUUCAAAACAUAAAUUAUUGUUAUGAUUUUAGAAAAUUUUGUUGUUUGUAAUUUAUAUUUGAAAUUUUGCAACAAUUGUUUGGCACAAAUAUUUUUAUUUAAGAAAAAGAGUGAUCUCAUUAUUGAGCUGGUUUUGAUAACACAUAUGGAAAUAAUAAAUUGAUUCAUAAUUAAGUCAAUUACCUAAUUAAAAUGUACCUCAAUAUUUUUUUCCUCAAUAUUUUUUUGGUAAUGUUGUAUCUGUUAUAGUAAUUUUUGGUAGUUAUGUUUGGAAAUAAUCACUAUGAAGAGAAUGAGUUAAACAUUUAGGAAAAUUUAUUUUUAGAAGUCCUAUUGAUAAUGUAAAUGCUAAAUUGAAUAUAAUGUUAAAUAAAAUUUAUUUAUACAUUUAUAAACAUUUAAAUAAAAUAUUUUUAUCUUGUAAGUAUAAUAAUUGAUUACUAAAAUAAAUAUUUUAUAUUAUUAAUUUUAUUUUUAGUUUGUUAUCUCAAUGUAAUUGUUGAUAAUAUCUUUAAAGUUAAUAAUUUUAUUUUCUAAUUAAUAAGGAUAAUUAAUAUAUGUAGGGAUGUAUAUGGAAUUAUAUUGAGUAUAAAACUGAUUAUCAAAAUCAGAUUUUGAAAAACUAUUUGCUUUCAAAAUUUAUUGUAGGAUUGAUGAUUUUACCAAAGGUGACUUCUAAAAUUUUUAUUAAAUACCAAAAUUAGCAUUUAACUUUUCAAAAUUAAUUUUGAGCCUCUAAAAAUAAUCCCAAACGGAACUUUAAUAUAUGUUUGAUUUUUUUUAAUUUUAUAUUAUAUGAGACAAAAAUAUAAUUUUUAUCGUUGAAAAACAAAUGACAGAUUUUUUUGAAUAAUUUAAAAAAAAAAGAAACACAGAGCUCAAGAUAAUGCUGUAAUUGUUGCAUAAGAAGGCUGCAACUUGAUGAUAAAUUUAUUAUACUAGUUUUAAGGUUUUAUUUUGUGUGUAAAAGUUGCUGGUUCUUGUUUUAGAAAUUUCUCUUUCUAUUUGCCUGACUCGACAAAGAGUCGGUGUACCUCGUACUGAUACACUUAAAUUACAAACAUGGAAACCAGAUCUGGCAUCAUAAAUUAAUCAAUCACCUUCUCAUUAAUCUACCAUUACUCUUUUCGUUCCCUUAUUUUUAUCUAACCAUUUAGGAUAGGAUUUGAAUUCAGUACUUAAUUAUUCUUUUUAAUAAUUUUAAAAAAUUAUAAUUAAUAGUUAUUGGAUAAAAAUAUAAAAUUAAUUAUAUUAUUUGUCAUACGCGUGUGACAAAAGGUUAAGAAAAAUUUAUUUACGUUUGCUCAAUCCACUCUCUUAUUAGCUCCCCCACUCUCUUAAUCAUUUCUUCUCAUUCGAAAAACACUUUGCUUCUGUUUGUUUGUUAUUUAUUUUUAGCUCCAUAACUGCUCGUCGUAACGCUGUCUCUCUGUUUUGACUGUCCUUUAGCCUUCUUCACUUCUACAUUGUUGUCAGGAUUCAAGAUGCUGGAAAUCAUUGUUACUCUCGUUUUGGAACCUUGUAAAAUGCUUGGCUCCUCCAACUGAACGCCAACUUGUUUAUUUGCGAUGGCGGAACUACAAUGCCAACCUUGAGAAUCUCAAGGCGGAAAUGGAGAAGUUGAAGGUUGAACGUACGAGCAUUCAGCGCAGAGUUUCAGAGGCGAAAGAAAAAGGGGAAGAGAUUGAAGAGAAGGUUGAGAAGUGGCUGGUUAGUGCUAACGGCAUCAUUGACCAGGCAGCCAAAUUCGUUGAAGAUGAAGAGUCAACAAAUAAGCGCUGUCUCAAGGGCUUGUGUCCUAAUUUGAAGACCCGCUAUCAGCUUAGCAAGAAAGCAGAGACGGAGGUGAAGGCCAUUAUUGAGCUUGGAAAACAAAAUUAGAGAAAUUUCCACGUUCAAAGACAUUUUAAUAUGUUAUAACUAAACUAAUCAGAAAAACGAGUUUAAAGAAAAAAAAAAAAGGAGAGGGAGGGGACGGCAUCGUUUAAUUAAAAAGAGCUAAAAUUUUACUCUGUCCAUGUUGCAAAGCAAGAAAGCCGAAAAGCACAAAACAACAAUAAGCCAACGUUUGGGGAACUCCUCCCACCAGGGAACCAAGCUCUCCGAAUCCACGCCCAAAUCCUCACUCCCCAACGCGACGUCUUUCAACGCCUCCUCAAACUUCACAGAUUUCUCCGACACAUUGUACGACUCGGACUUCACAUCCCGAACGGAUACUCGGAACGAGCAACCCCUGUCUCCGGACAGAACCCCAAGUCGAACAAAGGUUACGAGGCCUUCGAAUCAAGAGUUUCUACUUUGAAGUCUAUACAAAAUGCGUUGACUGAUGUGAAUGUCAGCAUUAUUGGGGUGUACGGCAUGGGCGGCAUUGGAAAGACGACACUGGUGAAGGAGUUUGCUAGGCAAGCCAGGGAAGACAAGCUGUUUGAUCGGGUGGUUUUUUCAGAGGUUUCACAAACUCCAGACAUAAAAAAGAUUCAAGGGGAAAUUGCAGAGAAGUUAGGUCUGGAGUUGUCCGAUGAAGCUGAAUAUAGAAGAGCUAGCAGGCUGUAUGAACGACUGAAGAAUGAGAAUAAGAUUCUUGUGAUUCUAGAUAAUAUCUGGAAACAUGUUGAUUUGGAGACGGUUGGAAUUCCCUUCGGAAAUGAUCAUAAAGGAUGUAGACUACUGCUGACAGCAAGAGACAAUAAUGUACUAUUAAGUAUGGGCUCCAAAGAUAACUUCUUGAUUGGCAAUCUAAAUGAAGAAGAAGCUUGGGGAUUGUUUAAGAUAAUGAAUAGUGAUGAUGUUGAAAAUUGUAAGUUCAAGUCUACAGCAAUUAAUGUAGCCCAGGCAUGUGGAGGGCACUGAGAAACAAGAGUCUGCAUGAGUGGAAGAAUGCCUUGCGAGAACUCCAAACACCUUCAGUGGUAAACUUCGAAGGUGUGCCUGCAGAGACUUAUUCAAGUAUUGAACUGAGUUUCAAGUAUUUAAAAGGUGAGCAACUCAAGAAAAUUUUUCUGCUCUGUAGUCUAAUAGGUAACAGUUUUUGGAUUACAGACUUGUUUAAAUACUCCAUGGGUUUGGGCAUAUUUCAAGGAGUCAACAGGAUGGUAGAUGCACGAAACAAAUUAUAUGCAUUGGUCCAUGAACUUAGUGUUGGGGAAAAAUUAGGUUUUUAAAUUUUUAUAAAACCUUUUGAAGAUCGCUCUCAUAUAAUAUAUAAGAAUUUGUAUUCUAGAAAUCGUACCUUGAAAAUCUGAAUUGGCUUUUUCCGCUGAAGUGAUUUAGGCUCCUAGAUCACGAUCCGCCACCACCACUCCUGAUAGAUCACGAUCUGUCACCACCACGCUUGUUAGAUCACGAACUGUCUCCAAUGAUCUUCCAGGUUAUGACUCAUGUUCGAUCUGCACUUGACGUGUGGGCGCCUUUAUCACUACCAAAGCAACUAGCAUGAGAAAAUUUUUCUCUCAACAAUAGAGAGAAAAAUCUUAUUCUCCGAUCUGUAUAAAGUGGCUCCUUUCUUUUUUCUUUAGGGAAAAAUAAGCCUUUUAUAUCACCCUUUAGUGAAAACCCUAGGCUCCUAAUGAUCAAAAAACAAAACCCACGUUUAUUUGCUUUUUCAAUAGGGGACCCACCUUGUAAAAUAACAUAAGGCCCCUUAUACAAAAGCUAAUUAAAUGGAGCCUCCCACUAAAUGAUAUAUUUAGGCUUUUGACCCAAAUAGCUAGUUAUCUUACUUAUUAGUCCAGUAGUGGUGCAAUCAAUUAAAUGAGCUAACCCGGGGAUCAUUUGGGAACAUACAAUAGUGGCUACAAUAAUUAGGCCUAUAAUUAAACUAGCCCAAUUAUUUAAUUCCAAAUCUACUCCACUAAAAGAUUGGAACCGACUUCCAUAAUUGUACGCUCGAAUAAUAAUUCGUCCCAAGCCACAUUGAUUUCUUUACUGCACAAUCCUUUGUACCACAUCGUUAAUUAAAUUGAUAUCUCAACUGUCCAAUCAAUUUAAUAACAUCUUAUUCCUUGAUCCUUACUGGUUUUCUCUAAUGAUCAUUUUCAACAUACUAAAUAUGUUGACACACUCUGGCCAGAGAAUUCUAUGAUCAAGUGCCGAAAACCCAUCAAGAGAUGUGUUGUACAAAUUCUAUAUUGUUAAUCCAUAACUUCAAUACUCAUAAUUGCUCCCACCAAGAUAACGGGUAAUCUUGACCACAAGGAUGUGUCGUGCCCAUUGGUAACUCAAAUGGAAUAACAAUUACAAUCAUGAAAUCAUAAUUAACUCAAGAUUAAGAUUACAGUAAAAUCAACGCCUAUGAGAUUUAAUAAGUCUGACAGUUAUUUCAAAGUUAAUUAAAUCUCAUAUGUGAUCCUGUUCAAUGUAGUCGCACUACAUCAAUAAAUUCAUACAUGAUUAAGACAAAUCAUUCAAUGAAUUUAUUACAGUCUAGCAUGACAAGUCGGUUGAAGAUUUGUCAUCAGCAUGACAAGUCGGUUGACAGUCCAGAGAGAGCUAUAUGACAAGAUUAUCGUGUCGUCUAUAUACGCAAAGAAAGCAUGUGGUGUUCACGUGUUUCACUUAAACUAAACGGCUGCUUGAACUGUCGUUUUGUUACUUGGAAUAACCAAGAUGAAGACACGUGUAAUGAAGGCUUAUUCAGAAGUCUGUUAAGCCGUUAAUCAGCGUGGGAAGUUACUGUUCUUCUCCACGGGAAACAGGGGAAGCUUGCUGGUGAUUUGAGAGUCCUUCUUUGAUCAAGCAUCGCCUAUAUAUAUAGCUGGGUAUUCUGGGGUUAACACUUUAAGUUCAUGUAUGCUUAGCUUCUCUAAAUAAAGCUUGCACUCUGUAAGACACUCGUUCAAUAAAGCUUGGAUUCACCCUUUCACAGUGGACGUAGGCUUCCAUAGCCGAACCACUAUAGCUUUCUUGUGUUGUCUUUUCUGCUCUUGAAUUCUUCGAUUAAACUAGCUUUGAUUCUUGGCUUGUUAAAGUGUUCUUUAAGCCGAGUUCUGUUCACAUUAGCUUUAGUUACAAGAACCCUUCUUGAGUGGAUCUUGGGGAGCCAUUUUUCGGUUCUUUACUGAUAUUUGGCACAACAAAUUGGUAUCAGAGCCUCCCUCUGAAGUUCUUGAUCUAAAGAUGACUGGCCCUAAACUUGAAGUAGAAAAGUUUACUGGGGAAAAUGACUUUCACCUAUGGAGACUCAAGAUGAAAGCACUGUUGGUACAUCAAGGCCUGGAUGAAGCCCUUGCCGAAGUCACAUCACCCAAGAAACCAAGGAAGAUAUCAGAUGAUGACCUCCUAGAUGUGCUUGAUAGGGCUCACAGUGCAAUUAUCUUAAGUCUUGGAGAUGGUGUACUCAGAGAAGUGGGAGGAGAGACAACAGCUGCUGGAUUGUGGAAGAAGCUUGAGGACUUGUACACCAAAAAGUCCAUGGCCAAAAGGUUAGCCACCAAAAAGAAGCUUUACACAUUGCAGAUGGAAGAGGGUUCAUCAAUCUUUGAUCACAUUGAUGCCUUUAACAAGAUCAUCUUGGAUCUUGAAGACAUUAAUGUAAAGAUCGAUGAUGAAGAUAAAGCCAUGAUUCUGUUGUGCUCUCUACCAAGCUCUUAUGAGCAUCUGGUCGACACUCUCAUGUAUGGAAGACAGUCCCUCUCGAUGGUGGAUGUAAAAGAGACAUUGAACUCCAAGGCUGCAAGCAAGAAAGAAGCAAGUCAUGGGGAAGGAUUAACAGUUAGAGGGAGAUCAGAAAAGAAAGAAGGUGUUAAAGGGAAGAAGAAAAGAUCCAAGUCAAGACCAAAGAACAUGAAGUGCUUUCACUGCCACAAGGAAGGCCACUUCAAAAAGGACUGUCCAGAGAGGAAAUAUAAAAACAAUGAAGCAAAAGAGAAGACUGGAGAUGCUGCUGUUGCAUCAGAAGGACAAGAAUCUGAUGGUUAUGACUCUGCUGGGGUUCUCAUAGUCUCUGAUGGUGCAUCUAAAGGUAACUGGGUUUUAGAUUCUGGCUGUUCAUUCCAUAUGUGCCCUAAUAAAGCCUUCUUUAAAAACUAUGAAACCUAUGAUGGAGGGAUAGUUGUAAUGGGGAAUGAUGCUAGUUGUAGAGUAAUUGGCAGGGGCACCAUUAAACUGAAAAUGCUUGAUGGCACAAUAAAAGAAUUAGCAAAUGUCAGACAUGUUCCUGAUUUAAAGAGAAAUUUGAUUUCCCUUGGCAUGCUUGACAAAAUGGGGUGUGUUAUCAAGCUUGAGUCAGGCACUCUAAAGGUGUUGAAAGGGUCUAUGGUGUUGAUGAAAGGAAACUUAGACAAUGGCCUGUAUGUACUCUAGGGGUCUGUAGUCACAGGAGAUGUUGGAGUUUCAAACCAGAAUCUAAACAAAACCUUAUUGUGGCACUUUAGAUUAGGCCAUAUGAGUGAGAGAGGCUUGAGAGAACUAUCAAAACAGAGAGUCUUGGGUGAAGAUAAAAUAGAGCCCUUGGAAUUUUGUGAGGAGUGUGUCCUAGGCAAAUCAUCAAGAGUCAAAUUCAGCACAGGUGCACAUGUUUCAAUAGGAACUCUAGAAUACAUACAUGCUGAUCUGUGGGGACUUGCACAGACAGCAUCUUUAGGAGGGGCAAGGUAUUUUCUAUCUCUAAUUGAUGACCAUUCCAGAAUGGUUUGGGUGUAUGUGCUGAAGAACAAAGAUGAAGUGUUUGAACAUUUCAAGAACUGGAAAACACUGAUUGAAACUCAGACCAAUAGGAAGGUUAAGAAGCUCAGAACUGAUAAUGGAUUAGAAUUCUGCAACAAGAUGUUUGAAGAGUUCUGCAGCAAGCAUGGGAUCAUGAGGCACAGAACAGUAAGAUAUACACCUCAGCAAAAUGGAUUAGCUGAGAGGAUGAAUAGAACCUUAGUUGACAAAGUGAGGUGUAUGCUCAUUCACUCUAAGCUACCUAUGUCCUUGUGGGCUGAGGCUCUGUCAACAGCUUGUCACAUUGUGAAUAGAAGUCCUUCAACUGGAAUUAACUUUAAAACACCAUAUGAACUUUGGUAUAGUAAACCAGCAGAUUACUCCAGUUUGAAGAUCUUUGGUUGUCCAGCAUAUGCUCACAUCAAACAAGGAAAAUUAGAGCCCAGGGCAUUGAGGUGUAUAUUUCUUGGUUAUCCUGAAGGGGUAAAAGGGUACAAACUGUGGUGCACAGAUAUGAAGCCACCAAAAGCAAUCAUAAGCAGAGAUGUAGUAUUUAAUGAAGCUGAGAUGCUCCAGCACUCAGUAUCUCUAAAGACUACAAAUGCUGAAAUAAAAGAGAAAGAUGAGAGAUCUUUUCUUGAGGUGGAGCUGUUAAACUCAAACCAGAAACAGAAAUCAAGAUCAGAGGCUGGAGACAAAACAGACAUGGAAAUACAUGACACUGAGAAUGAAGCAGCAAGUGAUCAGGCAAUAAGUGAAGAUUAUCAGUUAGUGAGGGAUAGAGUAAAGAGAGUAAUAAGACCUCCUAGUAGAUAUGCAUAUGCAGAUCUAAUAGCAUUUGCAUUAACAGCAGCAGAUGAAAUAGCAACAGAUGAACCCAGAACAUACUCAGAAGCUAUUAACAGUGAUAAAGCAGUAGAAUGGAUAAAGGCUAUGGAUGAGGAAAUGAUGUCUUUGAAAAAGAAUCACACCUGGAAUCUCAUUGAAAGACCAGCAAACAAGAGGGUAGUAGGAUGCAAAUGGAUAUUCAGAAUCAAGGAGGGAAUACCAGAUGUUGAGCCACAAAGAUACAAAGCCAGGCUGGUUGCAAAAGGCUUCACUCAGAAAGAGGGGGUUGACUUUACAGAAGUUUUCUCCCCAGUGGUGAGACAUGCUUCCCUGAGAAUCCUGUUAUCCCUAGUGGCUGUACAAGACAUGCAUCUUGAACAGAGGGAUGUGAAGACUGCUUUCCUGCAUGGUGAAAUAGAUGAGAUGAUAGUGAUGUCACAACCUGAAGGGUAUGAGGAUUCAGAAAAGGCUGAUCAUGUAUGUCAUCUAAGGAAGUCACUAUAUGGAUUAAAACAAUCUCCAAGACUGUGGUAUCUGAGGUUUGACAGGUUUAUGUCAGAUCAUGGUUUUAAAAUGAGUAGUUUUGACUGCUGUGUUUACUUUAAAACUAUAGAAGGUGGUGACAAAAUCUACCUACUACUCUAUGUAGAUGACAUGCUAAUAGCUUGUAAAGAGAUGGAAUUCAUCAAUGAACUGAAACAGCAGCUGAGCAAUACAUUUGAGAUGAAGGAUCUGGGUGCUGCAAAGAAGAUCCUUGGAGUUCCGCUAAAGAGAGACAGGAAGAAUGGCAUCCUAAGCCUAACACAGCACAAAUACAUCAGGAAAGUACUUGAGAAAUUUAAUAUGGAUAAAUGUAAACCAGUACAGACACUACUGCCUUCACAUUUCAGACUGUCCUGUCAACAGUGUCCAAACUCUGAUACUGAGAAGGCUGAAAUGAAUAGAUUUCCAUACUCAAGUGCUGUUGGAUGUUUAAUGUAUGCAAUGGUCCUUACUAGGCCUGAUCUCUCACAUGCAGUGAGUGUGGUAAGCAGGUAUAUGGCAAACCCUGGGAAGGAUCAUUGGAGGGUUGUUGUAUGGAUCUUAAGAUACCUUGCUGGUACAACUGGAUAUGGUUUGAUCUAUGGAGCUGAGAAAUAUGCAGAGGUUAGUGUGGAGGGUUAUGUAGAUGCAGAUUAUGCUGGAGAUCUGGAUAAAAGAAGGUCUUUAACAGGUUUUCUUUUUAUGCUUAAUGGCUGCACCAUAAACUGGAAGGCUUCACUGUAGAGUGUUGUUGCUCUGUCAACAACUGAGGCAGAAUACACAGCAGCUGCAGAGGCAAUCAAAGAAGCUAUCUGGCUCAGAGGGAUGGUGACAGAACUGGGGUUUGAACAAAAACAAAUCACAGUUCAUUGUGACAGCCAAAGUGCCAUAUGUCUAAGCAAGAACCAGAUUCACCACGAGAAGACCAAGCAUAUUGAUAUCAAGCUUCACUUUGUCAGAUUGGAAAUAUCAAAGGGUGUGAUUAAGCUGGCUAAAAUACACACUGAUAGCAACAUUGCUGACAUGCUUACCAAAGCUGUACCAGGAGCUAAGUUUGAGUUAUGCUUAAACUCAGCUGGCAUUUGCAGGGUAUAGACUGCAGGAAAUAAGUGGAAGGGUGAACCUGAGGGAAUGGAUGAUUUGAGCUCAAGGUGGAGAAUGUUGAAUAUGAACUGCAAAUCGGUUUUAUAGUCAAGCAUGACAAGUCGGUUGAAGAUUUGUCAUCAGCAUGACAUGUCGGUUGACAGUCCAGAGAGAGCUAUAUGACAAGAUUAUCGUGUCGUCUAUAUACGCAAAGAAAGCAUGUGGUGUUCACGUGUUUCACUUAAACUAAACGGCUGCUUGAACUGUCGUUUUGUUACUUGGAAUAACCAAGAUGAAGAAACAUGUAAUGAAGGCUUAUUCAGAAGUCUGUUAAGCCGUUAAUCAGCGCGGGAAGCUACUGUUCUUCUCCACAGGAAACAGGGGAAGCUUGCUGGUGAUUUGAGAGUCCUUCUUUGAUCAAGCAUCGCCUAUAUAUAUAGCUGGGUAUUCUGGGGUUAACACUUUAAGUUCAUGUAUGCUUAGCUUCUCUAAAUAAAGCUUGCACUCUGUAAGACACUCGUUCAAUAAAGCUUGGAUUCACCCUUUCACAGUGGACGUAGGCUUCCAUAGCCGAACCACUAUAGCUUUCUUGUGUUGUCUUUUCUGCUCUUGAAUUCUUCGAUUAAACUAGCUUUGAUUCUUGGCUUGUUAAAGUGUUCUUUAAGCCGAGUUCUGUUCACAUUAGCUUUAGUUACAAGAACCCUUCUUGAGUGGAUCUUGGGGAGCCAUUUUUCGGUUCUUUACUGAUAUUUGGCACAACAAAAAUAAUCCAGACUUCCUGUGUAUCGUCGAUUCAAUGAAGAGAGAACCUUGUGUCGCCUUUCCUCUUUUGGAGUCCCUUACUCUUCACAAUUUGAUCAAUACGGAGAGGAUAUGUAUUGAUCGACUCAAAAUAGAGUCCUUCAAAGAACUCAAAACCAUAAAAGUGGAAAAUUGUGAUGAGUUGAGUAAUAUCUUCUGGCUCUCUAGUAGUACAAAAUGCCUUCCAAGACUGGAGAGGAUUGCAGUUAUCAAUUGCAACAGCAUGGAAGAGAAGCUGAUGUUGAUGUUGAUGAGAAGAUAGAGUUAGGUCAAUUAAGAUCUUUGAGUCUGGGAAAGCUUCCAAAGUUUACAAGGUUUUGCCGUGAAGUGAAGACUCCUUUCACAUCACCAAACAGACAAGAGUCGCAAGAGGAAUUGACAGCCAGUUCCAACGAGAUCAGUUCGGAAACGUCAACUCUGCUUUUCAACGAGAAGGCACGUAGGCUAAUGCUUCUUUUUUUUUUAAGUUCUAUCAUGCACUCGCAUUUGAAAAAAAAAAGUCUCAUACACUCGCUAAUUAACCUCUUAAUAAGUGCUUCUCAUAUGGAUAUUGUGUCAAAACAAGUGCUUUUCAUACUGAUAUUGGAUCUAAAGAGAAAAUUAUCUUUAGAUAGUGUUGCCAAAUUUGGAGGCUUUGGAGCUGAAUGCUAUUAAUGUCGACGAGAUUUGGCAUGACAAUCAACUUACGGCCAUGAUUAAUAGCUUUCAAAGCUUGACACGAUUGAUAGUGUGGGGCUGUGACAAAUUAAAAUACAUAUUUUCAGCUUCUAUGAUCCAAAGCCUUAAGCACCUCCAACACCUGGAGAUACGGAUAUGUAUGGGUUUACAAGGGAUCAUCUCCAAAGACAGAGCAGAUCAAGUGACCCCAUAUUUUGUCUUUCCACAAGUGACCACUCUGAAUCUCGAAGGUCUACCAGAACUCAGAUGUUUAUACCCUGGAAUGCAUACUUCAGAAUGGCCAGCACUAAAAAAAUUGGUGGCCUGUAAUUGUGAUAAAAUAACGUUGUCCCAGAAUAACGAGAAUGAUCAAUUUGGUAUUCCGGCACAACAGCCCCUGCUCUCGUUCAAGAAGGUAUGAAACCAAAUUUUAGAUUUUUUUUUAUCAAUUAUCUUUGUUGUUCCUCACUCACAGAUCAGGAGGUUUAAUAAAUACCUAUAUAGAGUUUUUUUCUAGUGGGAAUGCCCUUAUUUUUUACUUUUUUCAUGCGGAGAAACUUUCAAAUCCCACGGUUUAAGAGCGUGUGUGUGUAUAUAUAUAUAUAUAUAUAUAAUCAUUCUCAGGUGUGGGGGUCCGCAUUUUUUUUAAUGUGGACACGCUUUUAAACUGUGCGGUUUAAGAGAGUUAGUUUUUAAAUGAAUUAUGAGUCAUGCGGUUUUAGGGAGUUAAAAACUAACUCUUUUAAACCAUGGAGUCUAAAAACUGAUCCACAUGAAAAAAAAAAAAAGAUGUCCGCACUAGAGAAGGAAUAUAUAUAUAUAUAUAUAUAUAUAUAUAUUAGUUAGAUCAUUGAAAACUUUGAUUACACAAUGAAUUUUGCCAGUCUUGAAUUAUGGAUCAAUGUGCUAAGUUAAUAAUUUGAGCUCGAUGAUGAUCAGAUCUUACCCAACUUGGAGGAACUGGCAUCAAGUGGAAAAGACAUCACGAUGAUUUUGCAAGGCGAUUUCCCACAACACCUCUUUGGCAGUCUUAAACUACUACAGGUUGGGGAUGAUGACUUAGCUUGCUUUCAACUUGGUUUACUUGAGAGGUUUAACAAUCUUGAAUUUCUCUUCCUAUCGGAUUGUUCGUAUGAAGUGGUAUUUUCAAAUGAAGGAUAUUUGGAGAAACAUGGGAGGAAGUUGGCACUGAUAAAAAGGUUAAACCUGACCAGACUUAAUCGUCUGCAGCAACUGUGGAAACAUGACUCCAAACAGCUGGACUUCAUUUUUCAACAUCUUGAAAUUCUAAGAGCAUAUCACUGUCAAAAUCUGUUAAGUCGAUUGCCAUCAUCAUCGGUAUCUUUUCGGAAUCUCGCACAUCUGCAAGCUUUUGCUUGCAAGAAAUUGAUGAACUUAGGAACAUGCUCCACAGCAAAAAGUCUGGAGCGACUCUUAUCAUUGAAGGUAUUUGGAUGCACAGCAAUGACAGAAGUCGUAGUAUGUGACGAAGAUGAAACAGCAAAUAUAAAAGAAGAGAUUGUUUUCAGCAAAUUGAAUGUGCUGUAUCUGUCUGAUUUAGAUAGUCUCACAAGCUUCUCCUCUGCCAAUUACACAUUCAAAUUCCUAUCUUUGCAAGAUUUGUCCGUGAUUGGUUGUCCCAAGAUGAAGAUUUUCACCAAAGGAGAAUCAACCACGCCUCCGAGAGUAAACGUCCGGUACGGAAGGAGUGAGGACAAACUACGUUGGUCUAAUAAUGACCUUAACACAAUCAUACAACAAUUAUUAAUGAGUGAGUUUUUUAUCACGUUUUUAUAUGAGAAUCUUAUGAAAUUCCUCGGAAAUUCAUUAAUCAUUAGUUUUUAUUUCAUAAUAUGAAUUUUAAUUUAAAUUGAUGAAUGCUAAUUUUAUUUUCAGCUGUUGGAGGGGUCGUCUCGUUACUCAUCGCAGUACUGAUCUCAUACGCCUUUAGUACUAGGCGAGCUGUCAAUCUGAAGAAUAAGGUCCCACGUAUUUUAUUUUUAGAAUGAAAUCCCUAGAAAAUAUCAUUCAAAGUGACAACACUUUCAUGUGGAAAGCUUUCAGACUUUUUUCCCCCGCUUUAAUCGAGGGGUCUGUCAAAUUUAGUUUUUAAAUGAGAAUAAUUUUCAUGGGCCAUUUCACAAUGAAAAAUUAGUUUUUUCUAAAGUGAUGACAGUAAAAACAUAUGAAUUAAUGACCCAGUACAUUACCACAAAAUUAAUCUUGGUUAGUUAGGUUAUAUGAAAAUUGUACAAAAUAAAUAUUUUUUCUAGUUCAUGCUCAAUGUCGUGCUCUAUAAUUGCAGAAUUCCCAAGUGAUGAAGAAGAUUGAGGUCACUCCUCUGUGUUUGCAGCAUCAGAAAUAAGAGCUGUUUUUCUGUCAAACUCGUGCUCCGUCCUUUGAAGUUAAGUUUACAUGCUGAGGUUAUUCACUUUACUGUAUCACUAAUGCAGCUUUGAAAGUGUUUCAUUAACCCUCCGUUGUGUUUCUUUCAUUUGACUAUCUUAAGUUCAAAAACGAUGUAUCAAUUUACCAUUGGUGUGUACUGCUUCUUGUAAUAUAUGCAAUAAAUUUCCAGUUUAUUUUGACAUUUUGAAUAUAAAUUCUUUUGAAUUUUCAGUCAGAGGUUUGGUAGUUGUUCUGAUUUAUCUUCAGUUUAAUUUUGUGAUCACAGGAACGUUAGGACUUGCAUGCAUGAACGCACAUUAAAUCACAGAAUUUUUGUCAUACAUCCAUGCAGAUGAAAUUUUAUCAGCAAUCUUGUAAUUUUCUGUUAUUGUUGUCGUUGUCAUUAUUCUAUUGCUGGUCCUGUUUGAAAUUUCUAGUAUUUUAGAUGUGAAAUUUAUUAUAUUAGGUAUUCAAGGUAUAUAUAUGAUGCUGAAUACAGGGCUUCUGUUGUCUAAAUUUGUUUUAUUUUGUUUGCUUCACAUAUAAUUUUCAAAAACUUUUGAAGAAUGCUGAGAGAAGGAACAAUUGGGCUAAAGAAUCAAAUGUAAUAUUGAAGUUAGUUUGUUAAUUGCCAUCAUUGCUGUCCUGUUAUUUUAAUUUUUGCCCUGUUUGUUCUGUUUCCCUGUUUGCUCCACAUCUAUCUUCCCUAACUUAGAAGGCAAGGAAUUUGUACUUGAAGACGAAUAGCAGUUGCACAAAAUGUGGCAACCACACCAAAUAAUCAGUUUGUUGAGAAAUUUUCAAAGCUUUACUUGAUAAAAAUUUGAAAGUUUUGAAGAGGAUUCAGGUCGCUCUUCUGUGCAGCCUCUGGAAUAAGAGCUGUGUCACUGUUGAAAAGUUUACAUGCUGAGAGGCUUCCAUCUUCAUUGUUCUACUUAUGCUUUACUUCAUCUUCACCGUGUCACUACAAGGUUAAGGCAGCUACAGUUAUGACGGAGAAGGAUCAUUCCCUGAUUUUGGCUGCUUCAAGUUAGUUGGGUUUGGUGAACCAAGUUGUGUCAGGAUUAGCUUAUAAGGGCCCACAUGAUUUCAGACGAGCCUGAGCUUUUGUCUCUCCCUCAUCCAUCUCAACACACUCAAUCUUCAUGUGGCUUUUGCCCGCCAAUCCACUAGCUCCAGCUUCCUGAAAAUGUAAAACAACUACUAGUAUUAUGGUCAGUGAUCGCUGUCAGAUUGAUUGGAUUAAUUAUAAUUACAGAUCAAACUGUUGAAAUUCAAUUUAACAGAUACACACGCCUUGGCGCGUUUCCAAGUUUCGGCAACGGUGAGAGGACCGUGUUCCUUGACUAUGGCAAACAUAACCCUCGUAAUUCUCUGAGUUUGCUCCGGUGGAGUUUUUGAGAUCUAUGGGUUUCAUCUUUGGUUUCGGCUUCGUCGACAAAUAUCUCACAAACAUUCUGCAUUCAAGAAACAACACAACUCCCGCUCUAAAUGUAUUUUAUACACUUUCAAACGCACCGUUUUGAUUUUUGUUAUAAACAUGACGCCGCCAUUUUUAUUUUUUAUUUUUUUUUUGAACAGGCGUAGCACUACUGUUUUCAGUAAUUUUGGGAUGUGUAGCACUACUGUUUCUUUUUAAUCCUUUCCUUUUAUCUUUUAUAGCCAUCUUCCAUGUUAUUAGGAGGAGUGGUUUUUACUAUUUUAAAAAAAAUUUGAUCAAAUUAAACUUUUGAUCAGAGUUCAUAACAAAAAUCAAAACGGUGCAUGACAUCGAGAUUAUGAUGAAUCAAAUUGAACUCCCAGUACGUUAGUUCAUAAAAAAUGCUUUUCUUCUUCCAAGUAAUCUUAUCAUUUCCUUCAUUUUAUUCACUCUCCUCUUUUCAAGUCUUCAAUCUUACACUCGGUAAGUAAAAUAUUCAACUGCUUUUUCACUUCAGUUCCGGACAACCGAGAAGGUGCUUGUCUCUACUCUCCACUCCCUAUUCUCUAGUUUUAUCAAAAGACACUAUUUUCGAAACCUAUGAUUCGUUGGUUAAAAUCGACGGUAACCCAGUGACAAAAUUUUCUAUUAUGUAUCAACCAAUUAGAUCUAGUGUUUUGUUGGCAAACAAGAAAUGCUUAUUUACCUUUAAUAGUCCACCCAAACAAGUUGGCAUUUGCUAGAAAGUCAGAGAUAGUCCAUAACAAUGCUGCAUGUAACUUGAACAUUUGAUUACGUGAUGCAUCGUGUAUCAUUCCAACCAUACUAUCAUCAGCACCCGAGCCAUGACUAACCUGUUUCUUAGUUAGAUUUCAAAGAUGAAGAUGGCUUACCCUGCAAUAUCCAGCUUUAAUACUUUAACCAAAAACCAUUUAUAAUGAUAUGGUCUCCUGCCACUUCCCUUAUAACGAAAUAUCGAUUACGACACUUCUUACAAGGACAAUAAAUACUUGUAUCACCAACAACAUUCUCAAAUGCAAAAUCUAGAAAUUUUUCAACCCCAUUGGUAUAUGACUUGGAUAUCUAUUUGGCAAACCAACCCAACUCUUGUCCAUGACUAUCUCCCUUUAAUGCACUACAAAAAUUAGUUAAAUAAAUCAUUUUAGUUCUUCAUUUCUACUACUAAACAAGAUAUUUUCAUGUGUGCACAGUUUUGGAAUAUAAUGAAAAAAUCAUUAUACAAUUUUAUGGUUAAUUUCGUUAGAAUAUUUAUAUAGAUGAAAGGAAGCAAAGCCAAAAGAAUCAGAGAAAAAGAUGUGAAAAUUAAAGUAUAUAUACAAUAAUAAUUAAUGUAAAAAAAAUGUUUCCAAUACCUUGUGCAAAGAAAUAUCCUCACCCACUGCUGAGAACUUCACUUGGCUAUCAAUUACAGAUAUAUAAAGCCUGUUACCUUAAAAAAAAUUAGGCCAGCCAGCUGAAGCAUACUUAUAAACCAACAUUGGAGAUAGUACUCCAUUUAUAAACAAAAUUACAACUUUACAAGCUCAAAACCAAGUCAACUCAGCAAAACCAUUACCGAUUACAUCCAUCCAACUCAGCUCCUCCACUCCCAUCAAUGCAUCCAACAUUCCCUUCAUAUUUACAAAAGGUAAGUGGUUCUAUAUAUCCCACUCAAGAAUGCAUAAGUUUCUUCAAUCUCAAGUAUCUAGAGUUUUCUUCUAUGUUUAUAGAAAUUUCAGAAGAAUCUCCCUAUAAUUCUUCAAGUACAUGACAUAGAUAUAUGAGUGUUUAUGUGCUAUGCCAAAACAACACAUAGUAUGUACCCAGAGACCAUGAGGAGCAGCUACUAAGAAACCCAUUUUUACAUCGGAAAAAAACUUCAUGUACUAACCAAUGAGUAGUUGUUAAAAGCCAAUGAAUAAUUUUAUAAGAAAUCAACAAUAAUGUUGAAAAAAAAACCAAACAAAAAUAAUAAAGCCAAUGAAUAGAUUAAGGCUCUUUAAGGUCUAAUAAACUAAUCAAACUAAGUUGUGGGUAAAGGCGAAUAUGUUUGUUUGGUCAAUAAUAAGCUCAACAAAUCACUAAUAAUCACCUAAUCACUUUUCCUUAUGCUAUGCAAUGUAAUGGCCUGGGUAAUGGCUGCAAGGCAGGCAAUAACUAGCUAGCCAGUUAUGAUAGUGGAUUAACUUAACCUACUGGAAAUCUGAAGACCAAAACGAAGAAGCUUUGACGAGAACUAGAAUAGGAACGUUCAUACCCAAAACUAAUAUAUAUGAUUAAGAAACUUGAUUAAAUGUAUAAUUUUGUUUGCCGCAAUUUAAGAGAACUUUCAAAAGAUGCUAAGGUACACCAAAUCCCACUAUUCCAUACUCGUAAACACAAAAAACCAUGGCAAAAAUUAAUUACUAUAUCAAAUAAAAUAGGUCGUAGGACAUUGAGAUUAGGAAAACAUGAUUUGUAUACUGUAAAAUAACUAUAUCUGCAUAGUCAACUAUAUUUCUGUUAGAACUCUAAAGUUUUCCAUUAAAUUUUUUUUCCCUCUUAAGUAAACCACUUAACUGAAAUGCUUAAGCCAAUAUUGACAAUCAUAGACAUACAAGUAUUAUUAAGCUCGUUCAAGUGAAAUGAGCAUUAUUUUACAUAUCCUUUAGGUUUUUAAGUCAUUUAGAAGUCAUUCAUGUUAAAAAAUUUCUUCAUAUACUUUCAAUAUAAUUAGUACCUGCACAAUUAAUUAAUUAAAUAAAUCUGUUUCAGCUGGCACAGGAACUUAAUUGAUCAGAGCUAGUAGUCAUAGCUAGGACUUGAACGGGGCACCUUUCAAAGUUCAAGAGGAGCAUCUGAACAGAAUGAAAGCAUAUAACUUAUCAGACAAUAUAACAAGCACUUGGUGAGUAUACAAGAUAAACUAAAACAAGUUAUCUAGAAAAUGAAACUAAAACCCAAGCUCCGCUAUUCAUUGUAGAAGCUUUAAACAUAAAAUUAAAGUAAUUCUAAUUGCAAAACAUUAGAAUGGAUGUUGAAAUUAAAGCUAAAUUCAAUAGUAAUUCAAAUGAAUCCAUUUGAACUUUGUUAAUUCCGCAGAACAAAAUUAAUUUGAGUGAGCAAACUCACCAAUGGAACAAGAACACUGGGGCUUCAACUUGUAGGAAUAAAAAAAGGAAAAAUAUUGCUGGCGGGACAAAAAUUGACAAUGACGGCUAAAAUACGAAUUAUAAAAAAAAACCAAAAUCUAUAAUUACAAGCUAAGAGAAGAAACUCAUAAUCACAAGCUUACCUCAAAAGAUGAAGGGAGAAUACGAUGAAGAAGAAGAUGGCCGGUGUUUUACGCCGUUCGCCGGCAACCAGUUAGGUUUACGAUGGUGGCUAGUCCAGCGAAUAGUUUUGUAACUGGAAAUAAAUUUAAAAUUCUAAAAUAGUAGGAUACCGAACGGCUCUUUACCGUCACGUGGUUAGUAACAUAUGCGACAGCAGUGUGGCUGUCACAUAAAGGGUAACAAAAGCAACUCGGGUUUACAAAGCUAGAAGUUAGUGAUAUACGUAAUGGCUUUGUUUGCAUUCACAUUAGGGGUCACAUAUACCCUAUUUUCUUGUAGUACAUGGUAAAUUCUAUUUGAAAAUUGCUAAGUAUUUUAGAUUUGUACGAAUUCAUUUUUGUGUGCUCGUUGAAUAAUAAUGUAUAAUAAAUUAAAUUUUUGGUGUAAUUUUCACAAUAUUGUAUUAUAAAUAUGUCUCGUUGAGAGGUUUUGAAACCGUUUUGAUUUAUCAUAAUUGAUAUUUCCACAAUUACAAAAGAUGCCAGAGAAAAUUUGAUUAUCUUAAGAAAUGAGUGCAUGAGAUAUGAAAUCAACCAUACCAUAAAAUCAAAUUUUAUCAUGUCAUCCUUCCUUGUUCAAAUUUAUGGAAACGAUAAUCAAAUGCAUCCAUGAACUAGUAUAUUCCGACAUAGGUACCAUCAAAUUAUUGCUAUGUCAUACUUAUAAAUUUUAAUAACAACAAUUGGGCCAAGCAUAUGUUGGGCAUUUGAAGAUUUAUAAGCUCCAUCCUUGAAAAAAUAAGGCUUGACUAUUCUCAAUAUAAUUCUUUUUGUUUUAAGUUCUUAAUUAAGCUUUCUUGCUUGUUUUCAAGAGCCAGUAUUGUAAUGAUCGACAAAGAUGAUUUGCAUUUAUUGCACUUGGCAGUUAUGUGUCACUUAUUAAUUAGAUUUAAAUUUUAUAAAUUAAUUAAGUUGAUUAGUACUUUAUGUUGAUGCAGAAAUCUGGUCAAGUCGGUUGUUGACUCAAUACCACAUCCUCGCGUCAGCAUUAAAUUUGUUUGGUGGAGAAGCGGCUUGUUAAUCUCCAAGAAAAUCCUCUAACCACGAGCAGAUAAUCCAUGAGCAGAUGAUCCAUGAGCUGCUAAUCAGUGAGCACCAUGAGCAGAUGUUCUAUGAGUAGAUAAUGAAUGAGAAGAUGAUCCAUGAGCAGAUAACCCGCAAGCAUGCAAGCACAAAGAACAGUCAGGGGGCACCAUAAGCUUUUCCAGCGAAAACCCUCUGACGCUCAAGUCAGGGAUUUGGGUCUACUUAGAAAAAUCCGUACCACAAUUCACGCGGCUUAAUUAUGAAUACUUUAAAAAAAAGCUUUUAAAUAAAUUUAUGGAAAAAGAAUAGAAAAUAAUCAAUCUUAAAAAAAGAAAUCAUGGCAGAAAGAGAAGUUUCCCAGUGAUAGAGAGAAAAAGAUCCCAUGGGUUCAGUCGCCCAGAGAGAGAGAGAGAUAAAAAGAAUCCCCCCAUUUUCCUCCCUUUCCCAGAGUUUUUAUAGGAAAUUAUAAUUGUUUUUUUCCUCUCACCUAAAACUCUCAAGAAGACUACUAAUUUUCAGCCCGCUAAGAAUAUGGUCCCUAAUAUUUCGAAGAAAAUAAGUGAGAUUUGUUUUGACUGAGUCGUGCUUCCUGGUAACCUCCUGGUCGAGAUAAUCUGCUCGAGGUCACCAAAUAAUCUCAAGGUCGAGGUGAUAUGCUCAAGGUGGCCAAAUAAUCUCUUAGUCAAGAUGAUGUGCUCGAGAUCACCAAAUAAUAUAUUGGUCAAGGUGAUGUGCUCGAGGUGACCAAAUAAUCUCUUGGUAGCCUAUCAACUAUUUGUUCACUUUUUACUUUGAGAAGAGCACAAUAAUGUAUGAGUAAAUACCUUAUCUUGGUCACCCUAUUUCAUUCCCCGAAUACUUUAUAUGUGCACUAAAUGAUAGAUACUGCAUAAAUUGGGACACUAGUAACUAUGUAUCCAAACUAUGUAAUAUUUUUUUGUCACAAACUCAAUCAUGGCCUGAUAUUCUAAAUAUUAUUUAGAAUACCAUUUCAAGCCCCAUGGGGGCUCCUUCCAUUUAAAAAAAAAAGUAUGAAAUAGAUGUAGAUUUUUCUUCAGAUAUUAUUAGUAAGAAAGAGUACCUUUGGUGGCAAUGGUCCGGGAUGAUUUGGGAUUUGACAAUUCCACCCUCAUCUUAAUUAUAAAAUGGAAUGUAAGUAAUAAGUAUGGAUAAACUCAUCCUGCUUAUAUAUUGGUGAUCAAAAUUAGGACCAAUCUCAAACCGCUCACAAUUAUGUCCUAUCCUAACUAUCCUGAAUGUCUCGAAUGCCUCCCUUAAUUAUCAUUUUAGUUCUCAUUAACAUAUUAGCAAAAUUUCCAUAUAUUAAAAAUAUUAGGGUCUGACUAUCUAUACUUAAAAAAUUACUAUGAACACUCAAUUAUUUUAUUCCCUCAUCUAAUAAAUUUAAAAAAUUAAGUUUUAUUUUGCACACUUUUUAAAUAACAAAAACAUCUUUACAUGAACCUAAUAAGUUUCUUUAAAAAAAUUAAAUCAAUUAUUUUUAUUUAUUCAAAAUACUAAUAAAACUAUUCAGCAGACCGUGAAAUAAAAUUUUUAAGAAAUUUAGCAUAUACAACAUUGAAAUCAAUUUAUGUUUCAAAUAAAUUCUUUAAUACAAUCAUAGUAAUUACUUAUUGUUUAUUAAAGAAUGUGUUCACGAUUGUUUUUAAUUUUGCGAAAUCAAAAAAGAAGAAGAAGAAGUUUGGGGUUUAAGAUACAUUUAAUUUUUAGUGUAACAGUUGUAUCAAACAAAAUAAAAACUAAAACAUCCAAAAGUUACAAGUUCCAACACCUCCCAAAUAAAGGCCCGUUAGGAUUGUUUUUGGGAAGCUCAAAAGUGAUUUUGAAAACUAAAAGCUAAUUUUUAGUGUUUUAUAAAUUUUUUUAGUAAUUACUUUUGGAAAAAUCAUUUCAUCAUACAGUGGAUUUUAAAAAGUAUAAAUAGUUUUUCAAAAUUUGAUUUUGAAAAUCACUUUUAUACUUAAUCCAAUUUUAUAUAUAUAUCCUCAUUAUAUAAUAAAAAUCCAAAAAUAUCUUUAUUAAUUAAGAAAUAAAAUUAUUAAGUUUAAAGAGAUUAUUAUUAUUAUUACCAAUUAUAUUGAGAUAACAAAAUAAAGAAUAAAAUUUAAUAAUAUAAAAUAUUUAUUUUAGUUAUCAAUAAUUAUAUGUACAUAAUAAAAAUAUUUUAAAUACAUGUCUGUAAAUGUGUAAAUAAAUUUUAUUUAGCAUUAUGUCCAAUUUAGUUAUUUACAUUCUUGGACCAGUUUAACAAUAAAAUUUAUGAAAUAUAUACGACUGCUUUUAAAACUAAAAGUACUUUUAAAAAUAAAUUUUACUAAAUGUUCAGCUGAUUCUCUUCACGAUUGAUCAAUUUCUACAACAUAGCUAACUGUAAUUAUUUUAAAAUUACAGGAUUACCAAAAUGACCCUAAAUCAAACCAAUAAAAAUGUCUAAAAGUAACAAUAAAAAACCAAAGCAAACGUACAAAAAUUCAUGCAUAAAUUGAUAAUCAACAAAAACAUCCAAAAGUUCAACUCCAAGUUUUCUGUUCAAUUGACAUAACCCUUAAAUUUCAAAAGGCAUAAUCAAUUUUGUGUCUAAUCGUAUAAAAUUAGAAAAUUAAAGAAUAUUAUAUACUGAUAAUUAAAUAAUAUGCAAUUAAUAAUGUUAAAAAAAUAAUGUCAAACAUAUUGUCAACUAAAAUAAUUGGGAGAAUUGGAGUUCCAAGAUAAAUUCUUAUCUAGUCCCAAAUCAACAAUUGGAAUUAAUUUCAAUCUUAAACUCUGACUGCCUUUAAAAUUGGUCCUAAUAAUAUGGACAAAUCCCAUUCUGAUCAGUAUGGAAUUCCAACCCCAUAUCUUUGGGUCUCGAUGGUGUUUAGUUGGAGGGAUGAGACGGGAAGGAAAUGAAUUCAAAUUCCUUUCACUUUUCUGUUGUUUGGUUUUCACUAAUAUAUGGGAAUUCAAUUUCUAUUGAAAUUUAAUUUUCAUCAAAUUGUGCAUUUUGGAUUCCUCACCGAAGGUUGUAAAAUUCAAAUGCCCCUCCUAUUAGAAAUCGAGUCAUCCAAAAUUGCUCCUCUCAAAUAUUUAUCAAUUAUUUUAAUUCUUAUCAAAUAAUUCUUAUUUAUGAUUUUAUUUUUUCAAUUUAAAUUGUCACUAAGGAUUCUUGACUUACUACCGUAGAAAAGCAAAAAUACAAUUUAUAGAUUAUGAUAAUUCUAUGUAUUGUAUGAGAAUUGCAAUCCAAAAAUUUUCCCUACUAAACGAUUUUCAAUCGACAGCAAAUACAUGCUUUCAAAUUUAGUCAGCUGAACUAAUUUUUGUUUUUUUGGAUUAAUUUUGAAAUGUUGCAUCCAUAACGAGCUGCCAUUGAAAUUAAUGUUAACAACAAAAGUAGAAGCAAAAGGAGAAACAAGCGUCAUGUGCAGUACCCACUGUGAACUACUCACAUUGGAAUAAGUUGUUGGCAGCUGGUCUGUUUGGCCAUUAAUAUUUUGACUAUUCAGUGUUGAUUUUGAUUCCACUAAAUUAAGCCAUCAAAAAUUGCUGGGAAGGGAGUAAUAUCUAUUCAUAAUUGGAAAUACUCACCGUACAAUGAAGGUUAGAGCUGCAUGUAUCAUUUAUUAUUAACAACUAACUUAUGAAAUGCUUUGAAUGUACCUCCUAGGUCGUAUUUACUAUACUGGUUAGGAGAAACUACAACAUUAAAUUAUUUGAUAAAUACUUAUUAUAAUUUUAAAAAUAUAUUAAUUUUAUCCUUAACUUUAUGAUAAAAAAUUUAAAAUAUAUAUAAAUCAUUCAUUUUAUAAUCUUGAACUUUAUUAAAGUUUCAAAAACUAUUACUCUAUAUGAUAUAAUAGUGUGAUGUUAUUACACUAUUAUACCAUAUAAAAUAUAUUUGCUUUCUUAAAUUUUAAUAAAGUCUAGGUUUUGGAGAGAAGCACUUUAUAUAUAUGUAUAUAUAAUGAUUCUCCAGUGACGACAUCCUCAUUUUAACAAAGUGAUGAUAUCGCUAACAAACUAAAUAACACACAUUUCAAUACACCAAUAGAUUAAAAAAAUCCAGUUCUUAAUGUGUUAAAAUAUAUGUCUUUUGUAUAUUAUUGAUAUUUUCACUUUAACAAAGUGAGAGUCUCCUCACUAUAGAAGUACUUUAUAAAUAUUCUUUGUAUUUUUGUGAAAAUUAUUAUUUAAAAGUCAUAUCUUACCAAAGACUAAUAGUUUUUAUUUUAUCAUUACGCCGUACUUUUCAAGACAGAACACCUCAAUACCAUGACCUUAAUUUUUGAACUCUGCUGUACAAAGUUGUUGGUUGGUCUAUUUACUUUAGUGUUUCAAUUAUUUGUCGUUUGAACUGAGAUGAUCCGAAUAAAGCUAUAUAUCAAUAAUUUCCUAGUGAAACUUCGGGAAAAAAUAAAAAUCCUCUCAUACAGUAGCAUUAUUUUAAUUCUCAGCUUGAUUAUGUUUUGAGUUAACUUAUAGAUUAUUUGAAAUAAAAAGAAUAUAAUUUAUUUUUUCUAACUAAAUAUUUUAAAAUAAUUUUGUUAAUUUAAUGAGUACUUAUACACUUACAACGUUAUGAUAUAAAAUUAUAUCCCAGAAUACUGCUAUGUGUUUCUUAGUAAUUAACUUUUUAUACUAUUAUUAAUGAGAUAAUUAACUUCAACACCAAUAAACAAAUUUUAUAUUAAUACAUCCUCUAGCUUUAUUAUCAAAUAAUCAUAUGUCAUAAUCAAAGCAAGCUACCAGAGCCUACCACUAAAAGAUUUAUUGAAGGGUUUUCCAAGUUUGAAAAUGUUAGUAGCAUUGGCAAAUGGCAACUUCCAGGAAUCUUCCGAUCAAAAUAGUUGAAUCAACUAUUCAAUGAAAUACGCAAAUGGCACAAAGGACCCCCACCACCCAUUAAGUCACGUCAUUUAUUUAUUUGUAAAAGAAAAAUAAGGUUCCGAUCGGAAGAAAUCAGCACCUUAUAAUGCAUGAUUACUCGUAUGUCAAGUUUACCGAUUAUAAGUCAUCAUCACAAUAACUUUGGACUUUAAUAUUUAAGUCUCUGUUUGGGACCAAUGUAUGGCAGUUGGACAACACAUCACUCAAUUAUAGAGUGUGAAAUAUUGAUAUUGUUCUUAUUAUUUUAUGUAAUGUAUAAACGUUUCCUUUUAUUUUUGUUUGAUUAUUUAUUUUUUAUACUUAAUAAAUAUAAAUUUAUUUUUUUAAUAUUUAACAAAUAGUCACGGCUAGACAAUAUUGUCAGAUAUUACAAACGAUGACCCAAAUCCUUUUAUCUCACAGAAAUAAUUUAAAUUCACAACAACUAUGACGUUACAUUAUCAAAUAAACACUAAAUACUUUGAUGAUUAUAGUUUAUCUUUCAUUCAUAGCAUGAAGAGUUUGAAAUAUGAUCUCAAAACAAAGAGUACGACAUGUCAUGUUCGGUUUUCAGAAGAAGUGUACGCCAUGUCAUCCGAAAACUAAAAGGCACGUAUGACAACCAGACGCUGUCAUCUCUGAUUUGCUUACACUUUAAGGAUGAAUUCUGGGUUUUGAGUGACAAUUAAAAGCUAGAGUGAGAAUUAGAGAGACAGUUAUAUAUUCUUAUUUAUUCCUAGCACUUGCUAUAUUGUGUAGGUCUUUUGUGACUCCAAUAAUAAAAACGCUCAUAUUAUUUUUUAUAGAGCAAUAUUUGUUAAAGCAUGAAGAACGGCAGAAAUAUUGUAAAUCCAUCUCAACUUUUUUGUUUAUUGUGGUCGUUGAUAGCGCUAGCUGUUUUCUUAUUUAACUUUGUUCCCUUUUGCCAUCAGCUCUUAGCAUUUUCAUUGGAUCAAGCGACCAUUUUCUUGCUUCAAUUUCUGAUCUCAAAAGCACUUUGACUCUCUUCAGUUACACUGAUUUUCUCCUUGUUUUGUACACAUAUCUUUUCUCUUUCCCAUUUAGCUUUGAUUUGCUUCUACUUGACUAUCAAUUGCCCAGUCGUUGAACCUGUUGUAUUUUUAUUUUGUUCACUUCAAAUAGACCAAAAAAAACAAAUGUUGGAUAAAAGCCAAAAAUCUAAUUUGAUUUUUAAUAUGAUUUAGCUAAGAUGUCCAAUUUAAUGCUAAGAGUAAUGUUAAGGAUCCCAAUAAUUGAAUCUCAACUGAUAUGAUAGUCAUUUAUUAGAUGAUCGAAAUAUUAAUUUUACUAAUUAUGAAAUUCAUUAUCUAAUAAAAUAAUGACACAUAACAAUUGGGUCUCAAGUUAGAAUUCUACUAUUGAAAUUCCUAACAUUAUUCUAAUAUUAAAAAUUCAUCAAAAUAAUAUCUAUUAUCUAAAAAAAUAAAAUAAAAAUCUAAAACCAUAAAUUUACUCUUCGAUCUUCGUGAUUUGACUGAUUUCUUUAUAUUUUUAUCGGUCAUUUUAUUGGUACUGGUUUGAUUUUCUGACUAAGCUACUGUUUAGUUCUAAGUUUUGGCAAUUACCCGGACUGCUCUGUUUUGUGUAUCAUCGACACAAUAAGGCUUAGCAUUUAAAAGUCGGCAGCCACGCAACUUCUUGGAAUCUUCGUGCAAGUGUUGGAUAUCGACUGUUCGAUAAUGAUGGCAGCAUUUGACUGGAGUGUAAUUGACGCAGUGGAAUAAGGAUCACAUGUCUCAAACUUUUGGUGAAGAUAUUGUCAGAUAUUUUAUUGAUCAAGUAAGGAUCACAAAUAAUGGAUAUUGGAUGAGGAUCACAUGUUUUAUGGGACUUAACUAUGUUGCAACAGUGAUACUAUACCAUUGUUUUUGUCAUUAUUCAUCGCGGCCAUUGGAUGGUAACUUAUUUAAUCUAAUGGUUUAAAUUAGUUAAUGGAGAAAUGACGCGGCAACUUACAACCCUUGCAGCCGGUUCUGUAUUGAUCUAAUAGCAUGGAGUAGUAAGCGUGCGUUCCAGAACCUUGUCACUGAUCAUGAAGAACAUUGAUCCAAUAGCAUGGAGUAGUAAGCGUGCGUUUCAAAGAUGCUAAGAUACACCAAAUCCCACUAUUUCCAUACUCAUAAAAACAAAAAGCCACGGCAAAAUGAAUGACUAUAUAAAAUAAAAUAGGUCAUAGGACAUUGAGAUUAAGGCAACAUGAUUUGUAUACCAUAAAAUAACUAUAUCUGCAUAGUCAAUUAUAUUUCUGUUAGAACUCUAAAGUUUUCCAUUAAAUUUUUUUCCCUCUUAUGUAAACCAUUUAACUGAAACGCUUAAGCCAAUAUUAAAAAUCAUAGACAUACAAGUAUUAAUAGGCUCGUUCAAGUGAAAUGAGCAUUAUUUAUUUAGGUUUUUAAGUCAUUUAGAAGUCAUUCAUGUUAAAAAAUUUCUUCAUAUACUUUCAUUAUAAUUAGUACAUACACAAUUAUUUAAAUAAAUAAAUCUGUUUCAGCUAGUACAGGAAAUUAAUUAAUCAAAGCUAGUAGUUAUAGCUAGGAUCUGAAUUACAGAGUUCAAGAGGAGCAUCUGAACAGAAUGAAAGUCCUUUAUAGAAAUGGUAAUGUCGCUUUACCAUUUAGAUAUCUUCUAGAAAGUACUUACAUCACGCAAUUAGGGACCGAUAUUUAAUGACAAUAACAAUCCAAAAGAUUGGGAGGGCCAACUAAAGGAAUAAAUCACUCAACCAAACCCUUAGGGACAGAUAGUUAAUGACAAUAAUAAAAGAUCCAUUCCUAUGCAUACGAGCUUAGUCUAUUAUGUUAAAGAGGCACCCUGUUGUUCGAUAGUCAGCACAACAAGUGAUCAAUGAGGUUGUUGCACAGACUGAUGACAUGGAAUUACGGCUCAGCCCAAGUGGUUCUGUGAUCUGUAGUAGACAAGCUGAGUAGUGGGAUUGGUUAGCUUGAUUUGCUGUGAAUAGUAGCUUAGUUAACAAGUUUGUUAGAUUACUGCAUAUAAAGCAAGCGAACUCUCUGUGUAUUCAUACUGUGAAGUAAAUCAAUCGAUUCAUUUUCUCUCAAAUCUCAAUGGUACUUUCUCUAUUUAAAUUUUAAAAUACCUUUAAUUAGGAUUAAUUAGAUUUUUCGCUUAUUAGGAUAAAAGCGAGAAAAAAGCACAACUACAAAAUUUGAUUGCAAAGUGUAAACCUACAAUUUUUUUGGGUAAAACAUGGAUAGUAAAACAUACAAUUAAAGAAGGAGAUAAAAAGCGUUUAUAUUUCACCUGAUUAGUUUCAGAAUUUGAGUGGUCUCAUCCCCACCAGCCAUUGAAUCGUUGAUAUGAUCACAUGCAUUGUUUUUAGAGGCACACAGGAGAGGUCUAUUUAGCACAACUAGCGUGACAAACGUUUUGCUGCACUCGUAGCAGACACUUGUACGACCGAUCGGGAUGGGUGAUUUCUGUUUUGCAACAACUUUCUGAAAAGUUAUGAAUGAUCACCUUCAACUUUUUUGGCAUCUUCUCUUCCCUGGCAUAAAUUAUAUGUGUUAUGAAUGAAGCACCCUUCAGAGUUCAAGAGGAGCAUCUGAACAGAAUGAAAUCACUUUGUAGAAAUGGUAAUGAUGCUUUACAUCUACAUGCUCUUACACAAUAUGAACUUUCAUUUAUUCAAGAACAUAACACUACCCCAAGCUCUUAUUCUACAAGUCAAUUCAGUUUGUAGAUGCACGCCAUUGUAAAAACUUUUGUAUUAUAAUUUCUGAAAAUAGAACGUAACAUUAUUAAUAUAGAAUCAGCAAUGUAUAUAACUUAUCAGACAAUAUAACAAGCACUUGGUGAGCAUACAAGAUAAACUAAAACAAGCUUUAAACAUAAAAUUAAAGUAAAUCGAAUUGCAAAACAUUAGAAUGGAUGUUGGAAUUAAAGCUAAAUUCAAUAGUAAUUCAAAUGAAUCCAUUUGAACUUUGUAAAUUCCGCAGAACAAAAUUAAUUUGAGAGAGCAAACUCACCAAUGGAACAAGAACACAGGGGCUUCAACUUGUAGGAAUAAAAAAAUAUUGCUGGCCGGACAAAAAUUGACAAUAACGGCUACAAUACGAAUUAAAAAAAAAAUCAAAAUCUAUAAUUACAAGCUAAGUGCGAGAAGAAACUCAUAAUCACAAGCUUAACUCAAAAGAUGAAGGGAGAAUACGAUGAAGAAGAGGAUGGCCAGUGUUUUACGCCGUUCGCCGGCAACCAGUUAGGUUUACGAUGGUGGCUAGUAACACGGAGUCCAGCGAAUAGUAGCAUACCGAACGGCUCUUUACCGUCACGUGGUUAGUAACAUAUGUGACUGCAGUGUGGCCGUCACAUAAAAGGUAUCGGGGUUACAAAGUUAGUGAUAUACGUAAUGGCUGCUUUUGCAUUCACAUUAGGGGUCACAUAUACCCUAUUUUCUUGUAGUACAUGGUAAAUUCUAUUUGAAAAUUGCUAAGUAUUUUAGAUUUGUACGAAUUCAUUUUUGUGUGCUCGUUGGAUAAUAAUUUAUAAUAAAUUAAAUUUUUGGUGUAAUUUUCACAAUAUUGUAUCAUAAAUAUGUCUCGUUGAGAGGUUUUGAAAUCGUUUUGAUUGAUCAUAAUUGAUAUUUCCACAAUUGCAAAAGAUGCCAGAGAAAAUUUGAUUAUCUUAAGAAAUGAGUGUACGAGAUAUGAAAUCAACCAUACCAUAAAAUCAAAUUUUAUCGUGUCAUCCUUCCUAUUUCAAAUUUAUGGAAACAAUAAUCAAAUGCAUCCAUGAAUUAAUAUAUUUCGACAUAUAUACCAUCAAAUUUUUGCUAUGUCAUGCUUACAUAUAUAUAUAUAUAUAUAUAUAUAUAUAUAUAUAUAUAUAUAUAUAUAUAUUGAAAUUUUAUUAACACCAAUUGGGCCAAGCAUGUGUUGGUACUUGAACAUUUAUAAGUCCCAUCCUUGAAAAAAUAAGGCUUGGCUGUUCUCAAUCUAAUUCUUUUUGUUUUAAGUUCUUAAUUAAGCUUUCUUGCUUGUUUUCAAGGGCCAGUUUUGUAAUGAUCUGCAAACAUGAUUUGCAUAUAUUGCACUUGGCAUCUAUGCGUCACUUAUUAAUUAGAUUUAAAUUUUAUAAAUUAAUUAAGCUGAUUAAUACUUUAUAUGUGCACCAAAUGAUAGAUACUACAUAAAUUGGGAUACUAGUAACUACGUAUCCCAACUAUUUAAUAUUUGUUUGUCGCAAAUCCAAUCAUGGCCUGAUAUCCUAAAUAUUAUUUAGGAUACCAUUUCAAGCCCCAUGAGGGCUCUUUCUGUUUUUUUUUUUUUUAAAGUAUGAAAUAGAUGUAGAUUUUUCUUUAGAUAUUAUUAGUGAGAGUACCUUUGGUGGCAAUGGUCCAGCAUGAUUUGGGAUUUGACAAUUCCACUCUCAUCUUAAUUAUCAAAUGGAAUGUAAGUAUCGAUAAACUCGUCCAGUUUAUAUAUUUGUGAUCAAAAUUAGGACCAAUCUCAAACCACUCGCAAUCAUGUCCCAUCCUAACUAUCCUGAAUGUCUCGAAUGCCUCCCUUAAUUAUCAUUUUAAUUCUCGUUAACAUAUUAGCAAAAUUUCCAUAUAUUAAAAAUAUUAGGGUCCGACUAUCUAUACUUUAAAAAUUAUUAUGCACAAUCAAUUAUUUAUGCACUCAUCUAAUAAAUUUAAAAAAUUAAGUUUUACUUUCUACACUUUUUAAAAUAACAAAAACAUCUUUACGUGAACCUAAUAAGUUUCUUGAAAAAAAUUAAAUCAAUUAUUUUUAUUUAUUCAAAAUACUAAUAAAACUAUUCAGGAAAAUUUUUAAGAAAUUUAGCAUAUACAACAUUGAAAUCAAUUUAUGUUUCAAGUAAAUUCUUUAACACGAUUUUAGUUAUUACUUAUUGUUUAUUAAAGUAUGUGUUCACUAUUGUUUUUAAUUUUUUUUUUAAUCAAAAAAGAAGAAGAAGAAGAAGAAGAUGUUUGUGGUUUAAGAUACAUUUAAUUUUUAGUGUAACAGUUGUAUCAAACCAAUAAAAACUAAAAGAUCCAAAAGUCACAAGUUCCAAUACCACCCAAAUGAAAGGCCCCGUUAGGAUUGUUUUUGGGAAGUUCAAAAGUAAUUCUAAAAAUUAAAAACUAAUUUUUAGUGUUUUAUAAAUUUUUUUUGUAAUUACUUUUGGCAAAAUCAUCUCAUCGUACAAUAGAUUUUGUAAAAGUAGGGAAUGAAAAGUUUUUUUAAAUCUAAUUUUGAGAAUCACUUUUAUAUUUAAUCAAAUUCUAUAUAGAUAUCCUCAUUAUAUAAUAAAAAUCUAAAAUUAUCUUUAUUAAUUAAGAAAUAAAAUCAUUAACUUUAAAGAUAUUGUUAUUAUUACCAAUUAUAUUGAGAUAACAAAAUAGAGAAUAAAAUUUAAUAAUAUAAAAUAUUUAUUUUAGUUAUCAAUAAUUAUAUGUAAGUAAUAAAAAUAUUUUAUAUACAUGUUUGUAAAUGUGUAAAUACAAUUCAGUCAUUUACAUUAUUGUAUCAGUUUAACAAUAAAAUUUAUGAAACACAUACGAUAGCUUUUAAAACUAAAAGUACUUUUAAAAAUAAAUUUUACUAAAUGUUUAGCUGAUUCUCUUCACAAUUGAUCAAUUUCUACAACAUAACGAACUGUAAUUAUUUUAAAAGGUACAGGAUUACCAAACUGACCCUAAACCAAACCAAGAAAAAUGUUUAAAAGUAAUAAUAAUAAACCAAAGUAAACGUACAAAAAUUCAUGCAUAAAUUGAUAAUCAACAAAAACAUCCAAAAGUUUUACUCCAAGUUUUCUAUUCAAUUGACAUAACACUUAAAUUUGAAAAGGCAUAAUCAAUUUUGUGUCUAAUCCUAUAAAAUUAGAAAAUUAAAGAAUAUUAUAUUCUUAUAAUUAAAUAAUAUGCAAUUAAUAAUGUUAAAACAUAUUGUGAACUAAAAUGAUUGGGAGAAUUGGAGUUCUAAGAUAAAUUCCUAUCUAAUCCCAAAUCAACAAUUGUGAUUAAUUUCAAUCUUAUACUCCGAUUGCUUUUAAAAUUGGUCCUAAUAAUAUGGACAAAUAUCAUUCUGAUCAGUAUGGAAUCCCAAUCCCAUACCUUUGGAUUUCAAUGGUGUUUAGUUGGAGGGAGGAGAGGGGAAGAAAAUGAAUUCAAAUUCCUUUCACUUUUCUGUUGUUUGGUUUUCACAAAUAUAUGGGAAUUCAAUUUUUAUUGAAAUUUAAUUUUCGUCAAAUUGUGCAUUUUGGAUUCCUCACCGAAGGCUGUAAAAUUCAAAUUCUCCUCCUAUUAGAAAUCAAAUCUUCCAAAAUUGCUCCUCUCAAAUAUUUAUCAAUUAUUUUAAUUCUUAUCAAAUAAUUCUUAUUUAUGAUUUUAUUUUUUCAAUUUAAAUUGUCACCAAGGAGUCUGACUUACUACCAUAGAAAAGCAAAAAAUACAAUUUAUAGAUUAUGAUAAUUCUAUGUAUUGUAUGAGAAUUGCAAUCCAAAAAUUUUCCCUAGAAAACGAAUUUUAAUCGACAGCAAAUCAAUGCUUUCAAAUUUAGUCAGCUGAACUAAUUUUUGUUUUUUUUUGGAUUAAUUUUGAAAUGUUGCAUCCAUAACGAGCUGCUAUUGAAAUUAAUGUUAACAACAAAAAUAGAUGCAAAAGGAGAAACAAGCAUCAUGUGCAGUACCCACUGUGAUCUACUCACAUUGGAAUAAGCCGUUGGCAGCUGGUCUGUUUGGCCAUUAAUAUCUAUUUAUAACUAGGUUUUUUUUUUUUUUUUUGAGAAGAUUUAUAACUGGAAAUUACUCACCGUAAAAUGAUGAAAUGCUUUGAAUAUACCUCCUAGGUCGUAUUUACUAUACUAGUUAGGAAAAAUUACAAUGUUAAAUUAUUUGAUAAAUACUUAUUAUAAUUUGAAAAAUAUGUUAAUUUUGUCCUCCACUGUAUGAUUAAUAAUUUAUAAUAUAUAUAUAUAUAUAUAAUUCAUUCUAUAAUCUUGAACUUUAUUAAAGAUAAAAAAACUAUUACUCUAUAUGAUAUAAUAGUGUGAUGUAAUUACACUACUAUACCAUAUAAAAUAUAUUUACUUUCUUAAAUUUUAAUAAAGUCCAGGUUUUAGGGAGAACCACUUUAUAUAUAUGUAUAUAUAACGAUUCUCUAGUAACGACAUUUUCAUUUUAACAAAAUAAUAAUAUCACUAACAAACUAAAUGACACACAUUUUAAUACAUCAAUAGAUAAAAAAAAUACAGUUUUAUUGUGUUAAAAUAUAUGUCUUUUGUAUAUUAUUGAUAUUUUCACUUUAACAAGUGAAGGUCUCCUCACUAUAGAAGUACUUUAUAAAUAUUUUUUGUAUUUUUAUGAAAAUUAUUAUUUAAAACUGUUUUGUGUAUCUUCGACACAAUAAGGCUUAGCAUUUAAAAGUCAGCAGCCACGCAACUUCUUGAAAUCUUCGUGCAAGUGUUGGAUAUCGACUGUUCGAUAAUGAUGGCAGCAUUGGACUGGACUGUAAUUGACACAAUAAAAUUAGGAUCACAAAUAAGGAUGAAACUAUGUUGCAACAAUUGUAGCAUGCCACUAGAUUUUAUCUUUUUUUUUAAUUAAUUACACUGCACUACCUUAUAUUUUAUGAAAAAAUUGAAUAGACAUUAAAAGUUACAAAAUUUUAUAUAUAAAUCCCUUUUUUUGGGAUAAAAUGGCUUUUCAAAAACAUUUGACUGUUAUUAUUAGUAUUAUUUAUUAAUAUCAUUAUUAUUAUAUUAAUAAGAAUAAUAAUAAUAAUAAUAUUAUCAAAAUUUAUUAUUUUAAUUAUUAUGAUUAUUUUUAAUUAAGUCAUUAUUAUUAUUUAUUAAUUUUAUUACUGUCAUUAAUAUUAAUUUUAUUACUAUUGUUAAAAUAUAUUAAUUUUAUUAUUUUAAUUAAUGUUAAUUAUUGUUAUUAUUAUUUUAUUAAUAUUAAUAUCAUUAAAAUUUAUUUGUUUUAUUAUUUUAAUUGUUAUGUUAUUAUUAAUGUCAUCAACAUCAUCAUCAUCAUCUUUAAACUUUAUAGAUUUUUUUGUUUAAAGUAAUACUAUUGUUAUUAUUAUUAUUUUACCUUAAUUGAACAUUAAAUAUAUUUUUAUUUUUAUUAUAAUAAAUAAAAAUAUAAAAUAAAUUAUACUAUCAUAUUAUUUUAUUAUAUCAUAUUAUAUUUAUAUAAAAUAAUUAAUAUAAAAAUAAUAAUUUAAUAUAAUUAAUAAUAAAUUUAAAUAAUGUUAGUAUAAUAUUAAUAUAAAAUUAAUGCAGUACAAUGUAAUACCAAUUACCAAAUGUUGUACAAAUAUUAUUAUAAUUUAUUACUAAUGUAAUAUAACAUAAUACAAUAUACCUUUAUUGAAUAAUGAAAUACAGUAUAGUAUAAUACAAUAUGUGAAAUGGACCCUUAAUUCUUUGAGUGAUGAUAGUUUAAAGGGAUGUAGAGAAAGUAAAAAUAAUCAUGGUAGAGUCUUUUGCAGUGGUUGAUUAGCCAUCAUCAAAAAAUUUAAGGUAACAUAAUAAAAAUUAAGCAAUCACCCUACAUUUAAAAGAGUAAUUAGAAACCAAUAAAUUUACUAUUCAAUUAUUUUUAAUCAAGAAUAAAUAAUAAAUUAUCAUUACAGCAAGAUUCACAAGCUCAAAUAUCUAUAAAAAAAAGUUAUAAUUCUCAAGAAACAUAAAACUCAAAUGCUUUUGAAGUAUUCUUAAAAAAAUUAAACUAACUUCCUUUUAUGCUAUUCUUUAUUUAUAUGACUUUGUUGGGCUACAUUUAAAAUUUUAAAAAAUUAAAAUGGUUUCCUUAAAUUUCAAGAGUAAUAUUAGUAUUUUAUAGGUAAAUUAACAUAUUUUAUAUACAAAUAAACUAACAUGUCAACUAAUAUUAAAAACAAAAAUGUAAUAAAAAAGUAAAGUUUUGUAAUAUUAAAAUAAUAAAAUUUUAGAACCUAAUACUUUUUACAGUUCCUUAUUUUGAAAUUUCACCUUUUUUAUUUUAUAAUUUUUUGAAGUAUUACAAGGUUAAUAACCUAUAUUCUUUACACAUAUUUAGUUUAUUUAUUCUAUAUUAAAUAUAAUGGGUCCGCCUACCUUGCAACAGUUGCACGGUACCCCAAAUUUUAUAUUUUUCUAAUUCAGCUGAUGAAUCUAAUAUCUAAAGUGUUCAACGGUCAAGGCCGGCUCAACCAUAUUUGGGGCCCUAGGCAAAUGAUUUUAAUUAAUUCUUAUAAAAAAUUAGGGUAAUCUAUGAAAUUUUAAUUCAAUUAUAACAUUUUUACUUAUUGUUCUUUAACUCAAAUUACAUCUUUUUUACUACUCCUUUUCUAGAUUAAACUAAUUUUUCUAUUUUAUAAAGUUUUUCGAUAUAGUUUUAUUUCAAAAUAGAUAAAACAAGCAUACAAAAAAAAAGAGUAGAUGAAUAAAAGAAUAUAUUGAAAAAAAUAAGAAUAAAUAAAUAAAUAACACAACUAAUUAAGAGAAUAAUAAAAAGAUAAAAUCUGGAAUUUGAGAUGAAAUCAUGAAUUAACUUUAUCUUUAUAUUAAUUGUUUGUGGAUUUGAGUAAUGACCAAUAGCCAUAGAGAAUAGAGAAAAUUAUUAGAUUUUUUUCUUCUUCUUGAGUGGAAAGUAGAGGAAGCAUGAUUUUUUCCCUCUCUCUCUUUCUUUCUCUCAAACACUAACAACAUAUCGUGUCUUGAUUAUUGGAGGAAAAAUUUAAUAGAUAAGUAAUAAAAUAUGGGGUUUUUAUAGAGGUUUAAAAUGAAUAUAAUACUUUUUAAUUAUAACAUAUUAAUUCUAACAAUUAAAUAGAGAAUUUGUAGGAUUGAAACUAUUAAUUUAUUGGUUUUGUAGGAAUUAAAACUACUAAGUACUACAUUAAAUAAACUUUAUAGAAAUUUGAUAGUUUAUUUAGGAAAAAGAUAAUUACAAAAUAAUAACAAAUUAAAUGCAUAAUAAUGACUUUUAAAUUCACUUUUCCCUUUUAUAUACAAAAUAAUCAUCUUACGGGGCCUUAAUGUAAAGUGGGGCUCCAGACAACCGCUUAAGUUGCCUAGAGGUCGAGCUGCUACUGUCAACGGUUGAGAUGUGUUCAAUUGGUUAUUAACACUUAAGUCUCUACUGUUUAUUAUAAUAUCAUAAAAACAAAAUUUUUAAAAUAUUUAUUUAUAUAACUCCUAUUGUUUUAAGUUUUUUAAAGUUUGAUCCAUUAGCCAAGCUUGAUCAUAAAAAUGAUUGAUGGUGUAAAGAUAAUAAUGUAAUAUCACAUAAAAUUUUUUUUAAACACAUGAAAAAUUGAUAAAUGUAAAUAUUGUUUUUUUUGGUUAUAUAAUAUAUUAACUUUAUUAUUUUAAUUAAUGUUAAUUAUUGUUUUUAUUAUUUUAUUAAUAAUAAUAACAACUAAUUUGUAUUUUACUUUUAAGGUUGAUUUGAUAAAUUUAAAUUUUUCUUUACAUUAACAUAUCUAAGAAUAUUGUUGCAAGCAUGUUAUUAUAAAAUCAAAGAAAAAUUAAGGGUAGGAUUAUAUUGUGCUUACCGACAAAGGUGUCUUGAGGGACUAAACGGUACUUCAUUCAAAAUAUAGAGACUGAACAAAUAUUUAUCAUUAUUUAAGCUGAAAUAGUGCAUUUUAACUAGUCCCGGGUUUGAUUCAUUGUAAAUAUCAUUUUCCUUCAUGAAAUACCUAUAGAGAAUCAUAAAUUUUGGAGAAAAGGACGUUACACCUAAGUUUUGGGAAAUAGUCAUGUAGACCCCUAAAUUUUUAAUAAGGAAUACGAAUACCUCUUUUGACUAUAAUACAUUUUGACUCUAUUAACUCAAAAAAUUGACUCCUAUGUUUUAUAAUAAAUAGAAAUAUAAUAUUGAAAUAAACAUAAAAUAUUAACAUUUUAAAACAACUUCAAUUUAGGAAAAUAUUUAUAUACUUAAGAAUCUUAUAUUAUAUUAGACUAAAUUUUAUAAUAAAUAAGAACAUAAUAUUAAAAUAAAUUUUAUAAAUUUUUUCAAUAUUAUAUAAAAUAAUUUCAAUAUUAUUACUACAUGAGAUAUAUUUUAUUAAUGAGAUGUGUUUUAUUAAUUUUAAAUUCUAUUUAACCCCAAUGAUUUAUUUGAUAUUUUUAUGAUAAAUAAAAUAUAUUAUUAAAAUAAAUAUAAUGUUUUUAUUUAAAAAAUAUUUUAUAUAUUAAAAAUAUUCUAAUAUUAUUAGUCUAUUAGACAGAUUAAACUAUUUAAGUUAUAUUUAUAUUUAUUAAAAAAUUCUUAAAGUCAUUUUUUUAUUUACUAUGUACAAAAAGUAUUAUAGUCAAAAAGAUAUUUUGGUUACUGAAAAUUGAAAGAUUUACGUGACCAUUUCUUUAAAUCUUGGAGUAUAGGUGUCUUUUCCUAUAGAUAUUAGAAUAAGGGCUACAUGUCUAUAUGUAAAUAGCAAGUAGUGGCGGACCUACAGUUGGACUAGACUGGGUUGUAGCUUGGUCUAGUACAGAAAAAAUCAUUUAUACACCUUGUUUUCUUAUAAUUUUUUUAUAAAAAAGAGUUUUUAUUUUGUUUUCAUAUAUGUCCCUAACUCAAGUAUCCUUAUGUUUUCAUCAAUUUAGUUUAACAAUAGAGUUUUUACUUUAUAUUCAAAUAUUUUCCUAACUCAAUUACCCUUAUAUUUUCAUCAAUUUAGUAUAACAAUUGAGCUAUUAUUUUAUAUUCAAAUAUAUCCCUAAUUCAAUUGUAUUGUUUCCAAUUGAAAUUAGUGACUUAUUUUAUAAAUUGAUUAAAUUAUAUACUCAUUGGAUAGAUUGAAAACAUUAGGGAGCUAAAGUAUUAUUAUCAAUUUAAUUUAUUUUAAAAAAUUUCUAAUUGAAAAAAAUAUAAAUCAAUGUAAUAUAACAUCGUCACUAGCAUUAAAAAUACUUACGAAAACAAUAUAUAGUAACAAUUAUCAACAUUUUCAUAAACAUUUUAUGUGAUUUUUUAGAUUCUAUUUAUUAGUUACAUUAACUACGACAAGAAGUUAGAAUAUAAAAUUUAGGUAUUUUGAGGAGCUUUAAUAGAAGAAUCAUCAACAUCUACUUCUAUAAAGAAAGUCAGUGCACUGGCAAUGAAACAACGAUAUCCAAAUAACUUUUUGUUGAAUUGAGUUUAGUUUAUUACUAAAACUUUUGACUAAUAAUACUUUUAUAAUUCGAAAGAAUGAAUGAAUUUUAAUUUUUAAAUUUAUUUAAACUUGGUAAUUUAAUACUUGACUUCAAACAUAAAAGUUUUACUUGUAAUCUUUAAUUAAUUUUAAUUACAUGUACUGAUCUAAUUUAGUUUGAAAUUCUUAAUUGAUUUAUUAAUCCUUAUAUAAUUACAUGUUAUUAUAGUUGCAAUGUCGGAUUCCAUAAUUGAAAAAUAGUGUUUUGAUAUUUGAAUUGCCUUUUGGUUUCUAUUCUUUUCUUAUAAUUAUUUUUGUUUAUAAUACAUAUUCAUAGGGAUAUAGCUCUCCAUGUCUCCCCUCAUUUAAUAUACUUCUUUUUACUUAUAAAUUUUUAUGUUCACUUCAAAAUAUAAAUUUUAAAAUUUAACCCAAAAUAAUAUUAAGUCCUGAAUCCGCACAUAUAGCAAGUUAAGUCACAUCCUUUUAUCUUUUUAUUUUCAUUUUAUAAAUAAAUAAAUAAAUAAUGCAUAUUGAAUUAGGAUCACGCGUCUGAAAUCUUUACGUGAAGAUUUUGUUAAACACCGUGUAAAAAAAUAAUAUGAAUAGUGAAAGCUUAAUAGUAAAAAAAUAAUAUGAAUAGUGCAUUGCGAUCUAUCAAUCGCAAUGCACCGAUGAUUGCAACAAUUAAAAAUCUUGAAAUAUGAUUAUUAUACAAAACGAAAAUGUACAACCACUCAUGAAUUAGAGUUAUUUUUUUUUAGAGAAGAUAAUUCGGGUUUUUAAGAUAGGUUCUUUUUUUAAAAAAAUUAUUAUCCUGAGGAUAUUUGAAUAAUAAUUUUUUAAAUUAAAAAAAUAAAUUUUAAAUAUAUUUUUGUGAGUUUAAAUAACCUCAUUCCCAGCAUAACUACAUGAGCUACGUAGUGCUUAUUUAUUGACAUUAAUAAACUGCAUCAAUUUAUACAAAAUACUGUUUUUCUUCUUCGUUUUUCUUUUUGACAUGUUGUGCUAAUGCUGUUUGUUGGCCUAGAUGGCGAAUAAAAAAUAUGAUAAUAUAUGCUAUCUACAAGCUUAAUUAUGAACGAACAGUUAAUAAUUACCCCAAAGUUCAUAUUUUAUAAUAGGUGUAGAAUCUUUUCACUCUAAUAAGUUUAUCUUCAAUUAUUUAUCACUAGUUUAGUUAAAUAAUGCACGUCAAUGUUGAAUUGACAUCCGCGAAUAUCACCUUUGCACUUUUAAAUCAAAUAAUCAAUGGCCAUCAAAUGAAGCGAAAUAAAUGGUUAAACUAAUUUAUGUUAAAACAAAUUAUUGUUGAAUAGAGUAGUGAUAGAUGAUAUCCCAAAUUUUUGGGUUCCUAAGGAAUAAUCAUUGUCAAAUUAUUAAACCGAACCUUACAUUCAGGAAUGAUAAAGAUUGAAGACCAAUAUCUGCAACAUUAACUCUUGUCAUACAUAAGCAAGAACAAAAAAAAUAAAAAAUCAUUGAAUUAUAUUAAUACAUGAAACAGAAAGGCCAAAAAUUAAACCCAAAUGAAUAUACAGUGAAAGGAAAUCGCAGUUGUAAUGUAACGCAUAUUCACAAAAGCUUUGUUGAUGAAGUCUAGUACUCUAAUGAUACUUUAUAAUGUGGGGGCAGAGCAGUAAAUUUCAAAGAAAUAAUUUUCUCUUUUGAUGUUUUGUCGUUAUUGUUGACUGAGACGAGAAAGAAAUAAUUGCUCGUUUGGAUAUUCUCUAUAUUGUAAAAGAAUUGCUUAUUAGAAUUGCUUAUUAGAAUUGCUUCAAAGCAGUUUUACCAGUUAUAAUUCAUCAGCUCCUACUCUUUGCGUUCAAUUCUCAAUCAAGAAACCCUCUCCUGACUUUCAGCUUUUAACCUCGAACACGCUCUGAUUCUGUUUAUUGUACCCACUGCUAUUGCUAGCUGUUCCCUUAUUUUGCUUUGCUCCCUUCUGCCAUCAGCUCUCUGUAUACUCAUUGGAUCAAGAAGCCCUUUUCAAUUUUCUGAUCUCAACAACACUUUGAUUCUCAUCUAUUACACUGAUUUUUUUUCCUUGUUUUGCUCAAAUACAAUUUCUCUCCCUAAUUUUGUCCCGUUCCCUUUCGCCGCCAUCUGUUUGUUCUUCGCUUCUUCAUUGAUUAACAAUUGUCCAGUCGUUUCACCUGUUCUUUUUCUGUUCCUUUCACUUCAGAUCAAUCCAUCCUCGCACAACCCCCCCCCCCCCCCCCAAAAAAAAAAAAGAAAAAAGAAAAAAGAUUGAAGGUGAUGGAAUGCAUUGUUACUGUCGUUUUAGAGGUUGUAAAAUGCUUGGCUCCUCCAACACAACAACAACUUCGUUAUUUGCGUAGUUCCAAUGCCAACUUUGAGAAUCUCAAGGCUGAAAUCGAGAAUCUUAAGGAUAAAAUUAGGAGCAUUCAGCGCAGAGUCUCAGAGGCUGAAAGAAAAGGAGAAAAGAUUGAAGAGGAGCUUGAGAAAUGGCUGGUUAAUGCGAAUAAGAUCAUUGAGCAUGCAGACAAAUUCAUUGACGACGAGGAGGCAACAAAUAAGCGAUGUCUCAAGGGUCUGUGUCCUAAUCUGAAGACCCGCCAUCAGCUUAGCAAGAAAGCAGAGGCAGAGGUGAAGGCAAUUGUCAAAAUCCGAGAAGAAGCUGGGAGAUUUGACGAUAGAAUUUCCUACCGUACGAUUCCGGAGGAGAUAUGGCUCAAGUCUCACAAAGGCUACGAGGCCUUCGAGUCAAGACUUUCUACCUUGAAGGCCAUACAAAAUGCAUUGAUCGAUGUUAAUGUUAGUGUCGUUGGGGUGUACGGCAUGGGCGGCAUUGGAAAGACGACACUGGUGAAGAAGGUCGCCAGGCAAGCUAUGGAAGAUAAACUCUUUGAUAUGGUGGUCUUUUCAGAGGUUUCGCAAACUCCAGACAUAAAAAAGAUUCAACAGGAAAUUGCCGAGAAGUUGGGCCUGGAGUUGCACGAGGAAGUUGAAUCUGGAAGAGCAAGUAGACUAUUUGAGCUAUUGAGAAAUCACAAGAAGAUCCUUGUCGUUUUAGAUAACAUUUGGAAACACCUUGAUUUGGAGACAGUUGGAAUUCCUUUUGGAGAAGAUCAUAAAGGCUGCAAACUACUGCUGACGGCAAGAGAUCGUAGUGUCCUCUUAAAAAUGGGUUCUAAAGACAACUUUUUGAUAAACAAUUUAAAUGAAGAAGAAGCCUGGAGAUUGUUUAAGAUGAUGGCCGGUGAUGAUGUUGAAAAUCGUGAGUUGAAAUCUACAGCAAUAGACGUCGCCAGGGCAUGUGGAGGUUUGCCCAUUGCCUUGACUACAGUAGCAAAGGCACUGAGAGGCAAGAGUCUGUAUGAAUGGAAGAAUUCCUUGCGAGAACUCCAAACGCCUUCAAUGGUAAACUUCGAAGGGGUAUCUGCAGAGACUUAUUCAAGUAUUGAGCUCAGUUUCAACCAUUUAAAAGGUGAGCAGCUCAAGAAAAUUUUUCUGCUCUGUAGUCUAAUGGAGAGCCAUAUUACUUUGGACUUGUUUAAGUACUCCAUGGGUUUGGGUAUAUUUAAAGGAGUCAAUAAGAUGGAAGAUGCACGAGACAAAUUAUAUGCAUUGGUCCAUGAACUUAGAGACUCUUGUUUGUUGCUUGAGGAUGAUAGCAAUGAACGAUUUUCAAUGCAUGAUGUUGUUUGUGAUGUCGCAAUAUCAAUUGCAUGCCGCCACCAACAUGUGUUUUUGGUGAGAAAUGAUGAGGAUGUGUGGGACUGGCCAGAUGAGGAUGCACUUCGAAAAUGCAAUGCUAUCUCUUUAAUAAAAAAUAGUAAUUGUGAAUUUCCUGAAGGAUUAGAAUGCCCAAACCUUGAACUUUUAUAUAUUUCUCUCAAAGAUUCUUCUCUUGAAAUCAAUAUUCCUGAGAACUUUUUUGUAGGGAUGAAAAAGCUUAGAGUUCUAGAUUUUACUCGAAAGCUGUUUUCUUCAUUUCCAUCUUCAAUUGAUCUUCUAGUAAAUCUUCACACACUAUGUCUGGAUCAAAGUGCGUUGGGGGACAUAGCAAUCAUUGGGAAGUUGAAGAAUCUAGAAGUCCUUAGCUUUUUGAUGUCUGAUAUUAUGCAGUUGCCAGAAGAACUAGGUCAAUUGAAUAAGUUGAGAUUGUUAGAUUUAACCAAUUGUUUCCAUCUAAAAGUUAUUGCGCCCAAUCUCAUAUCAAGCUUAACUCGAUUAGAAGAUCUGUAUAUGGGUAAUUGCUCCAUUGAAUGGGAGGUUGAAAGAGCCAACAGCAAAAGAAGUAAUGCUAGCCUUGACGAAUUGAUGCAUUUACCUCGGCUAACCACUCUAGAAAUUGACGUUAAAAAUGACAGUAUGUUACCAGAAGGUUUUUUGGCCAGAAAGCUCGAAAGGUUCAAAAUAUCUAUUGGAAAUGAGUCAUUCAUGCCUCCCAAGAGUGUUAGACAAGCUUGGUUUAAAAGUCGGCCGCGCUUUUCGAUCCACAGUUAUCGCAAGAGUGUAAGAGCAUUGAAGCUCAAGCUUGAUUUUAUGGACAUUUGCUCCAUGAAAUUGCAGGGCAUCAAUAACGUUGAAUACUUAUGGUUGGACAAGCUGCAAGGCACUGAGAAUGUUCUUUUCAAUUUGGACACGGAGAGCUUUUCACAAUUGAAGCUUCUCUGGGUUCAAAAUAAUCCUGACUUCUUUUGCAUCGCCGAUUCAAGGGCGAUGGUCGCUUGUGAUGCCUAUAGCUUAUUUUUAACUUUGAAAAAUAUGACAAAGCAUCGAUAAAUUAAUACUCAAUAAAUUAAAAACUUUUAUUAUACAAUAAUCUUUGCUAGUCUAGACUAAGGGAUCAAUGUGGUAGAUUAAUAAUUAUAUGAACUGUUUUAGGUAUAGCAUUUCUAAAAGAAUCCUUAGUCUUUCCAUAUAAAAGAACUUACAAAAUAAAUUAGUAAUUUAUUAUUGUGCAAUAAAAUAAUUUCGUUUUUUUCCCUAAUUUCUUUUUUACCUCUAAAAUUAGCAUAUAAAAAAUCAUUUAAUAAAUUUUAUCAAUAAUUCAAUUUUUUUUUUAAAAUAUAAUAUAAAAUAAAUACUAUAAAAUCACUGUGUGUGACCAUAGAUCAUCAAUUGACCUUAUUAGUUAUUUUGAUUGAUGAUGAUAUCUUACCCAACUUGACGGCACUAUCACUAAGUGGAAAAGAUGUGAAGAUGAUUUUGCAGGCCGAUUUCCCACAACACCUUUUUGGCAGUCUUAAACAACUAGAGAUUGUUGGAGAUGACUCAGCUUGUUUUCCAAUCUGGAACGUACUGGAGAGAUUUCACAAUCUCGAAAUACUCAUACCGUUUUUGCAUUCCACGAAGAGGUAUUUUGGAUGGAAGGAUGCUUAGAGAAACAUGUGGGGAAGUUGGCAAUGAUAAAAGAAUUAAAGCUGCACCGGCACUAUCAUCUGAUGCAGCUGUGCAAACAAGACUCCAAACUUGGCCCCAUUUUUCAGUAUCUUGAAAUUCUAAAAGUAUAUAAUUGUCAAAGUCUGUUAAUUCUAUUGCCAUCAUCAUCGGUAUCUUUUGGGAACCUAACAAAACUUGUAGCUUUCGAUUGCAAGAAAUUGAUACACUUAGUAACAUCCUCCACAGCAAAAACUCUGGUGCGACUCGUAACAGUUCAAGUAUAUGGAUGCAGAGCAAUGACAGAGGUGGUAAUAAAUGACAAAGACGGGGUUGAAAAAGAAGAGAUUGUUUUCCGCAAAUUGAAGACGUUGGAUCUGCGUGAUUUAGAUAGCCUCACAAGUUUCUGCUCUGCCAAUUACACCUUCAAAUUCCCAUCUUUGCAAGAUUUGUGGGUGAUUGGUUGUCCCAAGAUGAAGAUUUUCACUACAGGAGAAUCAAUCACGCCUCCAAGAGUAAAUGUCCGGUAUGGAGAGACAGCGGAUCAACGGCGCUGGGCUAAUAAUGAUCUAAACUCAACCAUACAACAAUUACAUGCUGAGAAGGUACGUAUAUACAUGUAUAUACAUCUUUACAAAAUUUGCUUUCUUAAAUACAAUAUAGAUAAGAUAUUUGAUGAAUAAGAAUUUUACUUUCAGCUGUUGGCGGUGCAGUCGGCGAUCUCUACCCAGUACUAAUUUCAUAGGCUUCUUAUGACUUGGGAGUUGUGAAUUUUUAGAAGAAAGCCUCAGCUGGUAAUUAAUUUUUAUUUCAUUUAUUUGAUCUCAUGGCUUGUUUCGCAAUUUCAUCUGAAUUAUUUAGAAUGGGUCAAUCGGCUUACUGUUAAAUUUGGAAUGCAAUUUUAAUGAUUCGUUCAGACUUUUGUGGACAGAUUUUGCAUCAUUGAAUGUCUUCUAGUCUAGUUUAAUUUGAGUAUUUUUUUUCUUUUUUUCUUUUUUUGAGAGUUCCCCUUGUUUUCUAAAAUUUUAUAAUUCCUUGCAUACUUUGUAUGAUAAAAUUUCAUUAAAAGCCUUCAUAUUUUAUAAUUCCUUGAAAACAUCAUUGCUGUUCUGUUAUUUUAGUUUGUUCAUUUAGUUUGGUUUGCUUCACACCUAUCUUUGUUUGGAAACUUUUUUUUAUUUUUUUGAUGAUCUUUCCAAAUGCUCUCCCCUAUGAACACAUAAUUAAGACCAGCUGAAAAUCAUUCAUCGGAUAAAAAAUAAAAAAUAAACAAAAUCUAAUCAGAGCAUUAUGCCUAGAACAAAUCCUUAGACCAUCAAAGCAAAACUCUUCGCUAUGAAAAACUAUAUUGUGGAAAUAUUGUUUGAAAACGUUGGAUACCAAGAAAGGGACUAAUCUGGUCUAGUUUUAUGAGAAGUGCAGAAGAACAGUAUUUUCUCUGUUGUUCCUAUUAAAAUUCUUUACUAUGUGAUUGUAGAAUGUCUGGAUACUGAUGAAGAUUCAGGUAACUCUUCUCCUGUGCAUCAUUUGAAAUAAGUUUUUUUUUUUUUUUUGGUAAUAUCUCCUACUGGGUUAUAGUUCAUACAAAGAGAAAUUCUUAAAUCAAGCCGGAUACUGGUAGAAACAAGUGGGGAAGUAGGCACUGAUAAAAUGGUUAAUCCUGUCCAGACUUAAUCAUUGAAGCAACUCCAAACUGGACUCCAUUUUAAAUAUCUUGACAUUCUAAGACUAUUUUACAAGCAUUUAAGUCUAUUCACAUGAUCAUCUAUAUCUUUUGGGAAUCUAAAAGAACUGUUGGUUUUCCAUUGCAAGGAAUUGUAACAUCCGUCCACUACAGCAGAAAGUCUAGUGCGACUCGUAUCAAUGAAGGUAGCUGGAUGCAGGGCAAUGACAGAGGUGGUAAUAGGUGACGGAGAAGAAGACGGAGCACCAAAUUUAAAUUCAAAACAAGAGAUUGUUUUCAGCAAAUUGAAGACAUCGAGUCUGUGUGAUUUAGAUAGUCUCACAAGUUUCUGCUCUGCCAAUUACGCUUUCAGAUAAAGAUUCUUGAAAUUGUCCUAUUUACAGCUGACAUUUCCACAAGAGUUAGAGAAAUAUAAAAAAUUCAUUAAUCGUUAGUUUUUAAUUUCAUUAUUCAAUGAAAAGUCCUGUCAAAUUAAAUUGCAAAUCUCAAUGUGCAAGUACCUAAAUUUACAAAAUUUACUUUAAAUUAAUGAAUGAAAGAAUUUAUUUUCUGCUGUUGGAGGAGUCGUCAUCUCUCUCGACAUAGUAUACGAUAUGUUUUGAUCCCAUAGGCUUUUUAAUAUAUUACCUUGUGUUGUUUGAUCUCUAGGUUUAUUUGCAAUGCGUCAGUUGGUUUAUUUGUUAAUUUUGGAAUGAAGUUGAUGCAGCUGAUGGUUGCAUAGGAUGAGUAGGAUAUCACUCCUAGAUCAUAACUUGAUCUAACAAUAUUGUGUAGGUCUUUUGUGACUCCAACAAUAAAAAAACUCAAUAUUUUUUUUAUAGAGCAAUAUUUGUUAAAGCAUGAAGAAAGGCAGAAAUAUUGUAAAUCCAUCUCAACUUUUCUGUUUAUUGUGGUCGCUGCUAGCGCUGGCUGUUUUCUUAUUUAACUUUGUUCCCUUUUGCCAUCAGCUCUUUGCAUUUUCAUUGGAUCAAGCGACCCUUUUCUUGCUUCAAUUUCUGAUCUCAAAAGCACUUUGAUUCUCUUCUAUAAUUCUGUUACACUGAUUUUCUCCUUAUUUUGUACAAAUAUCAUUUCUCUUUCCCAUUUAGCCUUGAUUUGCUUCAACUUGACUAUCAAUUGCCAAGUUGACCCUGUUGUAUUUUUAUUUUGUUCACUUCAAAUAGACCCAAAAAAAAAAAGAGAUGUUGAAUAAAGCCUAAAAUCUAAUUUGAUUUUUAAUCUGAUUUAGCUAAGAUGUCCAAUUUAAUAUUAAUAGCAAUGUUAAGGAUUCUAAUAAUUGGGUCCCAACUGAUAUGAUAGUCAUUUAUUAGAUGAUCGAAAUAUUAAUUUUACUAAUUAUGAAAUUCAUUAUCUAAUAAAAAAUGACACAUAACAAUUGGGUCUCAAGUUAGAAUUCAAAUAUUGGAAUUCUUAACAUUAUUUUAAUAUUAAAAAAUUCAUCAAAAUAAUAUAUAUUAUCUAAAAAAAAUAAAAAAUCUAAAACCAUAGAUUUACCCUUCAAUCUUCGUGAUUUGGCUGAUUUCUUUUAAAGCUUUGGUUUCUUUGGAAGUGCAACGAGAAAUAGUAAUAAGAUUAAAAAAGCAAUGAAGUAAAACUUUAAAAUUUUUAUUUUUUUAUAUUUUUAUGGGUCAUUUUACCGGCACUGGCGUUUGAUUUUCUGACUAAGCUACUGUUUAGUUCUAAGUUUUCAAUUACCCGGACUGCUCUGUUUUGUGUAUCAUCGACACAAUAAGGCUUAGCAUUUAAAAGUCGGCAGCCACGCAACUUCUUGGAAUCUUUGUGCAAGUGUUGGAUAUCGACUGUUCGAUAAUGAUGGCAGCAUUUGACUGGAGUGUAAUUGACGCAGUGGAAUAAGGAUCACAUGUCUCAAACUUUUGGUGAAGAUAUUGUCAGAUAUUUUAUUGAUUAAAGGAUCACAAAUAAUGGAUAUUGGAUGAGAAUCACAUGUUUUAUGGGAUUUACUAUGUUGCAACAGUGAUACCAUACCACUGUUUUUGUCAUUAUUCAUUGCGGCCGUUGGAUGGUAACUUAUUUAAUCUAAUGGUUUAAAUUAGUUAAUGGAGAAAUGACGCGGCAACUUACAACCCUUGCAGCCGGUUCUGUAUUGAUCUAAUAGCAUGGAGUAGUAAGCGUGCGUUUCAAAGAUGCUAAGAUACACUAAAUCCCACUAUUUCCAUACUCAUAAUCACAAGCUUACCUCAAAAAAUGAAGGGAGAAUACGAUGAAGAAGAAGAUGGCCAGUGUUUUACGCCGUUCGCCGGCAACCAGUUAGGUUUACGAUGGUGGCUAGUAACACGGAGUCCAGCGAAUAGUAGCAUACCGAACGGCUCUUUACCGUCACGUGGUUAGUAACAUAUGUGACCGCAGUGUGGCCGUCACAUAAAAGGUAUUGGGGUUACAAAGUUAGUGAUAUACGUAAUGGCUGCUUUUGCAUUCACAUUAGGGGUCACAUAUACCCUAUUUUUCUUGUAGUACAUGGUAAAUUCUAUUUGAAAAUUGCUAAGUAUUUUAGAUUUGUACAAAUUCAUUUUUGUGUGCUGGUGCCUGGUUGGAUAAUAAUAUAUAAUAAAUUAAAUUUUUGGUGUAAUUUUCACAAUAUUGUAUUAUAAAUAUGUAUCGUUGAGAGGUUUUGAAAUCGUUUUGAUUGAUCAUAAUUGAUAUUUCCACAGUUGUAAAAGAUGCCAGAGAAAAUUUGAUUAUCUUAAGAAAUGAGUGCAUGAGAUAUGAAAUCAACCAUACCGUAAAAUCAAAUUUUAUCGUGUCAUCCUUCUUGGUUCAAAUUUAUGGAAACAAUAAUCAAAUGCAUCCAUGAACUAGUAUAUUCCAACAUAUGUACCAUCAAAUUUUUGCUAUGUCAUACUUAUGUAUGUGUGUGUGUGUGUGUGUUUGUGUAUAUUGAAAUUUUAAUAACAACAAUUGGGGCAAGCAUAUGUUGGUACUUGAAGAUUUAUAAGCUCCAUUCUUGAAAAAAUAAGGCUUGACUGUUCUCGAUCUAAUUCUUUUUGUUUUAAGUUCUUAAUUAAGCUUUCUUGCUUGUUUUCAAGAGCCAGUUUUGUAAUGAUCGACAAACAUGAUUUGCAUAUAUUGCACUUGGCAUUUAUGUGUCACUUAUUAACUAGAUUUAAAUUUUAUAAAUUAAUUAAGCUGAUUAAUACUUUAUAUGUGCACUAAAUGAUAAAUACUACAUAAAUUGGGACACUAGUAACUACGUAUCCCAACUAUGUAAUAUUUGUUUGUCACAAAACCAAUCAUGGCCUGAUAUUCUAAAUAUUAUUUAGGAUACCAUUUCAAGUCCCAUGAGGGCUCUUUCCGUUAAAAAAAAAAAGUAUGAAAUAGAUGUAGAUUUUUCUUUAGAUAUUAUUACCUUUGGUGGCAAUGGUACGGGAUGAUUUGGGAUUUGACAAUUCCACUCUCAUCUUAAUUAUCAAAUGGAAUGUAAGUAUGGAUAAACUCGUCCUGUUUAUAUACUUGUGAUUAAAAUUAGGACCAAUCUCAAACCGCUCACAAUCAUGUCCCAUCCUAACUAUCCUGAAUGUCUCGAAUGCCUCCCUUUAUUAUCAUUUUAAUUCUCAUUAACAUAUUAGCAAAAUUUCCAUAUAUUAAAAAUAUUAGGGUCUGACUAUCUAUACUUUAAAAAUUACUAUGAACACUCAAUUAUUUUAUACACUCAUCUAAUAAAUUUAAAAAAUUAAGUUUCAUUUUGUACAUUUUUAAAAGUAACAAAAACAUUUUUACAUGAACCUAAUAAGUUUCUUUAAAAAAAAUUAAAUCAAUUAUUUUUAUUUAUUCAAAAUACUAAUAAAACUAUUCAGCAGACCGUGAAAGAAAAUUUUUAAGAAAUUUAGCACAUAAAACGUUGAAAGUUUCAACUAAAUUCUUUAACACAAUUUUAGAAAUUACUUAUUGUUUAUUAAAGAAUGUGUUCACUAAUGUUUUUAAUUUUGUGCAAUCAAAAAAGAAGAAGAAGAAGUUUGGGGUUAAAGAUACAUUUAAUUUUUAGUGUAAAAGUUGUAUCAAUCCUAUAAAAACUAAAAGAUCCAAAAGUUACAAGUUCCAACAUCACCCAAAUAUUACGAUUGUUUUUGGGAAGGUUAAAAGUGAUUUUAAAAAUUAAAAGCUUAUUUUAGUGUUUUAUAAAUUUUUUUUUAGUAAUUACUUUUGGCAAAAUCAUCUCAUCAUACAGUAGAUUUUGAAAAUUAAGAAAGGGAAUAGUUUUUCAAAAUCUAAUUUUGAGAAUCACUUUUAUACUUAAUCCAAUUCUCUCUCUCUCUCUCUCUCUCUCUCUAUAUAUAUAUAUAUAUAUAUAUAUAUAUAUCCUCAUUAUAUAAUAAAAAUCCAAAAUUACCUUUAUUAAUUAAGAAAUAAAAUCAUUAACUUUAAAGAAAUUAUUAUUACCACCAAUUAUAUUGAGAUAACAAAAUAAAUAAUACAAUUUAAUAAUAUACAAUAUUUAUUUUAGUUAUCAAUAAUUAUAUCUACAUAACAAAAAUAUUUUAUAUACAUGUUUGUAAAUGUGUAAAUAAAUUUUAUUUAGCUUUAUAUCCAAUUUAAUCAUUUACAUUCUUGCACCAGUUUAAUAAUAAGAUUUAUGAAACACAUAUGACUGCUUUUUAAACUAAAAGUACUUUUAAAAAUAAAUUUUACUAAAGGUUCACCUAAUUCUCUUCACGAUUGAUCAAUUUCUACAGCAUAGAUAACUGUAAUUAUUUUAAAAGCCAUAGAUUACCAAUAAAAAUGUCUAAAAGUAACAAUAAUAAACCAAAGUAAACGUACAAAAAUUCAUGCAUAAAUUGAUAAUCAACAAAAACAUCCAAAAGUUUUACUCUAAGUUUUCUAUUCAAUUGACAUAACCCUUAAAUUUCAAAAGGCAUAAUCAAUUUUGUGACUAAUCCUAUAAAAUUAGAAAAUUAAAGAAUAUUAUAUACUGAUAAUUAAAUAAUAUACAAUUAAUAAUGUAAAAAAAAAAUCAUGUUAAACAUAUUGUGAACUAAAAUAAUUGGGAGAAUUGGAGUUCCAAGAUAAAUUCCAAUCUAGUCCCAAAUCAACAAUUGGGAUUAAUUUCAAUCUUAAACUCCGAUUACUUUUAAAAUUGGUCCUAAUAAUAUGGACAAAUCCCAUUCUGAUCAGUAUGGAAUCUCAAUCCCAUAACUUUGGGUUUCGAUGGUGUUUAGUUGGAGGGAGGAGAGAGGAAGGAAAUGAAUUCAAAUUCCUUUCACUUUUCUGUUGUUUGGUUUUCACAAAUAUAUGGGAAUUCAAUUUCUAUUGAAAUUUAGUUUUCAUCAAAUUGUGCAUUUUGGAUUCCUCACCGAAGGCUGUAAAAUUCAAAUUCUCCUCCUAUUAGAAAUCAAAUCUUCCAAAAUUGUUCCUCUCAAAUAUUUAUCAAUUAUUUUUAUUCUUAUCAAACAAUUCUUAUUUAUGAUUUUAUUUUUUCAAUUUAAAUCGUCACUAAGGCGUCUAACUAAGGGCCAGUUUGGGAAUACUAUAACUUUUAAAAUAAUUAUUGUUAGUUGUGCUUUAGAAAUAAUCAGCUGUGAAGAAAAUUAAUUAAGUGUUUGGUAAAUUUUGUUUUAAAAAUACUGUGAGUUUUAAAAGCAGUUAUGGACAUUUAGUAAAUUUUACUAUUAAAUUGCUGAGAGAAAACAUAUGACUAAAAUGUAUAUAAUGUAGAUAAGAUUUACUUAUACAUAUAAAAACAUGUACAUAUAAUAUUUUUAAUUGUGUAUUAUAAUAAUUUUUAUUACAAAUAAAAUUUAUAAUAUAUUGAUUUUUUUAUUUUUUUAUCUUGAAACAAUUGAUAAUUAAAUUUGUAAUAUAGUGAAACAAAUUUAAUAAUAAUUCGACCAAUAAACUGAUAUUAAUAUAUUUAUAUAACCAAAUUAACGGGUGAAUUCUAUAAUCGAUUUCUUUUAUUAACAUCUCAUAACUAUGAGAAGUUUUAUAUUUUGAUAAAUGAUCAUACUCAAUUAUGUGCCUUAUUGGAUGAAAGACGGAGAAGGAAUGCCUUACCGGAUUCAAUUCAAUAUACACUUUUUGUUCCCAGGUCUAGCCUUUCGCGGGUACCUCAACAAAAAACUGAAGAGUAAUGGCAACAAGUGAUUGAGUUAAGUAGUUCCUCAUGUAAAAUUAUUGACUCUAGAGAUAUAGUAAUAUGGAGAAGACUAAACUAUUUCGUAUUGAUGAAUUAUAGUAACAAUUUAUUAAAAUAUUGAUUUUGAUUCUAAUUUUAAUAAGGAAGAACACCAAGAACGUUAUCCCUCUAAAUAUGUACUAUAUACAAAAAAUAAUUGUAAAAAAAGGGUAGAAAAAUAAAAGACAACUCAGAAAAUACUAUUUUUUUUAAUUAUAGAAUAUGACAUUGCAACCUAUAAUUACAUGUAAUUAUAUAAAGAUUAAAAAAUCAAUUAAGAAUUUCAAAUUAAAAUAGAUCAAUACAUGUAAUUACAAUCAAUUAAAAAUUGCAAGUAAAACUUUUGAAGUGGAAUACUAAAUUACCCGACUUAAUAAAUUAAACAAUUAAAAUUUAUUCAUCCUUUCAAAUUGUAAAAGUAUUAUUAGUCAAAAGUUUCAAUAAUAAACUAAACUCAAUUCAGCAAAAAGGUAUUUGAGUGCAAUUGUUUCUUUGUUAGGCGCUUUGCCUCUCUUUAAAGAACUAGAUGUUAAUUAUUCUUCUAUCAAAAAAUCCUUAAAAUAAUUAAAUUUUAUUUUCUAACUUGUUCUCUUAGUUUUUUUGAAACUAACAAAUAAAAUCUGAAAAUUCACAUAAAAAUUUUAUGAAAAUAUUGAUAAUUAUUACUAUAUGUUGUUCUGUAAGUACUUUUAAUACUAACAACGAUGUUAUAUUAUAUUGAUAGAUUUUUUUUUCAAUUAGAAGUUUUUAAAAUAAAUUAAAGCAAUAAUAAAAUUUUAGCUCCCUAAUUUUUCAAUCUAUUCAAUAAAUACGUAAUUUAAUCAUUUUAUAAAAUAAGUCACUAAUUGCAAUUGAAAAUAAUAUAAUUGAAUUAGGGACAUAUUUGUAAAUAAAAAAAACUAUUGUUAUAUAAAAUUGAUGAAAACAUAAGGAUAAUUGAGUUAAGGACAUAUUUGAAUAUAAAAUAUUGUUGUACUAAAUCGAUGAAAAUGUAAGGGUAAUUGAGUUAGGGACACAUUUAAAUAUAAAAUAAAAAAUCUAUUGUUAUACCAAAUUGAUAAAAACAUAAAAGUUAUUGAGUUAGGGACGUAUGUGAAAAUAAAAUAUAAACUCUAUUCUUUUACUAAAUUAAUGAAAAUGAAAAAAAGAGGUAUAAACGAUUUUUUCCCACAUGUAGGUCCGCCACUCGUGUUGUAUGAGAAUUGUAAUCCAAAAAUUUUCCCUACAAAACGAUUUUUAAUCGACAGCAAAUUUUCACUACAAAACGAUUUUAAACGAUUUUUGUUUUUUUUCGAUUAAUUUUGAAAUGUUGCAUACAUAACGAGCUGCCAUUGAAAUUAAUGUUAACAACCAAAGUAGAUGCAAAAGGAGAAACAAGCAUCAUGUGCAGUACCCACUGUGAACUACUCACAUUGGAAUAAGUUGUCGGCAGCUGGUCUGUUUGGCCAUUGAUAUUUUGACUAUUCAAUGUUGAUUUUGACCCCACUAAAUUAAGCCAUCAAAAAUUGCUGGGAAGGGAGUAAUAUCUAUUCAUAACUGGAAAUUACUCGCCGUACAAUGAUGAUUGGAGCUGCAUGUAUCAUUUAUUAUUAACAACUAACUUAUGAAAUGCUUUGAAUGUACCUCCUAGGUCGUAUUUACUAUACUGGUUAGGAGAAACUACAAUAUUAAAUUAUUUGAUAAAUACUUAUUAUAAUUUAAAAAAUAUAUUAAUUUUGUCCUCCACUUUAUGAUAAAAAAAUUAUAAUAUAUAUAAAUCAUUCAUUCUAUAAUCUUGAACUUUAUUAAAGUUCCAAAAACUAUUACUCUAUAUGAUAUACUCGGGUGAUGUUAUUACACUAUUAUACAGUACAAAAUAUAUUUGUUUUCUUAAAUUUUAAUAAAGUCUAGGUCUUGGAGAGAAGCGCUUUAUAUAUAUGUAUAUAUAAUGAUUCUCUAGUGACGACAUCCUCAUUUUAACAAAGUGAUGAUAUCACUAACAAACUAAAUAACACACAUUUCAAUACACCAAUUGAUAAAAAAAUCCAGUUUUUAAUGUGUUAAAAUAUAUGUCUUUUGUAUAUUAUUGAUAUUUUCAUUUUAACAAAGUGAAGGUCUCCUCACUAUAGAAGUGCUUUAUAAAUAUUUUCUGUAUUUUUGUAAAAAUUAUUAUUUAAAAGUCAUAUCUUACCAAAGACUAAUAGUUUUUAUUUUAUCACUAUACUGUACUUUUCAAGAUAGAACACCUCAAUACCAUGACCUUAAUUUUGAACUCUCUUGUACAAAGUUGUUGGCGGGUCUAUUUAGUUUAGUCUUUCAACUAUUUGUCGUUUGAACUAAGAUGAUCCGAAUAAAGAUAUAUAUCAAUAAUUUCCUAGUGAAACUUCGGAAAAAUAUAAAAAUCCUCUCAUAUAGUAGCAUUAUUUUAAUUCUCAGCUUGAUUAUGUUUUGAGUUAACUUAUAAAUUAUUUGAAAUAAAAAGAAUAUAAUUUAUUUUUUCCAACGGAAUUUUUUAAAUAAUUUUAUUAGUUUAAUGAGUAAUUAUACACUUACAAAGUUAUGAUAUAAAAUUAUAUCCCUAAAUCCCAAUAAUAUGACACCAAUGAACUACUGCUAUGUGUUUCUUAGUAAUUAACUUUUUAUACUAUUAUUAAUGAGAUAAUUAACUUCAACACCAAUAUAAAAAUUUUAUAUUAAUACAUCCUCUAGCUUUAGACGUUACAGACUCUGUAUGUAACGCAGCAAAUGAGGAGCAUCCACGCGUUGCAGGAGAGAGGAAAAGUUGUUGGAAUUUAGCUGAUACAAGACUAAUUUCCAUUGAGCUGUUACAUACAGAGUCUGUAAGGUAGUUUUAUUAUCAAAUAAUCAUAUGUCAUAAUCGAACCAAGCUACCAGAGCCUACCACUAAAAGAGUGAUUGAAGGGUUUUCCAAGUUUGAAAAUGUUAGUAGCAUUGGCAAAUGGCAACUUCCAGGAAUCUUCCUGCUACAAUCAAGUUGAAUCAACUAUUCAGUGAAAUACGCAAACGGCACAUAGGACCCCGCCACCCGUAAAGUCACAAUCAUUUGUUUAUUUGUCAAUCAAGUUGAAUCAACUUGAAUAAAGCCUAAAAUCUAAUUUUUUAUUUCGUUCACUUCAAAUAGACCCCCCCCCCCCAAAAAAAGAGAUGUUGAAUAAAGCAUAAAAUCUAAUUUGAUUUUUAAUCUGAUUUAGCUAAGAUGUCGAAUUUAAGACUAAGAGCAAUGUUAAGGAUCCCAAUAAUUGAGUCCCAAGUGAUAUGGUAGUCAUUUAUUCUAUGAUCGAAAUAUUAAUUUUACUAAUUAUGAAAUUUAUUAUCUAAUGAAAAAAUCACACAUAUCAAUUGGGUCUCAAGUUAGAUUUCUACUAUUGAAAUUCCUAACAUUUUUCCAAUAUUUAAAAAUUCAUCAAAAUAAUAUCUAUUAUCUAAAAAAAUAAAAUAAAAAUCUAAAACCAUAUAUUUACUUUUCAAUCUUUGGCUGAUUUUUUUUUAAAGUUUUGGUUUCUUUAGAAGUGCAAAGAGAAAUAGUAAUAAGAUUAAAAAAGCAAUGAAGUAAAACUUUAAAAUUUUUAUUUCUUUAUAUUUUCAUCGGUCAUUUUACCGGUACUGGUUUGAUUUUCUGACUAAGCUACUGUUUAGUUCUAAGUCUUGGCAAUUACCCGGACUGCUCUGUUUUGUGUAUCUUCGACACAAUAAGGCUUAGCAUUUAAAAGUCGGCAGCCACGCAACUUCUUGGAAUCUUCGCGCAAGUGUUGGAUAUCGACUGUUCGAUAAUGAUGGCAGCAUUGGACUGGAGUGUAAUUGACGCAGUGGAAUAAGGAUCACAUGUCUCAAACUUCUGGCGAAGAUACUGUCAGAUAUUUUAUUGAUCAAGUAAGGAUCACAAAUAAUUGACGCAGUGUAAUUUGCUUUUUUUGCUACUGAUGUAAGUCUUGCAAUUAUUUUUAAAUAAUGAUAUUAUAAUUAAAAAUCAAGAAAUAUUUAUAAUACUUAAAGACUGAUUCAGAUUAUUAAUUCUUUUAUAUGACUUAAUUAUUAGCUGACAAAUAAUUAAAAAGUCAUGGAACAAUACUUUUAUUCUAAUAUGACACAACUUGUACUUUCAUUCCUAUGCUAAAAUAUAUCUAACUUAUUAAUAGUCAAGAAAUAUAUCUAUUCAACAUAUAUUUGUUAGAAAGAUUAUCUACUAAUUAAUCAUUCAGACAAGAUUACGAGUCUCAACAUAAAGAGUAAUGAUAUAAUCAUAAAUUUUUGUAUAAAUUUAUUUUGUAUAAAUUAAUAUGUCAUAAUAAGAUUGGUUAAAUUAAAUAUCACUUGACUCAUAUAAUUUAUUUUUAUUAUUUUAUAUUUUCAUUCAACUAAUGAAUUAAUGUCAUGUUAAUUUAUACAAAAAUAUUUAUACAAAAAUUUAUAGUUAAUUUAUACUCCAAAUUAAGAUAAAAAUUAAUACAUUGAAAUUCAGAACCCUUUUUUAUUUUUUUUUUCCUUCUGCAGUUUAAAAAGGAGUCGCCCACGAUUAUUGAAAUAAUUUUAUCAGAUUCGCUUGAAAGUAGUUUUACGAGCAAGCGGUUUUUCCCUCUUGAUCCCCGUAUUCGUCAGCUCCUACUCUUUGCCUUCAAUUCUCAGUCAAGAAAACCUCUCCUGAUUUUCGUCUUUUGAUCUCAUACACACUUUGCUUCUGUUCAUCGUGGUCGCUGCUCGUGCUAGCCGUUUUCUUAUUUAGCUUUGUUCCCUUUUGCCAUCAGCUCUUUGCUUUUUCAUUGGAUCAAGCAACCCUUUUCUUGAUUCAAUUUUCUGAUCUCAAAAACACUUUGAUUCUCUUCUGUUACACUGAUUUCCCCCUUGUUUUGUACAAAUAUAAUUUCUUUUUCCAAUUUUGCCUUGUUUUGCUUCUACUUGAUUAUCAAUUGCGCGGUCGUUGACCCUGUUCUAUUUCUAGUUCGUUCCCUUCCCCCCCCCCCCAACCCAAAAAAAAUGGACAUUUUGAAAAGCAUUGUAAACUGCUUGUCUCCUCACGCACAACGCGAAUUUAGUUAUUGGCAUAACUCCGCUGCCAACUUUGAGAAUCUCAAGGCAGAACUCGAUGGGCUCAAGGAUGAAAGAGAAAGCAUUCAGCGCAGAGUUUCUGAGGCUGAAAGAAAAAGUGAAAAGAUUGAAGAGAAGGUUGAGAAAUGGCUGGUUAAUGCGAACAAGAGCAUUGAGCAGGCAGCCAAAUUCAUUCAAGACGAAGAGAAAGCAAAUGAACGAUGUCUCAUGGGGCUGUUUCCUAAUUGGAUUACUCGCUAUCAGCAUGGAAAGAAAGCAGAAACAGAGAAGGAGGCCCUUUUUAAACUCCGAGAAGAAGCUGGGAGAUUUGAUAGAAUUUCCUACCCUACCAUUCCGGAGGAGAUUUGGCUCAAGUCUCACAAAGGCUACGAGGCCUUCGAAUCAAGACUUCCUACUUUGGAGGAUAUAAAAAACGCAUUAAUCAAUGUUAAUGUCAGCAUCAUUGGGGUGUACGGCAUGGGCGGCAUUGGAAAGACGACACUGGUGAAGGAGUUUGCAAGGCGAGCCAUUGAAGACAAGCUUUACGAUAUGGUGGCUUUUUCGGAGGUUACCCAAAGUCCAGACAUAAAAAAGAUCCAAGAGGAAAUUGCGGAAACGUUAGGCCUACAGUUGUCCGAGGAAGCUGAGUCUAGAAGAGCUGGUAGACUAUAUGAAAGAUUGAAGAAUGAGAAGAAGAUCCUUGUGAUUCUGGAUAACAUCUGGAAACCUCUUGAUUUGGGGACUAUUGGAAUUCCUUUUGGAGUUGAGCACAGAGGAUGCAAAUUAUUAUUCACAACAAGAGAUCUUGAUGUGCUGUUAAGGAUGGGAUCUGAAAAAAACUUGUCGAUUGGCAUUUUAAAUGAACAAGAAGCCUGGAGAUUGUUCAAGAUAAUGGCUGGUGAUUAUGUUGAAAAUCGUGAGUUAAAAUCUGCAGCAACAAGUGUAGCCAAGGCAUGCGGAGGUUUGCCUAUUGCCCUAACCACAGUAGCAAAGGCACUGAGAAAAAAAGAGCUGCCUGUGUGGAAGAAUGCCUUGCAAGAGCUCCAAACGCCUUCAGAGGCGAGCGUCGACGAAGGAGUACCAGCAGAGGCAUACUCAACAAUUGAGCUGAGUUACAAGUACUUAAGAGGUGAGCAACUCAAGAAAACUUUUUUACUGUGUAGUCUUAUUACGCCAGCACCAAUUAUGGACUUGUUCAAAUAUAGCAUGGGCUGGGGUGUAUUUAAAAGUGUCCACAAGCUAGAAGAUGCACAUAACAAAUUAGAUGCAUGGGUCCAUCAACUAAGAGACUCUUGUUUGCUGCUUGAGGAUGGUGGCAGUAAAUACUUUUCUAUGCACGACGUUGUUCGCGAUGUUGCCAUUUCAAUUGCAUGUCGUGACAAAAUUGGAUUUGUGGUGAGAAAUGGCCAAAUGCAGAUGAAUUAAAAAAAUAUCUUGCAAUUUCUUUAAAAGAUAGUAUUAUUAAUGACAUUCCUGAAGGGUCCGAAUCUCUACAACUUGAACUUCUACUCAUGUCUCCCAAGAACUCUUUUGCUGUGCCUAAUAUUCCUGAGAACUUCUUCAAAAGGACGAAAAAGCUUCGGGUUUUGGAUUUGACUAGAAUGCGGUUAUUGUCAUUGCCAUCUUCAAUUGGUCUUCUAGUAAAUCUUCAGACACUUUGUCUUAAUCAAACCAUUUUGGGAGGCAUAGACAUAGCCAUUAUUGGAAAGUUGGAAAAUCUAGAAAUCCUCAGCUUCGUGCGGUCUGAUAUGGUGCAAUUGCCCAAAGCACUUGGUCAACUGACUAAGCUAAGGCAGUUAGAUUUAACUGACUGUUUCCGUCUAAAAGUUAUUGCUCCAAAUGUCAUAUCAAGCUUAAUCCGAUUAGAAGAAUUGUAUAUGGGUAAUUGCUCCAUUGAAUGGGAGGUUGAAAGAGCGAACAGCAAAAGAAGUAAUGCUAGCCUUGAUGAAUUGAUGCAUUUACCUCGGCUAACCACUCUAGAAAUUGAUGUUAAAAAUGAGAGUAUGUUACCAGAAGGCUUUUUGGCCAGAAAGCUCGAAAGGUUCAAAAUACAUAUUGGAAAUGGGUUAUUCACACAUCCCAUGCUUUUUAGACAACAGUGGUUUAAAAGUCGGCAGCACUUUUGGAUCAACAGUAAACGCAAGAGUUUAAGAGCAUUGAAGCUCAAGCUUGAUUUUAUGGACAUUUGCUCCAUGAAAUUGCAGGGCAUCAAUAACGUUGAAUACUUAUGGUUGGACAAGCUGCAAGGCAUCGAGAAUGUUCUUUUCAAUUUGGACACGGAGGGCUUUUCACAAUUGAAGCUUCUCUGGGUUCAAAAUAAUCCUGACUUCUUUUGUAUCGUCGAUUCAAGGGAGAUGGUCGCUUGUGAUGCCUUUCCUCUUUUGGAGUCACUUAUCCUUCACAACUUGAUCAACAUGGAGAGGAUAUGUAUUGAUCGGCUCAAAGUAGAGUCUUUCAACGAACUCAAAAACAUAGAAGCAUAUAAUUGUGAUAAAUUGAGUAAUAUCUUUUGGCUCUCUACUACAAAAUGCCUUCCAAGACUUGAGAGAAUUGCAGUUAUUAAUUGCAGCAAGAUGAAAGAGAUUUUUGCAAUUGGGGAAGAAGUUGAUAAUGCAAUUGAGAAGAUAGAGUUUGCUCAAUUAAGAUCUUUGAGUCUGGGGAAUCUUCCAGAGGUUACAAGUUUUUGCCGCGAGGUGGAGACUCCUUCAGCAUCACCAAACAGACAAGUGUCGCAAGAGGAAUCGACGACUAUGUAUAGCUCCAGCGAAAUCACUUUGGAUAUUUCAACUCUGCUUUUCAACGAGAAGGUGCGUAGGCUAACAGAUUUUAUUCUAUCAUGCGUUCUGUUUUGAUGUCAUACGUGGAAAAUAAUUAAAUCAUUUAAAGAAUUGAAAGAAAAUGGAAAAAAGGAUAAAAAGAAUCUCACGCGCUCACUAAUUGAGCUCUUAACAAGUAGUAUGAAUUAGAAUGCAUACUCAGCUGUCAGUUGGAAAUUGAUUCUGACUUGCAUUAAUUUGUAAUCAAAGAAGAAAAUUUCAACAAGUGCUUCCCAUAUGGAUAUUGGAUCUAACGAGAAAUUCUUAUUUUUUUAGGUAGUGUUGCCUAACUUGGAGGCUUUGGAGAUAUCUACAAUUAAUGUCGACAAGAUUUGGCACUACAAUCAUCUUCCGGUCAUGUUUCCUCGCUUUCAAAAUUUAACACGAUUGAUUGUAUACUGCUGUAUCAAAUUAAAAUACAUAUUUUCAGCGUCUAUGAUCGGAAGCCUGAAGCAGCUCCAACACCUAGAAGUAUGCUUAUGUGAGGAUUUACAGGAGAUCAUUUCUGAAAACAGAGCAGAUCAAGUGAUCCCUUAUUUUGUCUUUCCACAGCUCACCACUCUGAGACUCCAAGAUCUACCAAAACUUAGAUGUUUGUACCCUGGAAUGAAUACUUUGGAAUGGCCCGUGCUAGAAAUUCUUUUUGUGUAUGGUUGUGACAAAUUAAAGAUAUUCGCUGCAGAUUUAUCGCAGAAUAAUGAGAAUGAUCAACUUGGUAUUCCUGCACAACAGCCCCUAUUGCCGUUGGAAAAGGUAUGAAGUCAUUUUCUAGAUUUUUUAUCAAUAGCUUAUUUUUAACUUUGAAAAAUAUGACAAAGUAUCGAUAAAUUAAUACUCAAUAAAUUAAAAACUUUUAUUAUACAAUAAUCUUUGCUAGUCUAGACUAAGGGAUCAAUGUCGUAGAUUAAUAAUUAUAUGAACUGUUUUAGGUAUAGCAUUUAUAAAAGAAUCCUUAGUCUUUCCAUAUAGAAGAACUUACAAAAUAAAUUAGUAAUUUAUUAUUGUGCAAUAAAAUAAUUUCGAGCCAGUAUAAAUCAACCUUUUUUCCCUAAUUUCUUUUUUACCUCUAAAAUUAACAUAUAAAAUAAAUUUUAUCAAUAAUUCAAUUUUUUUUAAAAAUAUAAUAUAAAACAAAUACUAUAAAGUCACUGCAUGUGACCGUAGAUCAUCAAUUGACCUCAUUAGUUAUUAUGAUUGAUGAUGAUCAGAUCGUACCCAACUUGAAGAAACUAUCACUAAGUGGAAAAGAUGUGAAGAUGAUUUUGCAGGCCGAUUUUCCACAACACCUUUUUGGCAGUCUUAAACAACUAGAGAUUGUUGGAGAUGACUCAGCUUGUUUUCCAAUCUGGAACGUACUGGAGAGAUUUCACAAUCUUGAAAUGCUCAUACUGCGUUAUUUUUCAUUCAACGAAGAGGAAUUUUCGAAGGAAGGAUGCUUAGAGAAACAUGUGGGGAAGUUGGCAAUGAUAAAAGAAUUACAGCUGCACGGGCACGAUCAUCUUGAGCAGCUGUGCAAACAAGACUCCAAACUUGGCCCCAUUUUUCAGUAUCUUGAAAUUCUAGGAGUAUAUUAUUGUCAAAGUGUGUUAAUUCUAUUGCCAUCAUCAUCGGUAUCUUUUCGGAACCUAACAGAACUUGUAGCUUUCGGUUGCAAGGAAUUGAUACACUUGGUAACAUCCUCCACAGCAAAAACUCUAGUGCAACUCGUCACAGUGAGUAUACAUGGAUGCAGAGCAAUGACAGAGGUGGUAAUAAAUGACAAAGAUGGAGUUGAAAAAGAAGAGAUUGUUUGCUGCAAAUUGAAGAUGUUGGGACUGUUUGAUUUAGAUAGCCUCACAAGUUUCUGCUCUGCCAAUUACACCUUCAAAUUCCCAUCUUUACAAGAUUUGAAUGUGAUUGGUUGUCCCAAGAUGAAGAUUUUCACUACAGGAGAAUCAAUCACGCCUCCAAGAGUAAAUGUCUGGUAUGGAGAGACAGGGGAUCGAUUGCUUUGGACCAAUAAUGAUCUCAACACAACCAUACAACAAUUACAUGCUGAAAAGGUACGGAUAUACAUAGUACUCUCUAUCUCCCAUGGAAACAUUUUACAAAAUUUUUAUUUUAAUAAAAUAUAGAUAAGAUAUUUGUUAUAAAGUAAAAGUUUAAAUUGAUGAAUAAGAAUUUUAUUUUCAGCUGUUGGCGGUGCAGUCGGCGAUCUCUACCCAUUACUAAUUUCAUAGGCUUCUUAUGACUUGGGAGUUGUGAAUUUUUAGAAGAAAGCCUCAGCUGGUAAUUAAUUUUUAUUUCAUUUAUUUGAUCUCAUGGCUUGUUUCGCAAUUUCAUCUGAAUUAUUUAGAAUGGGUCAAUCGGCUUACUGUUAAAUUUGGAAUGCAAUUUUAAUGAUUCGUUCAGACUUUUGUGGACAGAUUUUGCAUCAUUGAAUGUCUUCUAGUCUAGUUUAAUUUGAGUAUUUUUUUCUUUUUUUCUAAAAUUUUAUAAUUCCUUGCAUACUUUGUAUGAUAAAAUUUCAUAAAAAGCCUUCAUAUUUUAUAAUUCCUUGAAAACAUCAUUGUUGUUCUGUUAUUUUAGUUUGUUCAUUUGGUUUGGUUUGCUUCACCCCUAUCUUUCUUUGGAAACUUUUUGUUUUUUUUUUUAUGAUCUUUCCAAAUGCUCUUUCCUAUGAACACAUAAUUAAGAACAGCUGAAAAUCAUUCAUCGGAUAAAAAAUUAAAAAUAAACAAAAUCUAAUCAGAGCAUUAUGCCUAGAACAAAUCCUUAGACCAUCAAAGCCAAACUCUUCGCUAUGAAAAACUAUAUUGUGGAAAUAUUGUUUGAAAACGUUGGACACCAAGAAAGGGACUAAUUUGGUCUAGUUUUAUGAGAAGUAUAGAAGAACGUUGUUUUCUCUGUUUUUCCUGUUAGAACUCUUUACUCUAUGAUUGUAGAAUGUCUGGAUACUGAUGAAGAUUCAGGUAACUCUUCUCCUGUGCAUCAUUUGAAAUAAGUUUUUUUUUUUUUUUUUGGUAAUAUCUCCUACUGGGUUAUAGUUCAUACAAAGAGAAAUUCUUAAAUCAAGCCGGAUACUGGUAGAAACAAGUGGGGAAGUAGGCACUGAUAAAAUGGUUAAUCCUGUCCAGACUUAAUCAUUGAAGCAACUCCAAAUUGGACUCCAUUUUAAAUAUUUUGACAUUCUAAGACUAUUUUACAAGCAUUUAAUGAAUGAAAGUCUAGUGCAGCUCGUAACAAUGAAGGUAGCUGGAUGCAGGGCAAUGACAGAGGUGGUAAUAGGUGACGGAGAAGAAGAUGGAGCACCAAAUUUACUUUAAAUUAAUGAAUGAAAGAAUUUAUUUUCUGCUGUUGGAGGAGUCGUCAUCUCUCUCGACAUAGUAUACGAUAUGUUUUGAUCCCAUAGGCUUUUUAAUAUAUUACCUUGUGUUGUUUGAUCUCUAGGUUUAUUUUAUCGUUUCAUCUUAUUAUUUGCAAUGCGUCAGUUGGUUUAUUUGUUAAUUUUGGAAUGAAGUUGAGCGGGUAUCUAUUCGGCAAGAAAUUCUGUUUAUUUCCUAGUUAUUUUACAAAGUUUAAGAGAUUUUCUUAUUUUUCUUAUUAUUUUCAAUAUUUUUAUAUUUUUUCUCUAAAUAUAAGAUUUUAAGUAUGAUUUAUUUUAUUUUUCUUAUUUCAGUUAGGAGAACGUUAUUAUGUAAUAAUAUUUUAAGUUUGCCUAUUUUGAUAAAUACAUAAUACUUAGAAUUUGUGUAAAAAGGGUCCAAUACCCUAAUUUUGUUAUUCAAACUUCUAUUAAUAAAAUUUCAGACUUUUUAAAAAAAAUUCUCUAUAUUUUCAAUCUCAACAUCUAUGUUUCCCUUUCAUCAUAAGUUUUAAUGUCUGGUUCUGAGCUAGCUUUAUGUGCAUAUUAAACAUCAUUGAAGGUCUUUUGAUCUAAGUUGUGAUCAAAAAAUUAUGCUCGCUUCUGUCUGGUCGUAUGAAAAUUGUGCAAAAUAAUAUUCUUAUAUAAUUUUUAUCCUCCAUUGUUACAAAAUCCCAAGCUUCGAAUUUGUAAACUUUGAAAGCAUGGCAGAAAACUUAGUACUUAAUAAGGCUCUGGAAUAAGACUCUUUAUGGCUUCAAUAUUUUAUUUAACAUGAAAAUUUCUUUCUAACUAGCAUCAUUGCGAAGAUAAAUUGUGGUAGUUCUGACAAGUACUGCACAAUUAAUGUUACCAGCAAUCAAUUGUUGUGAGCACCGACAACCAUUUUCAUAUUUAAGCCUUAAGAACAGUAACUCAAAAUAUGGCAAGUGGCAACCACAUCAAAUAAUCAAAUUGUUGAUAGAUUUAGAGAGCUUUAAUUUGCUUGAUAUAUAUUUGAAUAUUUCAACAGAUGCAUCUUUUCUCUACUCACGGGGCACGUUGAGUUAGAAACGGUUUGAAUGUCAAUAUUACUCCAAGUGCCUCAACCAAAUUCAGAAUGAAAAAAACCAUCUGGUUACCUGCACUUUAGUUUAAGCAGCUGAUUAAGUUAGUUAGCACCAAGUAAUUCACAUACUGGUGAGAAAUUUCAUUAGUAAAUCAUCAUACCGGGGAGGAAACCAGCAUCUUGACGCUUUUGUGACCAAGAAAAUCUGCACAACCCGAUUAAUCAAGUUGUUACCAAACAAAUGAUCAAUUUAAUCAUGCCUUAAUUUUUUCUUUUUUUUUUUUUGUGCCGGGGGGGGGGGGGGGGGGGGGGGGGGGAAUAAAAAUCGUAACUUCAUUUACAUAUAAUUUUACAAAAUCAAUAGGACACUUACGGAGCACCUCCUACAGUCAUAGCAAGUCCAUUGGCAGCUCCUCUUUGAUGCUGUUCCCGUUAUUGUGGCAUAAACCAACAAAUUAAAUUUAAACUUUGACACAUACAAAAUUUGAUAAGGCUGAAAUCAUGGAAAUGUACUAAACAAAUAAAAGAAAAAAAUAUUUACCACUGCUCUGUUUUGAAGAAGGAAUAAUCCAGUUAUUAUAGCCACCUGAUGUUACAAUUCAGGAAAAGUAAAAAAGAAUUACAAGAAUUCUAAUAAAAAAGACAUAAAAUAAUUUUAUACAUACUUGCUGAUGGAUAAUAUAACCUACGUAUAUGGAUCAAUGAUUAGGAUAUCCACUUACAGAUAAAACAUUCUUCAUCACAGAAGCACAGUUUAUCAAUAAGGCAAGGCUGAACCCAGAUAACAUUGCUAUAAAAGUGUAACUUGUCAAAAGCGCCAUCGAUAAAACCUGUACACACAUAGAAAAUUAUGGGACCAAAACCAUGAAGAAAAGUGUUUUAUAAACAAAUAUGUUUGAAACAAACUAUCAAAUGGUCUAAAUGCCACAUGGUGUGUUCAAAAUUUUACCCCUGCAAUGCGUGUUAUGAUUAUUGGCCCAAUGAUCCUCUCGACGUAAGGGUAUAGAGUGAGUUGAAAAAUAAGGAGGCUGAAUCUUGUAGUAAGUUCAAAAUGAGGACAAUCAUCAAGCAUGUGAUGGUGUCAAUGUAGUCAUUAUAAGAGAAGCGAAAGUUAUAUUUUAUAGUCUCACCAAUAAGAAAAUUUGAAGUUAUGGGAGAGUUGCUAUUACAUGUACAAUUCAGCCUGAAAAGAGAGCUAAAGGCUACGUACCGGAAUCCAGCAAGAAGCAAUAGUUACCGCAAAAGCAAAGAGUGACAUACAGAGACAGGGCAGAGAUGAAUUCAGUCAGCUGAAUCAAUUGAAGAGUGAAGUGCCAGCUCAGCUGAAGUUAGUUAGACACGUUUAGAUCAUAUUCAGUUAGUUUCUUCAUUUUCUGUUAAGCUGUAAACAGCUGAGUAUAAAUACAAGCAUCUUGUAAUCAUUGAAGUUUUAAGCAAAAUAAAAUAAAGCAUUUGAUUUCAUAAGUCUUUUACAAUUUUCUCAGCACUUGAAAAUACAUUUUCUCAGUAACCAAACAGUCUAUUCAUUCAAGCUUUUAAGCUUUCAAACAUGGUAUCAGAGCCAUACAGAGCUAGUUCCAGUAAUCAACAGUCAAGCUUUCGUAAUCAAACAACAAACAACACAAAUCAACCUACUCAAAUCAACUUCUCUUUUACUAAUCCUAUCAAGCUAGAUCGAUCAAAUUACUUACUCUGGCGUUCUCAAGUUCUAGCUUCAAUAAGAGGCAAUCGUUUGGAAGAUUUCGUCAUAGGAGACAGAUCAGUACCUGAUAAGUGUCUUCUGUUAACUGAAGCAGAUGGAUCUAUACAACAAAUUGAAAAUCUAGAAUAUCAGAUCUGGAGAUCACAGGAUUAGACACUUCUUGAUUGGCUACUGUCGUCAUUAAGUGAAGGUAUCUUAAGUCUUGUUAUCAAUUCUGAGAGUUCUUUUGAUAUAUGGAAAACUUUGGAAAAGAAAUUUGGAGUUCAAUCUAAAGCUCGACUGCUUCAGCUCAUAUAUGAACUAAACACUAUUAAAAAGGAAGCUCUUAGUGUUGAAGAUUAUUGUAUUAAAAUGAAAGCAAUAGCUGAUAAGCUGGCCAGUGCUGGUAGUUCCAUUACAGAGAAGGAUCUUAUGUUAACUAUUCUUAAUGGAUUAGGACCAGGAUAUCGUGAUAUUGCUACAUUUAUAACUGGUUCACAAAUGGAAUUUGAUGAUGUUUAUGCACUGUUACUCACUCAUGAGACUAGAUUAGAGCAGGAGCAAGGUGACAAAAGUAUGUUUAAUGCAAACUAUGCAUAUACGAAUGCAUAUUAUCCUAGAGCUUAUUUUGCACAGCCUAGAGGAAGUUUUAAACGAGGAGGUUAUUCUGGUGGUAGAACUCCUUUCUUUGGCAGAGGAAAUAUGAAUUACUCUCCAAGAAUGUUUAAUGGAGGUUUUAAAAAUGGAUAUGGCAGAGGAUUUUUUUCCUGGAAACAACUGAUUUCAAUCAUUUUCCAGCUCCUAGGAAUCCAGUACCUAGGAACUCAUCUUUUCUAACUAGAAAUGGAUCUGCUAACAUGAGUGGAUCACAAGGAAGUUUUAAUAAUGCUGGGGAGCUGGUAUGUCAGAUUUGCUUUAAGAGUGGUCAUACUGCUGAUGUCUGUUGGCAUAGAUUUGUUGAAGACUUUGUACCUGUUCCAAGAGGUUUUGGCAGGGGAAAAACACCAAGAGCAGCAUAUUUCUCAAACUUUGAUGGCUCUACUUCUAAUCCAGAUUUUGGCUAUGAAAAUCUUAAUAAUAUGUUUCCAGGUUAUGAUUCUAUGUCUGGCAAUAGUUAUUAUUAUGGAAUGGAUAGAUACACUUCUGGAGCAGCUGGAACAGCCUUUAUGGCUAAUUUUGAAGGAACUGCUGAUGAUGGAUGGUAUCUGGAUAGUGGGGCAACUCACCAUUUAACCAACAACAUGGAGAAUUUGCAGAUCAAUGAAGAGUUUAAAGGUACUGAUCAGCUUAUCAUUGGAAAUGAUCAAGGUUUGUCUAUUACUCAUGUUGGACAUGCAUUUCUGGUGUUAAGAGCUUCUAAAUCCUUAUCUACACAUGCUAGAAUAACACUUAAAGAUAUGUUACUUGUUCCUUCAAUUACCAAAAAUCUAUUAAGUAUUUCCAAACUCACAUCUGAUAAUCCUGUAUAUGUUGAAUUCUGUGGAAAUGUUUGUUUUGUGAAGGACAUGAAAGGUCAAGUUCUUCUGCAGGGUAUUGCUGAAAAAGGCCUUUACAAGCUGCUGCUGAACUCCAAUUCUCUUUCUUCAUCACCUACAUCCUAUCUUUGUAAAUCCCAGCCAAAUAAACCAGUUUCUAUGUUAUCUGCUUUCAAACACUGUGAUAAUGGUACUCGAGCUUGCUAUCAGUCUGUUUUAAAUAAGUGUAAUGCCAAACCUGAUAUAAUAACUUUGUUACAUAGAAAGUUUGGUCAUCCAAGCUCAAUGACAUUGGUGCAUUUGCUUAAAUCAUGUAAACAAUUUAAAGUCUCUUCAAAAGACAUGUUAUCUUCUGCAAAUACUUUAUGUGAAGCAUGUCAGCUAGGCAAAGUCCAUAAGCAACAUUUCUCAAUAACCGAAACAAAAACAAAAGGGGUAUUAGAAUUGAUCCAUACUGAUCUUUGGGGGCCUUCACCCACUAUGUCUAGAGAUGGAUACCAAUACUACAUUAGUUUUGUGGAUGAUUAUACUAGGUACUCUUGGAUCUAUCCUCUUAAGCUCAAAUCACAAGCAUUUGAAGUUUUUAAAUUGUUCAAAACUCAAGUUGAGAAUCAAUUUGAUACCAAAAUUAAGAUGCUACAAUCUGAUCUUGGGGGAGAGUUUAGAGUGUUUACUGAUUUUCUUAAUCAAAAUCGAAUAAUUUUUAGACACUCAUGUCCUUACACCCAUCACCAGAAUGGUCUUGUUGAGAGGAAACACAGGCAUAUAGUUGAGCUAGGCUUAACUCUCAUGGCUCAAGCAAACCUUCCUCUUCAAUUCUGGUGGGAAGCUGUUCAUACAGCAGUGUAUCAUAUUAACAGAUUGCCUACCCCUGUUAUGAAAUUCUUAUCUCCUUAUGAGAAACUUUUCAAACACAAACCAGAUUACACAUUCCUGAAGUGUUUUGGUUGUCUUUGCUAUCCAUACUUGGGAGAUUUUAACAAACAUAAGUUUGAUUUUCACACUUCUAAAUGCAUCUUUAUUGGAUACAAUCCCUCUUACAAAGGAUACAAGUGCUUAGCAAGUUCUGGUAAAGUCUAUGUUCUUAGACAUGUUAUUUUUUAUGAAAACACAUUCCCUUAUCCAAUAAACACUACAUCUCACUCAUCAGAAAACCCCAUAUCUUCUUAAACCUCAGUGUCUAAUUUCUCUCAACAACAUAUCUAUCAUCUUUCUACAAUGGCCUUACCCAACAGCAGCUUUGAAGGUCUUCAGUCAGCAGGCUCAGCAAGAAAUGAACAAAUUCCCUUUGUUCCCACACAUACAAAUAUUCUGAAUCAACAAGAACAUCCAUCACACACAUCUUUAGAGUUAUCAUCCUCAACCUCACCAUCACCAAACACAUUACCACUACAAUCAUCCAUUCUACAACCAGAGGAAAUUUCUAUUCCACAGAACACAGACCAAAUUCAAACCAGAAGUCAUUCUCAACCAUCUUCUCAUCCAAUGAUUACAAGAUCAAAAUCUGGAAUCUUCAAACCAAAGGUUUAUACAGUCACCUUAGCCAACAAAGAACUAAUACAGUUCAAGAAGCUCUUAGCAGUCAGAAUUGGCAUCAGGCCAUGGUAGAUGAGUAUGAAGCUUUGAUAAAGAAUGAGACUUGGUCACUAGUACCAUUUUCAAAUGCAUACAAAGUAGUUGACAACAAAUGGGUGUUUAGACUCAAGCAAAAUACUGAUGGAAGCAUAGCCAAACACAAGGCCAGGUUGGUUGCCAAAGGUUUUCAGCAAAUUGAAGGUGUAGAUUACUUUGAGACUUUUAGCCCAGUUGUAAAAGCUUCAACAGUAAGGAUUGUUUUGAGUUUAGCUGUGAUGCAUAAAUGGAAAAUAAGGCAAGUGGAUGUGAAUAAUGCCUUUUUGAAUGGAGAAUUGACAGAAGAUUUCUAUAUGGAUCAGCUUGAAGGUUUUAUUGAUCAACAAAAACCCAAUCAUAUAUGUAAGCUGAAGAAGGCCUUGUAUGGCUUGAAGCAAGCUCCUAGAGCUUGGUAUGACAAGCUUAAGAAUUGUCUGAUUGCUACUUGGAAAUUUCAGAAUUCAAAGGCUGAUACCUCUCUCUUUUUCAAAGAAGUGCAAGGCUCAAUGACACUUAUCGUAAUCUAUGUUGAUGACAUUCUAAUAACAGGACAUGUUAAUGAUGAGCUGGAAAAAUUCAUCUCAGAAUUCAGUAAGACUUUUGCCUUAAAAGACUUGGGAAUUCUAUCAUAUUUUCUGGGGAUAGAAGUUUCCUAUGUUGAAGACUGCAUCUAUCUAUCUCAGAAGAAAUAUAUCUUGGAUUUGUUAUCCAAAGCUGAUAUGCAGAAUUGUAAAGGCUGUGACACUCCCAUAGUUACUGGAUCAAAGCUUCAGAAAGAGGUCAAAGGCUGUUUGGCUCAAUAUAUUGAGGAUGCAACAAGCUAUAGAAGCUUAGUUGGAGGUUUACAAUAUCUGGUAUUAACCAGACCAGAGAUAACAUUUGUUGUGCAUAAGUUGAGCCAAUAUGUGACAGCUCCAACACUCCAGCAUGUUAUGGCUUGUAAAAGAGUUCUCAGAUACCUUAAGGAAACUAUAGAUUAUGGUUUGAAGUUUUCAGCAGGUGGGGAAAUGAAGAUCACAGGAUUUACAGAUGCAGAUUGGGCAUGUGAUGUUGAUGACAGAAAAUCAAUAGGAGCAUAUUGCAUCUAUUUUGGAAACAAUCUAAUUUUAUGGUCAUCCAAGAAGCAGGCUGUGGUUACACGAUCCAGUGCAAAGAGUGAAUAUCGUGCUCUGGCUUCUGCAAGUGCAGAGAUAACAUGGAUCCAGUCAUUAUUCAGUGAACUUAGCAUUAAGUGUACUUCAUUACCAACUAUCUGGUGUGAUAAUAUAAGUGCAACAGAGUUAGCUAAGAAUCCAGUUUAUCAUUCAAGGACUAAACACAUUGAACUAGACAUGCACUUUAUUAGAGACAAAGUUUUGGCAAAGGAGUUGGAGAUUAACUAUAUUCCCAACGAGGAGCAAAUUGUUGAUGCUUUGACAAAGCCUCUGACAUUCAUUCACUUCAAUUAUUUCAGGGCCAAACUCAAUGUGCAACCAUGCCCUUGAGUUUGAGGGGGGCUGUCAAGGAAGCUCAUAAUGCAUGGAAGGAUGCAGCACACGUGUGAGAUGAAUGCAGUCAGCUGAAUCAAUUGAAGAGUGAAGUGCCAGCUCAGCUGAAGUUAAUUAGACACGUUUAGAUCAUAUUCAGUUAGUUUCUUCAUUUUCUGUUAAGCUGUAAACAACUGAGUAUAAAUACAAGCAUCUUGUAAUCAUUGAAGUUUUAAGCAAAAUAAAAUAAAGCAUUUGAUUUCAGAAGUCUUUUACAAUUUUCUCAGCACUUGAAAAUACAUUUUUUCAGUAACCAAACAAUUUGUUCAUUCAAGCUUUUAAGCUUUCAAACGGGCAGGAAGUAAGGAAACCUGCAUAAAUUUGUUUUUCAGAAUACCAUCAUUUUGAAAGUACUACAGAAAAAGAAAAGGCUAAUGGCAGUAAAAAUUCACUUACUUUCCAAACAUAGAUUCUUUGGAAAAUGCCUUUGGAUAUUUCUCUGCUGGCUAGAUUGCAAAAUUAUCCACGAAUAUAUAUAAGAACAAUAUUUAUCAAGCCAAACUACUAAAAAUUCAAAAAAAAAUGCCCAUAAUAAUCAAGUAAAAAUUGCAGAACCCGGGCCAGAAAGCCACCCACUGCAGGGCCAAUAAUCAAUCCUGUGCCCCAUGCUGUACUGAGCUGAAAUUAUAUUGUACCUAAAAAUGUAACUUUUAGAGUCUCUAGCCACUGAUGAGGACACGUCUUUUGUCUGCUAGCGGAAAGCGCGUGACGGCAUGUUUUUUGUCAGAGCCUAGAGACGAAGAGGGAAGGAAAAAAAAAUAUCAUUAAUUUUUUUUCCUCUCUCGGUGGGCCCCACGUAAGGUGGGGCUUUGGUUUUUGUCGCAUUCUGUGGAGGGUGUAUAUCUAAAUCAACCCCUUGAAUACGGACACGUGUCGAUCUCAGAGAAACUCACGUUUUGUUGUUGGGACCCAUUAAUUCCCGUAAAAGUCCUAUUCUUAAAACAAGUCGAUACGAUGAUCAAUACUCCGCCUGUGGGUCCCGGCGACGACCCCCUACGCUGGGCAGUACAACACUCAAAAAUCGCCACGUGUUAUAUUUUAAAAAGCUUUGGGGGAGCGAAUCGAUAGAUUUUUUCUUUUCGUGACAAAGCACGCGGGGGGGGGGGCCUCCCUGGUGGAUUUGCCCGCCGUUGAUCAAUUUGUUUGAUGAUAAAGAUUCAAGCAAUCAUACACGAACUUGAUUCAAUGGAGCUUCAAAAGAUUGGCAUUGCAGUGAAGUCCUGAGUCUUCUACUCAUCUUUUAACAACCUUUGCAGAAGCACAACAACAGGGACAAAUUCUGCAUAAUCGGGAAAAGAAAAAUCAGAAGACGUCAUAUUGAAAUGCAUUCAUAUUAAUUUGACAAGAAGAGAAUCAAACGCAGACCUCGUUAAAAAUCUUGUAUGCAUACGCAUAUAAGAGAAGUUCAAUAAUUGCGACGCAGGAUCAUUGCCGAAGCAUUAAACAAAUACGAGGCAGAGAAAGAGGAGCUCUGAGGAAGAGCGUGUUAGUGUGGUAAUACAAUAUCCUCGAUGCUUGCUGAAUGGUGGACAGUGGCGUUGGAAUAUCAUCUAAUAAAAGGAGAGAAAGAGGUGGCAACUGGCAAAGUGGGUGAGUGAAAGUUCAAGGCUGAAGCGGUUGGCUAAACUUUGUUAAAAAGAUGCACAUAUUGAUAAUAAUAUACGACCGUACGUUGUCUGUUAACUUGGAACUCUUUAGCAUUUAAGCGAGUCUCUCUCUCUCUCUCUCUCUCUCUCUCUCUACGAUUGGGAAUUGGGAUUUCGGAUCGGGAUCUACCGUAUUCUCCGUCUAUCCUAUGCAUGUCAUCAUACAUCAGUAAGCGUGCGUGCCUCUGCGUCUCCCCCUCUCCUUUUUACACAACUAUUUACCGUUACUAUUUCUUUGUCAAUUCCCUUAUUUCGUGGUACUUGUAAUAAGACGAAAUUAACAAAGGAAGAAAAUGCUAAGGUACUUCAUUAGGCACAUUUCUCAUGCGUACUUGAAAGUAAUCAGAACCGUUGAUCUUUCCCCGAUGGGCCACCCACUGCAGGGCCAGUAAAAUUUUCUCAAGACCUUUGCAAUCAUACACGAACUUUGCAAUCAUACAUUCCUAAAGUUUGGUGUUUAUGGCGCAAUAUUUCACAUGCAUAUGCCUGGUGUAAGAGAAGUUUGAGCACAAAUAUUUGCAAGAAUUAAAUUGGAAUUAUCAACAAAUACCCCAAUCAAUACCUUUAUUGCUCCAAGUAAACCAUUCAAAGCCCCAAGGAGAAACCUUGUAGCUAUGGCCAUCCAGAAAUUCACACUAAGCCCAAAGAGAGUGUUAAAAAUAACCCUGUGAGCAUUUUAAGACAAAUAAGAAACCCAGAAAUUGCCAACGUAUCAUCAAUUUCAAGCUUAAUCAUUUGAAAAUAGAGGUCACUAACAAUGUGAUGCAUCCUAUUAUUAUUACAGGCUUUCGACCGAAGCGGUCAGCUCCCAUUCCCCACAAAAAAGAUGUUAAAGCUCUGCCAAGCAUGUAUGAAGACCCUUCAAUUUCAUCAAGGUAUUAAGAGGUUUGUCAGGAUGGCUUCUUGAGGAAUUUGAAAUGUUACAUACAUAUAUGUUAAUUAUUUGUCAGGAUGGCUUCAAUUUCAUCAAGGUAUAAAGGCGCAAGUCUGCAGUGUAAAACCCUUGUACAGUACCUUUACAGUGUCGUAAAGCCCUCGGUAGAAUGUUUUUACAGAGUUGUAAAGGCGCGAGUCUGCACAUUUGUACCAAAAAAGGACUCCAUACCAUGUGUCAUUUAUUAAACACAAUAAAAUUAUAAAAAUACAUAAAUUAACUCACCCACGUAACCAGCAUAGAAUCCAAUAUCUUCCUCCCUUUUUGCAAUGUGAAAAUCCCUAAUCUGAAAAGAAAUCAUAACAUACUGUUGUGAAAAAGCAAUGAAUUGUUUGAUAGAUAAAACUUGUCUUUUCUUAUAUUUCUAAGAAAAUCAGCAAGCAUGAUAGAAAAAUAUAAAUUUUCUCACUAGUAACUACUCUGGUGAAGGCAACAACAGUCCACUCACCAUAAAAUAAAGAAAGGGAAAGAGAGAUGCGACCGGCAGAACUGAAAAAAAAAAAAUCACCAAAGAAUUAAGGACAAAACUAGAAGAGCACAAUAGGCCAAAAUCAUUGUAAAUGGUUCUCUCAAAAAUCAUUAUAUCGAGUUGAAGUUGAAAAAUUUACCAGUUGCAAGCACAACAAUCUAAAUUAUAAAAAGCUUGCGAAUUGGUAAGCCUCGUUCCGACUCUUUAAGCUUAUCAACCUUACAGCCUGAGCAGUUCUCAUAAUAUUUCUUCUUCAGCAGCGGCUCUCUCACUUUCGCCUCCGCCAUACUUGAAAAAUUUUCAGCUCAAGUAAUCGUCUUAGUCUAUGCAAUCCAAUUUCAAUGCCUAAAUAUAAGUACUAGAAAAUAAGUAACAAAAUCAAUAUGCUUAAGGAUAUAGUAGAACUAUAUAAGUGAUCAUUUAAAGAAUUUUCAAUAGAAUUGUAAAAUCAGUUGAUUUUGCAGCUGGGUCUGUCACCACCAUGGUAAUUAAAAUUAUUGGAUCCCAUGUAAAACAAAAUUUUUUCAUUACAUGCCCUCAUUGCUGACGUCCAAUUAAUCAUUACUCUUGUGAGAAUAAUUUUUGGUGACAAGAACGGCGGCAUCCUAGGACGUGACAAAAUAGUCACAAAAAUCCCUUAUUUUAAAAAAUGAUCAUGAAAAUUUAUCCACGGACACACAAAUUCAGGAUCUAUGUAACUAUUUUUAAAUACAAAAAGAGGUCUAUAUAUAUAUUUGAAAAUAAGGGAUAUUCAUGAUUACCAUGUUAAGCCACGAGAUGUCGUGCUGUUUUUUUAUUUUUCAUUAAAUCGUUGUUACACAAUUCGACAUGUAAAAGUAAUUUUUUUUUUUUGAGAGAUGGUAACAAACAUAGUGACAAAACUAUCAAAGUACCGUCUAAUGAUGAAACUAAUUGUUAAUUAAUUAAUAAAAAUACUAAGGUGACGUUUGUUUUUUAACUUAAUGACUUAAAGUGACUUAACUUAAUUAAUUAAGUUAAUUAGAGGUGUUUGUUUUUAUAACUUAAUGAGACUUUUUAGAUAAUUUUGACUUAAUAAAAUAAGCCAAUUUUUUUAGUUUUUUACUUAAUGGAGAAAUUUGAAUUAAGUCAAUUACUUACUAAUGUCAAAAAUAUCCAUGUUUUAUAAUUUAUUUUUCAUGUCUAUCCCAAAACUCACCCAUAGACAUUUAUCCCACAUAAAAAUAUCCUUGUUUUUUCUUUCUUAUAUUAUAUAUGAUAAAAUUUAAAAUUUAUGGUAUUUUAUAUAUAUAAAUUCCAAAAUAAUUAUGUAUUCACUUGAAUAUAGUUUUACUUAUAAAUGUUAAAAUAUUGUGGUAUUUAAUAUAUUAUUUAUUUGACUUUCAAAUUUAAUAAGGAUACAAAAGUAAAAGUACAUAUUUUCAGUUGAAAAAAACAAACAACUUAAUACUUAUUUUCUGAGAUUCAGACGAAAAAACAAACAUGUUAUUUAGAUUCAGACAUUCAGAUCUAUUCAGAAUUCAGACUAAUUCAGGUCUAUUCAGAUUUCAGACAAAAAAACAAACGCCACCUAAGUGAUUGUAGCAGUUCCGGUCACAGUCACAGUCAAAUACAAUUAGGAUAAUUUAAUUUAAAUAAUGUGUAAUUUAGCGUUAGCCCCAAUUGUUUUGACAUUUUGCAUUGUGCCCCCCAAUCUUCCGACCAUGUCCACCACCCUCAUUUCUUUCAAAUCUAAUGUUAACGGAAAGAGGGGUAGAAUGGUAAUUAACACAAAAUUAAAAUAAUAUAUAUAAUUAAAAAAAAAACCCUUUUUUCCUUCGCCGCCUCUAUAAUUUAAUUUUGGGUUUGAUAUCUUUAGUUUUAAGAUUUUUGAUUAUUGAGUUUCUUUUUAUCGAAUUUUCUUAGUAUGAAUUUAUUUUGUAAUAGAAUUUUACAAUGAAAUUUGCUCUCAGGGAUUUUGGUAUCAUUAGUUUAGGGUUUCUUUCUAUUGGGUUUUAUUUAUUUUGGUGGGAUUAUUGGACUUAUUUUGUAAUGUACUGAUGAAUGUGUGUUUGAUUUUUUUCUUUCACAUUGGAAUCAUGCUUUGCCUCUGAUUUUGUAAUUUACUAGGUUAUAAUCUUGGGUUCGUAAUCCGGAAAAAAAUUGUUUCCAUAUAAUUUUAAAAAUAUUAUAAUAAAUUUUUACUUUUUGAUUUAAAUUUUAUUAGUUGUAAGGGUAUUUUAGUACUUAUAUACCCAAUUCAUUUCAAAACAGGGGGUAGUAUAGUCUUUUAAAUUUAUAACAGCCUAAAUAGUUAGAUUAGUUGAUUUUUUAAUAGAAAUAGGGGGAGGUGCACAUGGUCAAAAGAUGUGGGUGCGCUGUGUGAAAUACUGAACAAUUGGGGGCUGAUACUUAAUUAUCCUUAAAUAAAUUAUUAGUUUAAUGGAAGGAACAAAAUUCAGGAAAAGAGGAAUCAAACUGCAAAAGGAAUUAGGAUACCUGAAAAGAAAGAAUGAAAAUAACUUUUUUUUAAAAUUAUUUAUUUGGACAUUGUGACAAACAAGUGAUGUGCAUUGUUAAUUCUGAUUACCCCAAAAUGUCGAGUCUUUAAAAACGACAACAUUACAUGAUUCAUGAGAAUCCUAUCACUUUGAGAUUAAUUUAAUUAAAAAAAAGUUCCGUUUGCUUAAUACUAAAAUGUCACACUGAUCCAUAGUUGAGCCAAUUAUCUAGUUAAAAGCUACCUCCAUAUUUUUUAUUUUUACCCUAAUGCAUGUUUGAUUCUUUUAAAAUUUUACGUUAUAUAUAUUAAACAAAAAUUAUAAUUUUAAUCAUUGGAAAAUUAAUGACAGACAUCUUUUGAAUAAUUUUUUUUUUUGAAAAAUACAGAGCUAGAGAUAAUGCUAUAAUUGAUUGAAUAAGAAGGCUACAACUUGAUGAUAACCUUAUUGCAAUGUUGCGUGAUCUCAAUAUAUUAUUGGCUUUUGUGUGAGUAAAAGUUGCUGGCUCGUGUUUUACUAAUUUGCCUUUGUAUUUGACUGGCUCGACAAAGAAUCGAUUUACCUCAUACUCAAAUUACAAACAUCAAAACCGGAUCUGUCAUUACGUUAAUUGGCCUCCUAAAAUAAUCAAUCACUUUCUCUUUAGUCUACCAUCCACUCUUUCCAGUCGUUAAUUAUUCUGUACCCAUCAGCUCUUUUAGCUCUUUACGUCGUGAUAGAAACCCUUUUCUUGUUUCCUUCAUCUCAUCUGAAAAACACAAUUGCUUGUCCUAUCGCUGUCUCUUUGUUUUUACUUUCGUUUGGCCUUCUUCGCUUCUACGUUUUUGUCAGGCUUCGAGAUGCUGGAAAUCAUUGUGACUAUCGUCUUGGAACUUGUAAAAUGCUUGGCUCCUCCAACUGCACGCCAACUUGUUUAUUUGCGAAAACGGAACUACAAUGCCAACUUUGAGAAUAUCAAGGCGGAAAUGGAGAAGUUGAAGGUUGAACGUACGAGCAUUCAGCGCAGGGUUUCAGAGGCGAAAGAAAAAGGGAAAGAGAUUGAAGAGAAGGUUGAAAAGUGGCUGGUUAGUGCGAAGUGCGAACGGCAUCAUUGACCGGGCAGCCAAAUUCAUUGAAGAUGAGGAGUCAACGAAUAAGCGCUGUGUGAAGGGCUUGAGUCCUAUUUGGAAGAGUCGCUAUCAGCUUAGCAAGAAAGCAAAGACGGAGGUGAAGGCCAUUAUUGAACUUGGAGAAGAAGUUAAGAAGUUUGAUACUGUUUCCCACCGUACCAUUCGGGAGGAGAUAUGGUUACGAGGCCUUCGAAUCAAGACUUCCUACUUUGCAGUCUAUAAAAAAUGCAUUGACGGAGGCGAAUGUCAGCAUUAUUGGGGUGUACGGCAUAGGCGGCAUUGGAAAGACCACACUGGUGAAGGAGUUUGCUAGGCAAGCCAGGGAAAAGAAGCUGUUGUAUCGGGUGGUUUUAUCAGAGGUUUCAUAAACUCCAGAGAUAAAAAAGAUUCAAGGGGAAAUUGCAGAGAAGUUAGGUCUGGAGUUGUCCGAUGAAGCUGAAUAUAGAAGAGCUAGCAAGCUGUAUGACCGAUUGAAGAGUGAGAAUAAGAUUCUUGUGAUUCUAGAUAAUAUCUGGAAACAUCUUGAAUUGGAGACGGUUGGAAUUCCUUUUGGAAAUAAUCAUAAAGGAUGUAGAUUGUUGCUGACAGCACGAGAUAAUACUGUGCUUUUAAGUAUGGGCUCCAAAGAUAACUUUUUGAUUGGCAAUCUAACUGAACAAGAAGCCUGGAGAUUGUUUAAGAUAAUGAAUGGUGAAGAUGUUGAAAAUUGUAAGUUCAAGUCUACAGCAAUUAAUGUAGUUAAGGCAUGUGGAGGUUUGCCCAUUGCGUUGAGGGCACUGAGAAACAAGAGUCUCCAUGAAUGGAAGAAUGCCUUGCGAGAGCUCCGAACGCCUUCAAUGGUAAACUUCGAAGGUGUGUCUGCAGAGACUUAUUCAAGUAUUGAGCUGAGUUUCAAUUAUUUAAGGGAAAUUAUCAUUUGUAUACCCUUAGUUUACUCCAUUAUCAAAAAUACUACAAUACUUUGAGGGUGUAUCAAUUGUCCACCCUAAGUUGACAAAAUGUAUCAGCUGACCACCAAACCGUUAGUUGCCGUUUAAGUAUGAUGACGUCAGAAGGGUAAUUUGGUCUUUUCAUAUGAUACAAGUGAUAAUUUAAGGGUAUAUAAGUGAUAAAAAGAGAAUUUAAGGGUAUACAAGUGAUAAUUUUCAAGGGUAAGAUUGUCAAUUCACUGUAACUCCGUUAACUUUCAAACGGCAACUAACGGUUUGGUGGUCGGCUGAUACAUUUUGUCAACUAAGGGUGGACGAUUGAUACACCCUCAAAGUGUUGUAAUAUUUUUGAUAAUAGAGCAAAUAUAGGGUAUAUGAAUGAUAAUUUCCCAUUAUUUAAAAGGUGAGCAAGUCAAGAAAAAUUUUCUGCUUUGUCGUCUAGUAGGUAACAGUGUUUGGUUUUCAGACUUAUUUAGAUACUCCAUGGGUUUGGGCAUAUUUCAAGGAGUCAACAUUCCCUUCAUAUUUACCAAAGGUAAGUGAUAAAUCCUACAUAUCCCACUCAAGAAUGCAUAAGUUUCUUCAAUCUCAAGUACCUAAAGUUUUCUUCUACGUUUAUAAAAAUUUCAGCACCAUCUCCCUAUAAUUCUCCAAGCUCACGACAUAGCUAUAUAAGUGUUUAUGUGUUAUGCCAAAACAACACAUGACACCCGUUCACCUAGAACGUACCCAGAGAACACGAGGAGCAGCUACUGAAAAAGCCAUAUUUAUGUGGAAAGAAAACUUCAGCUACUAGCUACCAGAGAGAACUAUGCAUUCCCAAACUGUCCAAGCCUGGACAAUUCAAGAAUUAUUAAUAGACAUAUGAUCCUCACUAUCAUCCAAAGAUGACACUAAUACAACAUGUGUCUAUUAAUAAUUUCUUAAACAAGUCUAAGCUUUCAAUGCACGUAUCAAAAGUUUAAAAUUGAAUCUGAAAUUUGAAUAACACAUAAAUAUCAUAAAUCUCUUCAAUUUAUUCCUGAAACAAUGUAGCAUUAUUUCACACGUCAUUUCUUAAGCAAAACCAUAAAAAAUACAAACGAUAAAUACAUUUUCCCACUGAUGCAGAUUAUGUUUACUGAGUAAUAAGUUUUAUGUCAUUCAUGUUGAAAUACUUCUGCCUAUUCUUUCAACAUAUAACUAGUACGUACACACAAUUAAUAAAUUUAAAAAAAAAAACUGGUGGUGAAUCUUGCAAAAUCUUCCUUUUUUCUUUUUUUUUUCUUUUUCUUCUUUUUUUUGGGGGGGGGGGGUGUGUUGGGGGAACUAUGAAUCUUGCAAAUCCUCAAGAAGCCAUGUUAAGACAAGGCCAGCUUACUAUUAGGGUAUGAAAGAUAAAACCUUUUAUUUCCUUUUCAGAAUAAAAAGGACAUUGACAGUGUUAAAAAAAAUCUAGAGGAUUUCAGGCCUCCAGAUCCUUACAAAUCAAGGAUAUUAAAAAAAAUUACUUAAGAGGAGAAAGGUUAUGCUCAUUUGUAUCUUGUUAGAAGAAAUUGAUCCAAAGCCUCAGUUUUAAUUUGCUUCAUAUAGCCAAUGACUAGGUGUUUAAAAACCAAUGAAUAUUUUUAUAAGAAAUCAACAAUAUUAUUGAAAGAAAAACCAAAUAAAAAUAAUAAAGCCAAUGAAUAGAUCAAGGCUCUUUGUGGUCUAAAACUAAUCAAACUAAGUUGUGGGCAAAGGCGAAUAUGUUUGUUUGGUCAAUAAUAAGCUCAACAAAUCACUAAUAAUCACCUAAUCACUAUUCCUUAUGCUAUGCAAUAUAAUGGCCUGGGUAAUGGCGCCAAGGCAGACAAUAAGUAGCUAGCCAGUUAUGAUAGUUGAUUAACUUAACCUACUGGAAAUCUGAAGACCAAAACGAAGAAGCUUUGUCUAGAACUAGAAUAGGAACGUUCGUACCCAAAACUAAUAUACACAAUUAAGAAACUUGAUUAUAUGUAUAUUUCUGUUGGCCACACUUAAAGAGAAUUUCCAAAAGAUGCUAAGGUACACCAAAUCCCACUAUUUCAUACUCAUAAACACAAAAAACCAUGGUAAAAAUUAAUGACUAUAUCAAAUAAAAUCGGUGAUAGGACGUUGAGAUUAGGACAACUUGAUUUGUAUACCGUAAAAUAACUAUAUCUGCAUGGUGAACUAUAUUUCUGUUAGAACUCUGAAGUUUUCUAUUAAAUUUUUUUCUCUGUUAGGUAAACCACUUAACUGAAGUGCUUAAGCCAAUUUUGACAAUCAUAGACAUAAAAGUAUUAAUAGGCUCAUUCAAGUGAAAUGAGCAUUAUUUCACACAUCCUUUAGGUUUUUAAGUCAUUUAGAAGUCAUUCAUGUUAAAAAAAAAAAAUUCAUAUACUUUCAAUAUAAUUAGAACAUACACAAUUAAUUAAUUAAAUAAAUCUGUUUCAGCUAGUAUAGGAACUUAAUUAAUCAAAGCUAGUAGUUAUAGCUAGGACUUGAACGAGGCACCUUUCAAAGUUCAAGAAGAGCAUCUGAACAUAAUGAAAGCACUUUCUAGAUAUGGUAAUGAUGCUUUACAUCUACAUGCUCUUACACAAUAUGAACUUUCAUUUACUCCAAGCUCUUAUUCUACAAGUCAAUUCAGUUUGUAGAUGCAAGCCAUUGUAAAAACUUUUGUAUUAUAAUUUCUGAAAAUAGAACGUAACAUUAUUAAUAUAGAAUCAGCAAUGUAUAUAACUUAUCAGACAAUAUAACAAGCACUUGGUGAGCAUACAAGAUAAACUAAAAUUUAAUAAUAUGUGGAAUUAAAGAUAAACUAAAAUUUAUGUUUAAACAUAAAUUUAAAGCAAAUCGAAUUGCAAAACAUUAGAAUGGAUGUUGGAAUUAAAGCUAAAUUCAAUAGUAAUUCAAAUGAAUCCAUUUGAACUUUGUAAAUUCCGCAGAACAAAAUUAAUUUGAGUGAGCAAACUCACCAAUGGAACAAGAACACAGGGGCUUCAACUUGUAGGAAUAAAAAAAUAUUGCUGGCGGGACAAAAAUUGACAAUAACGGCUACAAUACGAAUUAAAAAAAAAAUCAAAAUCUAUAAUUACAAGCUAAGUAAGAGAAGAAACUCAUAAUCACAAGCUUACCUCAAAAGAUGAAGGGAGAAUACGAUGAAGAAGAAGAUGCCCGGUGUUUUACGCCGUUCGCCGGCAACCAGUUAGGUUUACGAUGGUGGCUAGUCCAGCGAAUAGUUUUCUAACUGGAAAUAAAUUUAAAUUUCUAAAAUAGUACUAUACCGAACGGCUCUUCACCGUCACGUGGUUAGCAACACAUGUGACAGCAGUGUGGCCGUCACAUAAAGGGUAACAAAAGCAACUCGGGGUUACAAAGUUAGAAGUUAGUGGCAUGCGUAAUGGCUGCUUUUGCAUUCACAUUAGGGGUCACAUAUACCCUAUUUUCUUGUAGUACAUGGUAAUUUCUAUUUGAAAAUUGCUAAGUAUUUUAGAUUUGUACGAAUUCAUUUUUGUGUGCUCGUUGGAUAAUAAUAUAUAGUAAAUUAAAUUUUUGGUGUAAUUUUUACAAUAUUGUAUUAGAAAUAUGUCUCGUUGAAAGGUUUUGAAAUCGUUUUGAUUGAUCAUAAUUGAUAUUUCGACAGUUGCAAAAGAUGCCAGAGAAAAUUUGAUUAUCUUAAGAAAUGAGUGCAUGAGAUAUGAAAUCAACCAUACCAUAAAAUCAAAUUUUAUCAUGUCAUCCUUCCUGGUUCAAAUUUAUGGAAACAAUAAUCAAAUGCAUCCAUGAACUAGUAUAUUCCGACAUAUGUACCAUCAAAUUUUUGCUAUAUCAUACUUAUAUAUGUAUAUUGAAAUUUUAAUAACAACAAUUGGGCCAAGCAUAUGUUGGUACUUGAAUAUUUAUAAGCUCCAUCCUUGAAAAAAUAAGGCUUGACUGUUCUAAAUCUAAUUCUUUUUGUUUUAAGUUCUUAAUUAAGCUUUCUUGCUUGUUUUCAAGAGCCAGUUUUGUAAUGAUCCAUAAACAUGAUUUGCAUAUACAGUAUUGCACUUGGCAUAUACAGUAUUGCACUUGGCAUUUAUGUAUCACUUAUUAAUUAGAUUUAAAUUUUAUAAAUUAAUUAAGCUGAUUAAUAUUUUAUAUGUGCACUAAAUGAUAGAUACUACAUAAAUUGGGACACUAUAAGUACGUAUCCCAACUAUGUAAUAUUUGUUUGUCACAAACCCAAUCAUGACCUGAUAUUCUGAAUAUUAUUUAGGAUACCAUUUCAAGCCCCAUGAGGGCUCUUUCCAUUAAAAAAAAGUAUGAAAUAGAUGUAGAUUUUUCUUUAGAUAUUAUUAGUGAGAGUACCUUUGGUGGCAGUGGUCCGGGAUGAUUUGGGAUUUGACAAUUCUACUCUCAUCUUAAUUAUCAAAUGAAAUGUAAGUAGAGAUAAACUCGUCUUGUUUAUAUAUUUGUGAUCAAAAUUAGGACCAAUAUCUAACCACUCACAAUCAUGUCCCAUCCUAACUAUCCUGAAUGUCUCGAUUGCCUCCCUUAAUUAUCUUUUUAAUUCUCAUUAACAUAUUAGCAAAAUUUUCAUAUAUUAAAAAUAUUAGGGUCCGACCAUCUAUACUUUAAAAAUCAUUAUGAACACUCAAUUAUUUAUGCACUCAGCUAAUAAAUUUAAAAAAUUAAGUUUUACUUUCUACGCUUUUUUUUAGGAGUACUUUCUACACUUUUUAAAAUAACAAAAACAUCUUUACAUGAACCUAAUAAGCUUAUUUAAAAAAAUUAAAUCAACUAUUUUUAUUUAUUCAAAAUACUAAUAAAAAUAUUUAGCAAACCGUGAAAGAAAUUUUUUAAGAAAUUUAACACGAUUUUAGUUAUUACUUAUUGUUUAUUAAAGAAUGUGUUCACUAUUGUUUUUAAUUUUGUUAGUAAAAAAAAAAGAAGAAGAAGAAGUUUGGGUUUAAGAUACAUUUAAUUUUUAGUGUAACAGUUGUAAUAUAUAGCUUUAUUUACCCAAGUGGGCAAUACAUUUAAUUUUUAGUGUAACAAUUUUAUUCAUACGAUGCUUUUAAAACUAAAAGUACUUUUAAAAAUAAAUUUUACUAAAUGUUCAGCUGAUUCUCUUGACAAUUGAUCAAUUUCUACAGCAUAGCUAAUUGUAAUUAUUUUAAAAGCUACAGGAUUACCAAAUUGACCCUAAAUCAAACCAAUAAAAAUGUUUAAAAGUAAUAAUUAUAAACCAAAGUAAACGUACAAAAAUUCAUGCAUAAAUUGAUAAUCAACAAAAACAUCCACAAGUUUAACUCCAAGUUUUCUAUUCAAUUGACAUAACCCUUAAAUUUCAAAAGGCAUAAUCAAUUUUGUGUCUAAUCCUAUAAAAUUAGAAAAUUAAAGAAUAUUAUAUACUGAUAAUUAAAUAAUAUGCAAUUAAUAACGUUAAAAAAUAAUGUUAAACAUAUUGUCAACUAAAAUAAUUGGGAGAAUUGGAGUUCCAAGAUAAAUUCUUAUCUAGUCCCAAAUCAGCAAUUGGGAUUAACGAGCUACUAUUGAAAUUAAUGUUAACAACAAAAAUAGAUGCAAAAGGAGAAACAAGCAUCGUGUACAGUACCCACUGUGAACUGCUCACAUUGGAAUAAGUUGUUGGCAGCUGGUCAAAAAUUCAAUGUUGAUUUUGAUCCCACUAAAUUAAGUCAUCAAAAAUUACUUUCCGUACAAUGAUGAUUGGGCUGCAUAUAUCAUUUAUUAUUAACUAACUUAUGAAAUGCUUUAAAUGUACCUCCUAGGUCGUAUUAUUUACUAUACUAGUUAGGAUAAAUUGCAAUGUUAAAUUAUUUGAUAAAUACUUAUUAUAAUUUAAUAAAUAUGUUAAUUUUGUCCUCCACUUUAUGAUAAAAAAAUUUAUAAUAUAUAUAAAUCAUUUAUUCUAUAAUCUUAAACUUUAUUAAAGUUCGAAAAACUAUUACUCUAUAUGAUAUAAUAGUGUGAUGUAAUUACACUAUUAUACCAUAUAAAAUAUAUUUGCUUUCUUAAAUUUUAAUAAAGUCUAGGUCUUGGACAGAAACACUUUAUAUAUGUAUGUAUAAUGAUUCUCUAGCAACGACAUUCUCAUUUUAACAAAGUAAUAAUAUCACUAACAAACUAAAUAACACAUAUUUCAAUACACCAAUAAAUAAAAAAAUAAUUUUUAAUGUGUUAAAAUAUGUCUUUUGUAUAUUAUUGAUAUUUUCACUUUAACAUAGUGAGGAUCUCCUCACUAUAGAAGUACUUUAUAAAUAUUCUUUGUAUUUUAGUUCUAAGCUCUGUUUCGUGUAUCAUCGACACAAUGAGGCAUAGCAUCUAAAAGUCGGCAGCCAUGCAACUUCUUGGAAUCUUCAUGCAAGUGUUGGAUAUCGACUGUUCGAUAACGAUGGCAGCAUUGGACUGGACUGUAAUUGACGCAGAUAUUGUCAGAUAUUUCAUUGAUUAAGGAUCACAAAUAAUGGCUAUUGGAUGAGGAUCACAUGUUUUAUGACAGUGGUAAUGGCAUGCUACUAAUGUAAGUCAAGCAUUACUUUUAAAUAAUGAUAUUAUAAUUAAAAAUCUAAAAAUAUUUAUAAUACCUAAAGACUAAUUCAGAUUAUUAAUUUGUUUAUAUGACUUAAUUAUUAGCUGACAAAUAAUUAAAAAGUCAUGGAACAAUAUUUAAUUGACGCAGUGGAAUAAGGAUCACAAAUAAUGGAUAUUGGAUGAGGAUCACAUUGGAGUGUUGUGAUACAACACAUAUUCACAAAAGCGUUGUUGAUGAAGUCUAGUACUCUAAUGCUACUUUAUUAUGUGGGGGCAGAGCAGUAAAUUUCAAAGCGAAAUUAUAGAUGUGUUUUAUAAUGGGAUUCAUAAGAUUUUAUUUUUAAAAAAUUAGUAAGGUUUAUUGAGAGUCUCACUAUAGCACAUGAGAAAAUAUCAUUAGAGAAGUUCAUCAUGACCUAUCUCGUGUAAAUUUCUCUUCUAGCAAUUGUGAAUUUGAGUUUAGUUUUAGGGCUCAUUUAAACUAUGGUACCAUAGUGGUGCCAUAUUAUAAUUGGGUCUAACCAUUGACAACUCUGAUGACUACCGUAGAGUGGAUUCAAUGGUACCACUUUAUCAGGUAUUAUUAAUUUUUAUUUCAAAAAUUGAAACUUUCAGUUUAUUACAACUGACAGCUGACCCCACACAUUUCGAUGAUUAUAAUUUAGGCCAAAACUACAUUGCGUCGGGGGUUUGGUACCCCACUCCUUUGUCUGUUAGCAAGGUCAGCGUUGGAUUUGAUCUGACGGCUGCAGAAGGGACACAAAUAUAAAGAGGAGUAACCUGAGGUAAAGGUAAUAAGCCGGUCACCUGCAGAAAAUAAGUGUAUGAUAAAAUAACACAUGCAAUAAAUUUUGUUUGUUUUUUUUUUUUUUUUUUGAGAAGACACAUGUAAUGAACUUGCUGGAAGCGUAUAUGCAAGUAAUGGUUGGAAACAACUUGCUGGAACCGUGCAAGUAUUGGUUGGGCUAAGACUGACAUGAAAUUUCCCCAAUAGUGUCCAAAACAUUUGCAAAUAGUUAAUUCAAAGCGUAAAUAAAUGCUGGAAAAAAUACGUAUUUUUUAUUUUAUUAUUAAGAAUACAUCUUUUGAUAAAAAAAGAUAAAUGAUUAAUGGUACAUAUUAGUAACAAAUAUACUAAAAAAAUUAUCCAUAUAUUUGAAAAAAAAUUGUUAACAAUACAUAUUUUUUAGAAGUACACAUAUUAUACCAUACAAAAAUUGAGUUGUAUCAUGGACAGCCAUAAACUAUGAACAAAGAUUACGAUCGAAACUCCACAUGCAUAUUUAAUUUGUACAUUUUUUUCAGAAUGCGUUUCCCACCAUGGGAAUAACCAAGGUUCUUCAGGCAAAACACUACGGUAAUUCAUUAUCAUAGACAGGAAAAAGACAAUGGCAAAGAUCAAUAAUUUAACACAUAAGAAUGAGUGAAUGACAACAUCAAGUGAGAACCAUGCACAAUCCUUUUUAUUAGAGAUCCUUUCUUAAAUCUUAAAUAAGAACAUUAAAUAAGCUUGAAAAAUAUUGGUAACUGACCCAAUACACAUCCAUCUAACGGAAAACAGCGGACAAUUUGAUGCAUGUGUGGAGCACUUGAGGAAACAGAGCAUCCACAGAAUGCCUAAAUUUGAAAAAAAAAAAAGAAAAUAUUUGCAUUUGACGAAAAGGACUUUGAGCGUUCAAAUACAAAGUGUCAAUUAACCUUACAAGAUACAUCAACCAUCAGAUAUGCUCAACAUGCAAUACCAAAUUAAAUUACCUAUCUCCAGGGUUGGAUUUGUCUUCAAUCAGAUGAAUGUUGGAGAGAAUAUAAUUGAAAGAAUGGCAUCAUCUACCAUGCAAGGUAAGGCUCCUUACAGGUGCUCAAUAUGACACCACAAAAGAAAAUACAAUAUCAUAGACACAUCACCAACAUAUAUGCAAACAACCAAUUCUCACAGCAUGUAGUGCAACAACUCACAAAAUAUGAAAUUUAACAUCAUCUAAGCAUUUUUCUCAUUAAAGAACCUAACUGAAAGUAGUAAACAUAGAGACAUAUAACAGCUUUAUAAGUACAGACCACAAAGUAGAACUUUGUUCGAAUGAUAACGAUCAUAAUCCACAUUAUAAACGCAGUGAAAUCAUCAAAUGAAAAUAAGAACACAGUACAUAAUUACACAGAUAUUAGGCUUAAUUAAUUAUUUAGAUUAAAACACCACUUCACACAGCUUCCUUAGCUGGAAUCUUCUCAUAUCUCAUCUUCUUAGGGCUCAAAUCAUCAUCAUGAUCAUCAACAUCAGUGAAUUCCUCAUACGAAUUGCGAGAAUCGUGACGAUUAGCAAAAAGGCUCCACACCAAAUACAUGGUAAUGUCAGUAAGCGAACUGCACCCAACGCCGAAAAGAAAAGCGACUGGUUUGGUCGCAUAGAGAGGAGAAGUCGUGCUCGAAGGGCAAAAUGCGACGUUUUGGCUCGUGGAUGAGGUGCUGCUCCCAAUCAUCGAUUGAAGGGAGAAUCAGACAGUCGAGGAAGAUUAAGGGACGAUGGGGGCUGAAUUGGCAAAUUUCGGUGAAGAUUGUGACAAAUCUAAUGGGGUUUUCGGAGUUAGAGUUAGGGCAGCGGGAAUUGAAAUGGAUCAAUUAAGAGGAAAUGAAGAGGGUUUUGCAUGGCCUUUUGGAGGCUGAAAUUGAGAGGACACCAUGAAUAUUGUGAGAGCUAGGAGGAGACGCUGAGUCGAUGACGCCAUUGAUUCGUACCACACAGCUUCGAUUGGAAAUGGAGCCUCUAAUUGCUUUAGCCGGUUACCCAUUUUUCAAGUGUUAAAUCUCAGCCGUUGACUACCUUUCUUUACGAUCUAAAGGGUCAUUCGCAAAAGGACAAGCGACUGGGGUACCAAACCCCUGAUGCAAUGUAGCUGGAUCCUAUCUUUCAUUCACAAUAUGCCAGCAAAUGUUAAUUACGAAUAAUUUAUGUCCUUCACCCCUGACAUUGAUAUUAGCAAUUUUCAGUUAAAAGUUAAAUCAUCCCAGCAUUAGCAUUUUUUCUUAAUUAGAGUUGAAUAAUUAUGCCCAAUUGUAUAACAUCAUUUUAAUUAAUAGAUUAGAAACGUGAUUCACGUUUGACAAUAAUUUUCUCUUUUGCUGUUUUGUCGUUAUAGUUUACUGAGACGAGAAGAAAUAAUUGCUCGUUUGGAUACUCUCUGUAUUCACAUUUGACAAAAUAAAUAAAUAAUUUCUUUUUACUGUUUUGUUCCUUUUACUGUAUGAUAUUGAACAAAAUAAUUUUUUUCAGAUCGCUCAAUAGAAUUGCUUCAAAUCAGUUUUACCAGUUAUAAUUCAUCAGCUCCUACUCUUUGCGUUCAAUUCUCAGUCAAGAAAACCUCUCCUGAUUUUCGUCUUUUGAUCUCAUACACACUCUGCUUCUGUUCAUCGUGGUCGCUGCUCGUGCUAGCCGUUUUCUUAUUUAGCUUUGCUCCCUUCUGCCAUCACCUCUCUGUAUACUCAUUGGAUCAAGAAACCCUUUUCUUGUUUCAAUUUUCUGAUCUCAACAACACUUUGAUUCUCAUCCAUUACACUGAUUUUUUUCCUUAUUUUGCUCAAAUACAAUUUCUCUUCCUAAUUUAGUCCCGUUCCCUUUCACCGUCAUCUGUUUUUUCUUCGGCUUCUUCAUUGAUUAACAAUUGUCCAGUCGUUUCCCCUGUUCUUUUUCUGUUUCUUUCACUUCAGAUCAAUCCAUCCUCCCACAACACACCCCCCCCCCACAAAAAAAAGAAAAGAAAAAGUAUUGAAGGUGAUGGAAUCCAUUGUUACUGUCGUUUUAGAGGUUGUAAAAUGCUUGGCUCCUCCAGCACAACACCAACUUCGUUACUUGCGUAGCUCCAAUGACAACUUUGAGAAUCUGAAGGCUGAAACCGAGAAGCUCAAGGAUAAAAGUAGGAGCAUUCAACGCAGAGUUUCAGAGGAUGAAAGAAAAGGAGAAAAGAUUGAAGAGGAGGUUGAGAAAUGGCUGGUUAAUGCGAACAAGAUCAUUGACCAUGCAGACAAAUUCAUUCACGACGAGGAGGCAACAAAUAAGCGAUGUCUCAAGGGUCUAUGCCCUAAUCUGAAGACCCGCUAUCAGCUUAGCAAGAAAGCAGAGGCAGAGGUGAAGGCACUUGGCAAAAUCCGAGAAGAAGCUGCAAGAUUUGAUGAUAGAAUUUCCUACAGUACCAUUCCGGAGGAGAUAUGGCUCAAGUCUCACAAAGGCUACGAGGCCUUCGAGUCAAGACUUUCUUCUUUGAAGGCCAUACAAAAUGCAUUGAACGAUGUUAAUGUUAGUGUCGUUGGGGUGUACGGCAUGGGCGGCAUUGGAAAGACGACACUGGUGAAGAAGGUCGCCAGGCAAGCUAUGGAAGACAAGCUCUUUGAUAUGGUGGUCUUUUCAGAGGUUUCGCAAACUCCAGACAUAAAAAAGAUUCAACAGGAAAUUGCCGAGAAGUUGGGCCUGGAGUUGCACGAGGAAGUUGAAUCUAGAAGAGCAAGUAGACUAUUUGAGCGAUUGAGAAAUCACAAGAAGAUCCUUGUGGUUUUAGAUAACAUUUGGAAACACCUUGAUUUGGAGACAGUUGGAAUUCCUUUUGGAGAAGAUCAUAAAGGCUGCAAACUACUGCUGACGGCAAGAGAUCGUAGUGUCCUCUUAAAAAUGGGUUCUAAAGACAACUUUUUGAUAAACAAUUUAAAUGAAGAAGAAGCCUGGAGAUUGUUUAAGAUGAUGGCCGGUGAUGAUGUUGAAAAUCGUGAGUUGAAAUCUACAGCAAUAGACGUCGCCAGGGCAUGUGGAGGUUUGCCCAUUGCCUUGACCACAGUAGCAAAGGCACUGAGAAGCAAGAGUCUGCAUGAAUGGAAGAAUUCCUUGCGAGAACUCCGAACGCCUUCAAUGGUGAACUUCGAAGGAGUAUCUGCAGAGACUUAUUCAAGUAUUGAGCUGAGUUUCAACCAUUUAAAAGGUGAGCAACUCAAGAAAAUUUUUCUCCUCUGUAGUCUAAUGGAGGGCCAUAUUACUUUGGACUUGUUUAAGUACUCCAUGGGUUUGGGUAUAUUUAAAGGAGUCAAUAAGAUGGAAGAUGCACGAGACAAAUUAUAUGCAUCGGUCCAUGAACUUAGAGACUCUUGUUUGUUGCUUGAGGGUGACAGCAAUGAAGAAUUUUCAAUGCAUGAUGUCGUUCGCGAUGUCGCAAUAUCAAUUGCAUGCCGCCACCAACAUGUGUUUUCGGUGAGAAAUGAUGAGGAUGUGUGGGACUGGCCAGAUGAGGAUGCACUUCGAAAAUGCAAUGCUAUCUCUUUAAUAAAUAAUAGUAAUCGUGAAUUUCCUGAAGGAUUAGAAUGCCCAAACCUUGAAUUUUUAGGUGUCUUUCUCAAAGAUUUUUCUCUUGAAAUCAAUAUUCCUGAGAACUUUUUUGUAGGGAUGAAAAAGCUUAGAGUUCUAGAUUUUACUCGAAUGCAGUUUUCUUCUUUUCCAUUUUCAAUUGAUCUUCUAGUAAAUCUUCACACACUAUGUCUGAAUCAAAGUGCGUUGGGCGACAUAGCAAUCAUUGGGAAGUUGAAGAGUCUAGAAGUCCUUAGCUUUGUGAGGUCUGAUAUUAAGAAGUUGCCCGAAGAGCUAGGUCAACUGUCUAAGCUAAGGCUGUUAGAUUUAACAGACUGUUUCCUUCUGAAAGUUAUUGCCCCAAAUGUCAUAUCAAGCUUAAUCCGAUUAGAAGAGCUGUAUAUGGGUAAUUGCUGCAUUGAAUGGGAGGUUGAAAGAGACAACAGGGAAAGAAGUAAUGCUAGCCUUGACGAAUUGAUGCAUUUACCUCGGCUAACCACUCUAGAAAUUGACGUUAAAAAUGACAGUAUUUUACCAGAAGGUUUUUUGGCCAGAAAGCUCGAAAGGUUCAAAAUAUCCAUUGGAAAUGAGUCAUUCAUGCCUCCCAAGAGUAUUACAAGAGAAUGGUUUCAAAGCCGGCCGCACUUUUUGAUCAACAGUAAUCGUGAGAGUUUAAGAGAAUUGAAGCUCAAGCUUGAUUUUAUGGACAUUUGCUCCAUGAAAUUGCAGGGCAUCAAUAACGUUGAAUACCUAUGGUUUGACAAGCUGCAAGGUGUCAAGAAUGUUCUUUUUGAUUUGGACACAGAAGGCUUUUCACAAUUGAAGCAUCUCCAUGUUCAAAA
rnacentral:lncRNA from 1 species